CAUCUUCUUCUUCUUUUUUUUUUUUUUUUUUUUUUGCGUUAAUAACCAAAUGAAGACCACCAACUUAACAGCGUUCCUCCCCUCCGUUAUAGAGCCAUGGCCAAAUUGGAACUAACAACAACAUAUAAUUAUUAUCACUCACUCCCUUCAUGGGUUUAAUUUAUGUGGAAAGGCAUGGCAAAUGACUUCACUCGGAUGCUUUUGACUGGAAGGACGUGCAAGUUGGGCGGCGCUAGCCUGAAGUUUUGUCCGACCAAUUAAAAUGUUACUUUCAGUUGGGUGCUUUCGGUUUUUGCCACAGUCCCGAGAGCAUAGGUCGAAUAACAGAACUUGUCAACCUAAUUUUCAUAUUCCUGAGAUCGAUCAUGGGUCGGAUACGAGAAUUCAUCAUCCUAAUUUUCAUAUUAAAAUUAGAAAACCUGACUUUUUUUUUUUAAAAGAGCAGGUUAUCUGAGUAAUCACUGAAUUUUUUGAAUAAUGAAGAUUUGAUCACUUAAUUGUUAAUAAUAUGCUUUUACCCAUCGAAUUAUUAAAUGUUUAAAUUUUGGAUCAUUCCAUCUGAUUCCGUCAUUAAUUCUGUCAGAUCUAAGGGUCAGUACGAUUUACGAAACAUACUAUUAAUAGUUAUAUUUGUCAGAAUUAACGGUGCAAUCAUACGGAAUUGUCCAAAAUGUAUACUUUUGAUAGUUCAGUAGAUAAAAAUAUACUAUUAAUAAUUAAAUGGUCAAAAUUCGACUGUUCGAAAAGUUUAGUGACUAUUUAGAUAUUUUACUCUUUUUAGUAAAAAAUAGUUUGUAUAUGUCAACUAACCAAUGCCCGCUGGCACUAGUAGUACGAUUGCUUGCAAAAUCAAAAGAUAUUCAGCCAAGGACCUCUUUCUUCCCCCUUUUCUUUUUUAACUGUGGAAGAAUGAUUGCUUCACAACCAGCCAGCCAAAAGUAAAAUCCAUCACAGUUGGCGGUACAGAGUUAAUUAAAUCCUCGUACAAUGAGGGCAAAGGAUAAUUAGACUGCAGAUCAGGUACUGCACUAACCUUCUUCACAUUUCUACCAAGAGCAUGUUUAGAUAGGAAAAUCAACUACAAUCUUGUAUUCUCGAAGACUAAAUUCUAGGUUAGAGAUUCAAAGUCUAAUUUCAUGCUUAGAUAGAAUAUUCGGCCUAGGGCUUGAUUACAUUUUUUACAUAUAAGCUUGCGCCAUCAUAGUCCUUUCAUAAUUCUAGAUGAUUUAAUUUGGUCCAAUAUAUAGCCUUUUAAGGAUGUCCAAAUUUUACUUGCACAUUUUAUUUGUUUGCAACCAAUAUCGGAUUUACUUUAGGGGUAUCUAGAAUCUUAAUACUUAGAUCUAAUUUAAGGAGUAAUGGGUCUAAAAGGUUUCCAUAACCACGGUGUACGUUCCUCUUCGGUGGAUUCUUUCUCUAUUUUUUACAAUGCACAUUUAGAUGCAUGACAUGUGUCUUCAUUUACCAGGAAGGGAUGUGAUUAUUUUAGAUUUGAUUAAUCUUAACCCUUGUUAAUAAAUAAAUACACGUGUCAUGCAUUCAGAUGUGCACUACCGAAAAUAGAAAAAAGAAUCUAUUGAAGAGGAGCCAAGUCCCUUAUAUGUUCGGUUUUUUUUUUUUAAAAAAAAAAAAGCUUUUUUUAGUUUACACCAAAAUAAAAAGGAGAAGUCAAAAGCAAUAGAACAAUUUAAAACAGCUUGUAAUAACUGAAAAAGCUACUCUGGUUGAUUGGGAGCAAAAGUUUGUGGAAGAGGAAUGGGGGAGAUAAAAAUAUGUUACAAUAAAUAAAACUUAACUAACUUAGCAUUAUUUCAUCAACUAGACUCUUGAUCAUCUAGUUUGCAAGUUUUAAUUGGUUAUGAAACAGUUUUUAGGACAGUCCACAAGUUGUUCAAUGACGACAGCAAAGCUUUGCCAGAAUCUAGACCUCGUUCCUUCCCAACCGUUUUUUCCCCUUGGAGAGACAGGCAGUUUAAGACUUACAUGAGGGCAAAGAAAGGGAGAAUUUACAAGUCUAAUAGGCACCUAAUUAUCUGAUCAAAAUUUCGGGGAAUUUAUAGAUUUAAAUAGAUAUAAGUAUUGGCCCAAGGGUUCGAAAAUAGCCAACAAACAUGUUACAAGCAAAAAGUCUUUCUUCAUUGGGCUUGGAAACCUUUGGGCUCACUCAAACUUUCACCCAAGUGAAUGUUCGUGCCUAAUACAGGAAAGUUUUCUGUCAACUUGUUGGGUUACAGUAACAAAACAAAAAAUAUUGUGUGCUAAAUCAUUCUCGUGGGUCUGGAAGCAUGUCAGCCCGUUGGGCUGAUCUAAUCUGCUGCGGGCUUUGCAAAGAACAGAAUCAUUUUGGUGGUGACAGUGGUGCAAACUGAUUGGCGGGAAAGUGAAGAGCUAUUGACAAUUUGAUAGAGAGAGUGUAGAAGGAGAAAAAUGGAACGAGGCGGGCUUAGUUUGAGCCUUGAACGACCCCUUGUUGGUAGGUUUCUUUUGAUGAGUUUAACUAUUAAAUGAAGCCUAUUGGUAUCAUUUUAUUGUACCAAAGGAGGUCCUUGUAAUUAUGUAAAUCUGAGGGGAGUUGAGUAAAAUUGUCAGAAAACCUUCUCUGAGGAGUUUUCUGAAAUUAUCACUAAAAAUUAUGUAGACUAACCCUUGACAACUAAGUUAAAGGCCAGGCCCGGAGGGAGGGUGGGGGUAAUGGAUUGAACAAGAUAUUCUAUGAAAUAAAAUGUUGAACGCGAAAUUAGACCACAAUUUCUUUAACUUGUUUAGUUGUUUUCCCCUUUCUUUGAUUUAUACACGAUUACAAGUAAACGAGAAGUUUUUAAGAAAAGACACAGAUAAAUGAAUACUCGACAACACAAUCCCGCAUAUCAUAAAAGAAAGACUAACAUCAAUAAAAUGAAUCACGUGUAAUCAAAUUCGUAACCAGAGUUCAACCUUAAUUUGUUUUUUUUUUUUUUUUGUCGACGGAGUGGGUGUCCGGGUCAAGUCCGUAAAAGCGGCCCGACUAAUCCCACUUCGGCCCGGCCCAGCGCCCCAACUUAGACCUAGCACGUUAACAGCACGGAGAAGCCGAUGUUGCUGCGGAGGUUCGACCCCAGGACCUGACGAUCCCGAGGAAGAGGCGCCAACGACCAGCCCAUUCACGUGGGGGCGUUCAACCUUAAUUACUAGACUAAUGCUUCGUCCGCUUGUUUGUCCUUUUUUAACAAAUGUCACACGGUUGGAUUAGACAACAUGUAUAUAUCCAUCAAUAUCCAUAGCCGGUCUUUUAAUCCCAAAUCCAAAAUCCAAAUAAUGCAGGUUGCAGAACACAACUUUAAAUAGCAAAUCUUAGUGAUCCUCCUUGGGCAUGGAUGGCCCUUGACAUUUGCCUAAUAGAAUUAAAGUCUCUCUUUAAGCCACCCGGCCCACAUUUUAAUGACAAUUGUUGCCUGGUCUUCGUCCCUUGUCGCUCACUCAUUAGGUUUUCUUUACUCUCUUCACCUAUAGGCUGCAGCUACUUAUAGUAAUUACAAGGACAAGGACAUUUUAAUAGUUCAUUUUGCAGCAUGUUGUUCCACCUUUUAGAUGAAAGAAUUAAAUCAUUGCAUCAGAACCCCUUGUGUAGUUAGAAAGUUGAGUCCAAAAUUCAUGAUCAAUCCAUCGAGUUGUCUAGCAAGUAGUACAUUAUUCACAUGCAUGCCUGCAAAAUGUUGCUCCAGUCAUGCAAUAAUACAUUGGAAGGAAAGAAAGAUCGGAGACUAAAAGGGACAUGAUUUUAUAGCAUUGUCUGCAGUUGUUAUUGAAUGCACUGGCCGGCAUCAUCUUGGCCAUGACCGUGCCCAAAUAAUGGAUAUGGUGAUAGCACAUCAGGUUUCCAUGUAUUAGCCAGGAAAAGGUAUUUGGUUUUGUUCAAUUAUUCGUUUCCAGUUCAAGAAUGGAGCCUAAUUGAGUGGUGGGAAUUAUGAAGAGGGGGUCGCUAGUAGUACUAGAGAGGAAGAAUUGUCCUACACUUUGGUUUCGUGGAAAUGGAAGAGAAAGAAUGUACUGUUGAUCGAUUGAGUGUUUCUACAGUAUCCUUAAAAAACUUCGCUAACCAACAUUUUCUUCAUAAAUGUUUAUGCAAGAUAAAAAUAAAAAAUAGUUGAAAAAUGUAUAUAGUCUUUUUCAGAACAUCUUUUUGGAAUAAUAUCUCUAUCCAAAUAGAGCCUCUUUUUGGCUUAAUAAAUGCAGUGUCGAUAUAUUUGGUUCAAGAAACCAAUUCAAUUGCUCUGCAGCCAGAAAAUUUCAUUGCAAGGAUAUAAGUAGGAUAGAGAAGGUUAUCUCUAUCCUUCUCUCUUUUCUGCACUUUCUUGGUGGAGCUAUGGUGACGGUUCAUCCUUUGCUACCUACUAGCAUUUUGAAAUCUCUGAGUCACUUCAAAUCAAUAACAAUGCAAAUCCAUGAUAAUGAUGGCUUUGCUCUUUACUCCUAAAUCAGAAAAGUAUUUGUUCCUUAUGCCAAGUUAGAUGGCAUUAAUUAGGAUAACCAACUAACAAGAAAAAAUAUUCAGAAACCUCCCUUGAGGUUUCUGACUAUUUCACUUAGUUCCUUUGAAGUUUUAAAAAUUACGCUUACCUCUCUUGAUUUGAUAUUUUGGUAACCAAACCUUAAAAUAAGAUCAAAAUUUUAAUGAAUGCCCUAAAAUGCCCUUAUCUUAUAAAGUUUAACUCAUUCUUCUAAACAAUUGUAAAGUAAUUUGACACAAUUAUUUUAAAAAAAAGGAGUCUCAAGUUUUUCAUGCCAAUAUUUGCUAUUUAAUAAUCAACUAUAACAAUAAAUCUUUUGUUAUGAUAAGCUAUUUUUUUAUAGUGCUUUAUCGGGAAUAUAGAUUCUUUUUAAGAUAGAGAAGAAAGUGUUAUCUUGCAUUUUUUAAGUUUAUGGACUUUUUUUUAAUAAAAGUUUAUGGACUAGUUUAGUGAUGGAACUACCAUAGUUUGGUAGUGAUUAAUUACUCUUGAUUUAUUCUUGAUUUUGAUACAAAAAAAAAAGAGCUAAAAAAAAAUUGGAUGAUAUUAAAAGUCAUAAAAAAUUACUAGUUUAACAUUUGAUCUGGAUAGAUAUUAGCGGAAAAAUUGAUAGGUCUUCUAUAUUUCUAAUGAAAUAUAAGAGAAAUUAAUAAGAAAGAAAAAGAAAAAAAAUUAUAAAAUCAAUCCUUUGUAUAAACAUGGUAACAAGAGAGUUUUAUUAAAAUAUUAGUAUUGUCAUUUUAAAUGGGUAAGGAAGGUAGAUGUAAUUUUUAAAACCUUAAGGGAGGCACAUGAAAUUAUCAAAAACCUCAAGGGAGGUUUCUAAAAUUAUCCCAAAUAUAUCUGUAUAUUCAUGUCACGGCUUGAAAGAUGUUAGCUUCUUGUGGCUUGGAAUUGCAAAUUCAUCAGAUGAUAAGAUUCCUGAUUUUCUUUUAGUAACUGGCAAACACUUUGCUUUGCAUCACUAAUUCUUCAGCUAUAGGGAUGAAUAUAUACUGGGAUUAUCCUAGGAUAUGUUUUGGCAUGGGCAGGAAUGUUUGCUUCGCAAGGGCAUCUUAUCUUCAAAUGUGAUGAAUAAAAGAAAAACAAAAAACAAAAGCCUUUAUAUUGAAGAUUAUUUGGAAAAAUUUUUCAAAAUAACAUUGUAACACUUCUUUUUUUUUUUUUGAUAUGAUGUAGGUCAGAUAAAAAAUUUACAGUUUGAACAAUAAUGAAAAUGAUUGAAAAAUAUAUUUAUGGCAUACCAAAAUUUUCUUUUCAAGAUAUAUGGCAAUCCAAACACCUGUGAAAUUAUUCCGAACACAUUAAAAAGAUGAAAAUAAUUCUUUCCGUGUAUAGCACUGAAUCCCAAUGGACUGAGAUUUGUUGAUGGGUCAAUUAUCAAGUGGAAAAGAAUAUACUUAGCCCAUGUCACAACGGCAAGUCGGCAGCUGCUGUCCCCAGUCCACUUCGUAAUUUUCAAGUUUAGGAACCUAACUUUGAAAAUUAGUGCAUUGUUGUAUUGCCUUAAUGGACGAUUCCAUCCUUCAAGUCUUUCAUCUUAAUUCUUUUUUUUUUUUCACUAUUUCUUUUUGAGUAAAUCUUAUAUACACUGAGAAUAUAUAUAUAUAUAUCAUUAUGAUUGGAUAUAUAACACAUAAAUAAAAUUUGAAUUUAGAUGAAUUAUCAUACAUCCAAUGUUGAUGAAGUAUAUAUUAUCAGUGUAUAAAAAAUUAAUCGUUUCCUUUUUGUUUGGUACAAAGUAUUAGAUCAAGGAAUUGGACCAUGUCGAAUUAAUGUAAUUAUGUAGUUGGUACACUUUGAUAUUAAAAAAUGGAAGUUGUAAAUCUCUAGCGAUUAACAAACUCUUUUAAUGCAAUCUUCUUUGUUCCAAAAUUCCAAUGUAUCCCUAUCAACAUGAGAAACAAUUUGGUUAAUGAAGCUAGUACGAGUUCAACAAGUCAAUCACUAUAUUCCAAACUAGUUGAUUUUAGAGUUGAUUCUACUUUUAGUCAUAGGAAAGGGCUUGGCAUUUCAAAGCAAACUUGAUACUAAUAUAUUCUUAAAACUAAUUAGGUAUCACUUUUAUGAUGCUUCAAUACGUGUUGUAUCACUUUACAUCUUCUUCUUAGGACAAUAGAGCCAAUUAAAAGUAGGUUUGUCGGAUACAUUUUUUGAAGUUAGUCUAAAGAAUAGAGUUUAUCCUCUUCGGUGGGCAUUUGUUAAUAAUUAAGAUGAGCUUAUGCCAUAGUUUUUCAGAAAAGUAAAAUUACAUUGAACAAGUGUUUAGAUACAAAACAAGGCAUUAAAAUUUCAGUAUGUAAAUAUUUAUAGUAAAUUAGAUUUGAAUUAUGUGUACUAGGAAGUGUUUACUCGACACAUAUUAAAAAAAAGAGUUAAUCUUAUAUACAUUGACAGUAUAUACACUAUUAUUGUUGGAUGCAUUAUAGUUAUCAUGCAUCCAAUCAUAAUAGAUUAAUAAUGUAUAUACUGUCAAUAUAUAGAAAAUUAAUCUUUAAACAAAUUCGUUAACGAAAUGUUAAGUUGGACAAAACUUAGAUGUGAUUGUCAAGCCUAGACUGAUAGAGUGACCUACUGGACAGCUGAAACGCUGAGCUCUAGCAUGGCAUCCUAGGCGAGAGAGAGAGAGAGAGAGAGAGAGAUUAGGGUUCCUGAGUUUCUGAAGAAUGACGUGGGGGAAGGACAAGUGAGCUGGAUAUAGAUUUUUUUUCCUUUUUUUUUUGUUUUUUUGUUGUAUGAUUAUUUAACUAUAUAGGAAAAAAAAUCUAUUUCUAUCCAACAAAAUAAAAAUACAGUUAAUAAAAUUGGAUUCAACCAAAAAUCUAUUAAAUAUAAAAAGGACAAUAACUCUCUUAUUCUAAAAUUAAAAUACAAGAAAUUGUACUUAAUUGCAAUAUAGUUACACUCGAUAAUUAAGGAGAAAAGGGAAAAUUACAUACAUUCAUAUCAUCAAGCUGCUGAAUGAUUUAAAAAGUUUAUAACAACGGAAAAAGCAAUAAGUGUUUGAAACUAAAAUAAUUAAUUGGUAUUUACGAAGAUAUCUUUUGGAUAUGUGAAGCCAUUUACAUGCAUUACAACAUUGAUGGUAGCAAAUUUGUGAAUUUAAUAUCUAACAUAUAUGAUCAAAUGUUUUUAAAAAAACUAUUCAAUUAAUCUUGGGAUGAAUGAUAAAUAUAAUUAAGAUAUUUAAUUUCAGACUAAAUAAGUAAGAUACGAGUAAUGCUUCCUUUUGUCAAAAUUGAAUCUUGAAAAACAAAUCAUAUACAUUCCAAAGGAAAAUAAGGUUUAAUCAUAGCAUUCUUGCUGUACACCAUCUACUUGAUACAUUCUAGCUUUCUGUUAGAAUUUUAUGUUGUCAUUUAUUUAAAAAAGAAUUAGCGAAAUUUUUUUAUUUCUAUUGAACAAAAAAAUAAUUGGAGCUUUUUUUUUUAUGAACAGAAUUUUAAACAAACAUGGCUACGAUUGAAUGUAAGGAAAAUUAUGUGAGAAAGUAAGGUAUUAUUUUGGAUUACAAUUUUCUAUUAAAAAAUUAUGGAAAAAUGGCCUGUUUCAUCCUUACAUUUCGCAAAAAUAUUCUUUUCGUCCCUCACUUUCAAAAUGAAGUAAAUUUUCCUUGACAUUUAAAAAUUAAACCUAUUACAUCCCUGAACCUAAUUUUCAAUCUGAAUCAAACCAUUCAAUAAUCCAAUAAUAAAUUUCGGAAAUAGAAUUGAUAGAUUACUCGGUCAAUUUCAUCAUUUUCACAUGACAUUUAUUAAACUAAAAAAUAUAUAUAACAAAAAAGGCAUUCUUUUCUUGGAAUAGUAGGGUUUUUUUUUUGGGUAAAUCUUUUCAUCUACCGUUAGAAUAUCCGCUUGCGAAUCUAGAUGUGUAUCAUAAAUAUAAAAUUUAGUAUUUAAAUUUAAAUUAAAAUGAUAUGGCGGUACAUAAAACCGUCAGUGUAUACAAUGAUAAUGUAGGAAAGAUUAAUCUUUCUUUUUUAUGUUAUAAUUUUUUAUUUUUGGGUUCAUUAAAUUUUACAUGAAUAUCAAGUUGAGUUAACCAAGUGAUCUACUAAUUACACCCCAAAAAUUUGUAAUCAGGUUGAUUGGUGGUUUGAUUCAGAUUGAAAUUUGGGUUUAGGGAUGUAAUAACUUUAGUUUUUAAAUGUCAAUGACGAAAUUGUUUCGUUUUAAAAGUGAGGGACGAAAAGAAUAUUUUUGUGAAAUGUGAAGGAUGAAACCGAUCAUUUUCUCAAAAAUUAUCACUUUUUUUCAUGAACACAUUUUUCAGUCGCUAUUAUAUCUCACAUAUACGUCACAUUUUCCAAUUGCUUACUUUCCUAUGCAGAUUUGUUUAUACAUCACAAAUUUUUUUUUUGCUAGACAAAAAUUUUUCUCGAAUAUUUAUAUAAGAAUUAAUGAUUUUCCAAAUUAAUGUACUAGUGCACAUACUAUGGCUACCCAUGAGGUCACGUGAUUUUCUGCAUGGAAUUAGCUGAAAUCACUGAUUAGAAAAAAUUAAGUAAAAAUAAAAAUUCUUCAUGAGCCCUACCACAUGAAAAAUACUUACAUUAGACAGAGAUCCAAUGCAAAGAUCCACGACCUUCUCUUGAAGGCCAUAAUUAUGAUACUUCAUAUUUUUAAGCUUAGUGAAAAAAUUAUUCCGUAAUCUGUUUCACAAGUGGAAUGAAGGCAUCAUUAAUCACCAAUGAGUUCUCUGUAAAGUAAUUUAUCCUGUCAGUGUCAGAACUGGAUGAACUACAUUGGAUCUGCCUAAUUUUAAUUAGUAGAUUUCUAGAAAUUUGAUGAAAGAAAGGAUUGAAUACGGUCAACGGGUUGAUUGCAGAUGUGUCAAAAUAUUCUUUUGGCAAAAUCUGUGAUAAUUUUGAUUUCAAUAUAGUAAAGGGCAAAUUAUUGUUCUAUCAAAUUGUAUAUACGAACUCUUAGUCAGUAUAGCCUCUAAUGAUGUUAAGUUGAUGCAUAUUUUAAUGAAAUUAUGACGUUUUAUAUAUAUAUAUAUAUAAAGGAAGGUUAGAUUUGUAGUUAGACCACUUAAAUAUAGUAAAAUGUUCGAGGGUUGAUGGAAUUUUGCCAUGACAUCAAGUGUAAUAAGUUACUAUUGUUAUCUCAUAAUUAGAAUGAUUAGUAGAUCAAAAAUAGCAACAUAUUUACUACUUAUAUUAGUAAGAAAGCGUGAUUUAUCUACAUAAAUUCCAUUGAUCGAGUUUGGUAAUGUGAAGAAAUUGAAAAUACAACUCGUCAACUCCUAUUAUUACCUCAUAAUUAGAAUGAUUAAUAGUUCAACUAUAGCAAUAUUUACUAUAUUAGUAACAAGCCGUAAUUCAUCAGCGUAAAUUCCAUUGAGUUGGCAUAACGUGAAUAAGUUGCAAAUCCCUUAUAGGUUUUUCUAACACGUGCUCUAAACACAUUUAACAUUCACCUAACAUACCAUAUGUAUACACAUAUUAACAAUUAUUAUAUUUCUUGUAUUUAUAUACGUUUCCUGUUUAAUCUUAUCUACUCUCAUCAUAUUUAUUCACUUUUUCUAAUUAAUCUUACAUUUUAAACAAUAUGACAUUUGAAAUAUAUCUUAAUUAGUACCCUAUGGGCAAUCAUCCCUUGUUAACACCAUUCUUUUGUUUUUGUCCUAUGAAUAUCUUUAGAUACAAAAAUGGAAGUGGCUCGUUUAGGACGGAAUGAUAGUCAUGUGAACUAUACAAUACAAUACAAAGCUAAAAAUGGACAAUUACUUGAAUUUCAAGUGUGGUAUCACUCCAUAUGAUAAAAGACUAUUCGACUUUCUUUGUGGCAUAGGUGAUGUGAUUUUAGUACAAAAUGUUUUAAAAAGAAACAUCAGGAAGGAUAAAUGCUUACGUGCAUGGUGUUAUUACCUAAAAAAAAAAAAAAAGUCUUAUGUGCAUAAUCAACAUAAAUCUCUCUUCCAUCUCAGGACAUAGAGGUUUUGAAUUCAAAUCCUCUUUUCCUUCUUCGUUUAUUAAAUUCUACCUUUUCAAAAAAAUUAUAAAUAUGUUGUUAUUUUAUUUUUAUAUGGUAAGCUUAGACAUUUUUAUGAUAGAUAUGAGCCAUAUUAUUUAACAAUUAGUUAUUUAUUGAAUACUUAGAUGGCAUGAGAAAAAUUUUACCAAUAUGUUGAACAAAUCUUCGGCCUUGAUAUUUUUAUAAAUUGUAUUUGAGAUUGUGUGUGUUUUUAGAAUUAUUUUUGCAGUGUUACUAUAGACUUCAAAUAAAAAAUAGUUUUUGAAAAAAUUUCCAAAUCCAAACAAAUCCAUGUUUUUUAAAAAAUAUUUUGCAUUUUUUUGAACAUAUUUUUUAAUUACAUUUUUUUUCCUGUACAUAUCAAAUUGAUAUAAUAUAUUUUUCUACAAAAGUUGCAAAAAAUAGCAAAUCCAAAUGGGCUAAUCUUACAAAUUAGAAGGGUAAUUUGGUCAUUCCGCACCUCUUCAAACGGAUUCACUUGAUUGAUUCUUGUCUUCUUCGCCACUAUUUCUCCCUCCCUCUCUGCCUCUAAAGUAACCUCCAACCGACUGGCUUAAGUUUAACAGAAACAGCUCACUGAGUCGACUCGCCACCCAACUCACUCACUCACUCGCCCCCUUAUAUAUAUACUCACACGUCCCUCACUCACUCACUCAACACUUCGCAUAGAUCUGUAUACAGAAGCAGAGAGAUCUGAAUACCAAAAUUCAUCAAAAUUCGUAAGUAGAACUCGAAAGAAGAAGAAGAAGAAGAGACAAUUCUCUUAUGAUGAGGGAAGCAGUGUCGGACUCCAAUCCGACGUCGUCUCCUCCGCCACAAGCUCUGCUCGAGAGGCUCAAGGAUUACGGUCAGGAAGACGUGUUUGCCCUCUGGGAUGAGCUUUCCUCCGAGGAACGCGACAUCCUUGUCAAGGAUAUUGAGGUCAUUCUCUUUCUAUUCGCAAUUAACUAGCUUCGCUGCACAAUUCAGUUCAGGCUUCUCUAUAGAUCUUGCAACACCAGCUUCACGGUUCAAUAUUCAAUUCUUCUUUAGAUUUUUUGUUAUAAUUGUAAUUAACUUGAAAAUUUUGAAUUUUCUGAAUAGUUUUUGGUGAUUCGUUUCUUAAUUUUGGUGAGUGAGUGGAAAACGGGAUCAUUUUUCAAUUGGAAAAACGUCAAAUUUGACUAUAGCUGUGGUAAUAAGAAUCUGUAGUAUAAGAAAAGAAUUUUGUUUUGAUGUUGCGUGAUUGUUAUUUAUUUAGUUUCAAGUGAUUAAUUUACUUAUGUAAUUAAUUUUUGGAAUGACAAAUUGUUACAGAGUCUAGAUCUCUCGAGGAUUGAUCGAAUCAUUCGAUGCUCGUUUAACUCUCAAGGUUGCGCUUUUUCUCUCGCUUGUCUUGAUUGUGGUCCAAUUUGCGGAGCUCUAUCAGGUUGAGAUUUCUGAAUUUGGGUUGUGUAUAUGAUGUUCAGGGGUUCCCGCAGCGGCAAUAGAGCCGGUGCCCGAGAGCAUUGUAUCAACAGUGGAGGAGCGGACGAUGGAAGAUAGAGAAAGGUGGUGGAAGAUGGGAAUGAAAGCCGUUUCAGAAGGGAAAUUAGCCGUGUUGCUCUUAUCUGGUGGCCAGGUAAUAAUUUACUUUGUUUUUUUGCUUUAUUUUUUUAGAUUUUUUGUUGGCAAUGAUUAUGAAAUGCACUUAAAAGAAAAGUAGUACAUUUAGUUGUUGGUGAAUAUUUUGGUGUAUGAUUAACUGGGUUGGUAUGAUGGAGUUGUUAUGGUGUUACCUUUUCCAGGUGUAUGCGUUAAUUUAAUGACAAUUGUGUGAUGGAACUCUUGAUUUAACCACAAAAGGGACAGAAAAGCAGGCUUUAUUGUACUUUAUAUACAGUUAGUUUAGGCUGAUAAAAGUGUUUCCUUAGGAUGGCCUUACUUUAUGCUGUAGUUAUGCCAAAGUCAUUUUGUAUGCAGAGUCAUAAAAGGAUUCUUAUGUGGGAGGUAACUUCUAUAUAAUGUUGAAAAGGGUCAUGGAAUGGGCCCACUAACUUCAGGGACCAGCCAUCCAUGCUCCAUUAGGAGGGAUUUUUAAUUGUGUCCAUGAAUUAAUUUUAAACUUUAUAACCUUUGAAGGGUGCAAAAAAUUUGCUAAAGAUUUAGUGCUAUUAAAUAAGUAUGCCCUUGCAACUUUUGGAAAUUGGCUCUUUUUCUAUGAAAAAUGUUUUUCAUUGUUCUAUGCUUCCAGAAAACUUGUUUCUUGUCAUCCUAAUUCAGGAAUAAAUUUGUAAACCACAUUACUGGUGUUUCUUUUUUUCCUUGUCCCUAACUAAAUUUUCUUUUAGAUUUUCAGUUAAGAAGGUCACUGUUCCAGCUAUGAACUUAAAGUAAAAGAUAUUUGAUUUAUGAGAAUUGUUUUCAGCAUGCAUAAAAAUGUUGUCCAUAGGCCUAAGUUGUUGUAGGCAAUGAUUUUGCAUGGCCCAUUAUAAUUGAGGUUGUGAAUCUGCUAUUCUGCCAUUUAUCGGUCAAUUUAUUACCUUUUCUUGAAGGCAUUCCUGAUUUUUUUGCGUCUUUUUUUAUUGCAGGGAACUAGGCUUGGAAGUUCAGAUCCAAAAGGAUGCCUUAGUAAGUCAUUGGAAUCUUAUUUAAUUUAGUGAAAUUUAUUCGACUCUAUAUUUCAUCACUCUAUAUUUAGUCUACUUGCAGAAUAACUAGUACCUACUCUUUCAGUUCUCUAAACCCUCUGACUUAGGCAAUGCAUUUGGAUGUGCUUUUCUUGUUGUCAAUUUUACAUUGUCCUUUAGGUCAAACAGAAAUUGUUACAGUGAGAUGUUGUGAUUGUCACAUUUUGUGCAAGUAAGUCCCGUAAAAUUAAACAUUUUUUUUUAACCUAAUUUUCAGACAUUGGACUUCCAUCUGGAAAGUCACUUUUCCAACUUCAAGCCGAGCGGAUUUUAUGUGUACAAAGACUGGCUUCUCAAUCUAUAAACGAGGGUGAGUUAUUCUUCUAUUACCCCAGCAUUUUAAAUCCGACAGUCAGAAAUGCUAAUCUUGAUAACUUAUGUAGGUUCUAAAACUGUGCUGCCUAUACAUUGGUACAUAAUGACUAGCCCCUUCACUGAUGAAGUCACACGCAAGUACUUUGAGAGUCAUAAAUAUUUUGGCCUCGAAGCUGAUCAGGUAAGCUUUGUUAGUUGUGGAUAAGUUGUUUGUUCGAGUUCUUUUUAAUCAACAAAGAUAGAAUUUUUGGAUGUAGGUUACCUUUUUUCAGCAAGGUACAAUACCUUGUGUUUCAAGAGAGGGAAGAUUUAUCAUGGAGACACCAUACAGAGUAAGGUUUUGAUCUUGUUUAUCAUUUAUGAAAAGGCGGAUAAAUGUAUACAUGUGUGGAACUUCAAGUGCUUAAUUAGCAACUUUAGCCAUCGUACAAGAUGCAGCAAAGGUUACUAGAUUUUUGAGUUCAAAUGUGACUUCUGUUCUAAAUUAAGGGAAUAAGCUGUAAAUUUCACACAUGUAAGCAAGUUUUUACAGUCUUAAAUGUUCUAUCACUAAUGCCAAUUUUUAACUUUAAUGGAGCUCUUGAGAAUGACUAUACCUACUAUUUUGUAGCUAGUGGUGUUAGGUCUCAUUGUUAUCGUGUGGUAACUUAUGCCAUGUAUUUGUAUAAACUAAUAGUAAAUAAGAAAAAAAAAGGCAGAUCCUUAUUUAGCUUGCUUUAUAAGUUUGUUUUAGAAAACUAUGAUAUAUGACUCAGGUGAUAUAAUAUUUACAAGGUUAUCAUUUUUGCUUAAAGCCAGGUUGCAAAGUCUCCAGAUGGAAAUGGAGGAGUUUAUUCAGGUAAUAAGAACACCCAUAUAAAAUGGAUAAGAAUAUUACCCUACCAUUGAAUUUUUGUCAUAGUUUAGUUCUCUUAAUUUGAUUUGAGGGUCAUACUUGGUUUGAUUGAAUACCCGUGAUGUUUUAGCGUUGAAAUUCUCAAGAUUGUUGGAGGAUAUGGCAACGAGAGGUAUUAAAUACAUAGAUUGUUAUGGGGUCGACAAUGCUUUGGUGAGUUCCACGUCUUUUCUUCAAUUCUUUCUUUCAAUCAGUUGAGUUUCUUGAAGUGUGCUCAAUUUAGAAUCAUGAUUAUUUGUAAUUGGAAAAGUAGGUUCGAGUGGCUGAUCCUACUUUCUUGGGUUACUUUAUUGAUAAAGGUGUAAGCGCUGCUGCAAAAGUUGUCCGAAAGGUAGGUUCUUCUUUAUUCUUCCUAGGCUUCUCUAUACAUUUAUUUUUUGAAAUACUAACAGUUUAGAUUUAAUCUUUUUACAUCACCAUUAAUUUUUCUUGUAAUAUCAGGAUCUAAUUAUGUAGUAUGCAGAGUUUUUCAAGGAACUAAGAUAUUAUUAACAAAAAAUGGGAGGAAUUAACAUAUAACUUCUGCAUACUUGAAAUAUGUGCUAGAUGAGUUAGACCUUGAAGAAUUACAUAGUUAUAUGGGGUUCCUUGAGUAUAUCUCUUCUCUGGUCUAUCACACUUGUGUGGCGUCAAUAUGCAAGUGAAGUCAAUUGGUUGAUUUACCCCGGUCAAUCUUGUUUGGGGUGACAUUCACUUGUGGCUUCGGCCUAGGCCAUCCAUUCAAUUAAAUGCUUUAGAAAUAUUGCAUCUGAAUCAGAGGUAUCUUGUGCAAAAUUCUGCUAAAUCUGUGUGGUUGUAUUAACCAUAUUACAGUGAAAGUAUAUAUCUGGAGAUUUUACCAUUUCAUAUGAAGAGGAAACUCUUAUCACUUUAAAUGUCCCAAAAUGGUGUAUUCUCUUCAUUUGCCUGUUGGUUAUGGUUAUUGCAUUCUAGUGGACCACAAGAAUAUAGCAAUAAUACUUUGAGAGAAGCUUGUCAGAUUCUUCACACCCUUUUUUUCUGGGUCAUGUAUCACAAAUUAGUUAGAAAGUGUACGGUCAUAGUCUAGAGUUGAUUAGAAUUAUUUAAUUAUUUUGUUUACUUACUCAAUGCUUAUCUGAUUUGGAAGCAUAUUGCUGCUACAUAAUGACACAAAUAUGGACGUUGUAACAAAUUGCUGGUGCUGAUUUUUUUGAAAUAAUGAAGCAAAUAUGCUUUCAAAAAUGGAGAAGAAUGACUAAUUGGUUUAAUAUUUACACCUUGAAGUGUCAAUAAGUUUUAGAUUCAGGACAUUGGAACCUAGUGCUGUUGGAGUUUUGGCCAAGUUUCAGAUAUCAUCUUACUGUCAUGCAGAGUAUAAUGCAUCGUAAUAAAAAAUCUAAUUUACUUUCUUCGACUCUGUUUCUUUCAUCCUUUUACAUGAAAACAAUUCAAAUGUCAUUAUGAAGGGUGCAAUCUAGUCUUCAACAAGUGGACAUUGGCACAUAAUAUAAGAUGAUGAAGUGCAAAGCUAUAUAAACAUUAUUAGUAACUUGUAAGCUUGUUUUGAUACAUUUGUUUUGGAAAAUAGUCUCUGUUUAUUUAUCUGAAGAUAUUAGUAGCUGUUCAACUUUGAUGUCUUAAGUCACAUGAUUUCUUGUUUAUUUUGAUUAUAGGCUUACCCACAAGAAAAGGUUGGUGUUUUCGUUCGGCGAGGCAAGGGUGGGCCUCUGUCUGUGGUCGAAUACAGUGAGUUGGACCCAUCUUUGUCUAGUGCUAUAAACCAGCAAACUGGUCGUCUGCGAUUUUGUUGGAGCAACGUAUUGUCCCUCUUUGCCUCUUUUGUUUUUUCUCGCUGUCUUAUUAAAGAAUGGUUAUUUCAGUGAUCAUAUGGUGCUUUUUGCUAGGGACUUUAAGUUAUAUCUCUUCCACAUGUUGCUUCAAGUGAUUGUCUUCUCUGAUUUCUUCCUGGUUGCAUUUUCAGGUUUGCCUACAUAUGUUUACUUUAGAUUUUCUGAACCAAGUGGCAAAUGGUUUGGAGAAAGACAGCAUGUCAGUAGUCUUAUCUUUCUUUUAGAUCUUAAUUUUCUGUAUUGUAUUAGAUCUAUAUUCUUAGUGUGUGUGCUUAAUUUCAAUAGUUAUAUGGCCUCUGUUUACCCUUCCUUUAUAGAUGGAUGGACAAAAGAUAUAAUGUGCUUGAUAUCUUUCUUAUCCAAUGAAUGUUACAGUCUAUCUGCUCCACCUGUCUGUAGAUUUGUAGAGAAGCUCAUGCUAUUAAUAUAUAUGAGUUGACUUUUAUAAACUGUCUUCUUCAUGGUAUGAAAUUACUAUGAGUUAAUUAUUUUGGGUAUGCUUUUUAAUUUUCGCUGUGCAUCACGUUCUUCUUUUCAAGUCAAAUAUAUCAAUGAGACAUGGGAAAAAUGUCAACUCACUUCCUAUUGUUAUCUUUAGCCAUUGAACUUUAGGGAUAAUUAAUGAGCCCCUUGUUUAGUUCUUUUCGUGAUGCUUUCCUGUUUCAAUUAAAACAUGUAAUUGAGCAAAUUAAUUCAGGCACUCUUUCAGGAUUUACUACACAUUCUCACCUUAUAAUUUUGGAACCAUCUCAAACAUGAGCGAAAGGAUUAUCUGUGAAGUACUAUCUAUUGCCAAAUUUUAAAAUUUUUAUUGCUAUUAUGGAACUGAUGUAGAAAGCUUUACAACGUGAGUGCAGCUAUCACCUUGCAGAGAAAAAAAUUCCAUCAGCUCAUGGGCAUACCUCGGGAUACAAACUUGAGCAGUUCAUCUUUGAUGCAUUUCCAUAUGCACCUUCUACAGCCCUUUUUGAGGUAAUUAUUGCUGGGAAAUGUUUGACCAGUUUCUCUCUCUCUCUCUUGCUCUCGCUCUUGCUGAUUGAUGAGAGGCAAAUAAUUACUGUAAAAAUCGUAAGAAACAUACCAGAUGUAUAAAAAUUGAAAUUUCUUUCCCUAUUGCAUAGGUAUUACGUGAAGAAGAAUUUGCACCAGUAAAAAACGCCAAUGGAUCAAAUUUUGACACUCCAGACAGUGCUAGACUGCUUCUUCUUCGUCUCCAUGCCCGAUGGGUUGUUGCAGCUGGAGGUUUCUUGACUCAUUCAGUGCCUUUAUAUGCAACUGGUAAGUCAGUUUUUACAUGUAAAUCUGAUAAGAACAUAAUAAUUGUUUUAAGAGAUAAAUAGUCUACAAUUUUAUCAAUCUUGAAACAAUUUAGUUUUGCUUUUCAUAGUGGAGUUAUCUAAUAAUGCUAAUGGGAACCUCUCCAAAUCCUUGACUAUGAAUUUUGCAACUCGUGUGAAAGUUUAACCAAAACAUCCUUGUCCUCACUUGUUAAAUUCAGGUGUGGAAGUUUCACCCCUUUGUUCAUACGCUGGUGAGAACCUGGAAUCUAUUUGCCGCGGAAGGACUUUUCACGCGCCCUGUGAAAUCUCAUUUUAAUUUGACGUUAUACAACAUAUUUGUUUGAACAUUCUUUUCCCUUUGCCUUCUUUUUCCCUUUUCCUUUGUCAAUUUCAAAUCCAUGUUCACCAGGAUGAGGCUUGUAAUCCAAAACUACAUAUUUGAGAUGCAGAUUAGUCAAGAAAGAAAGCUUUUGCCUUGUAAUGUGCAUAAUAAGGUGUCAUAUGUAAACUGUCGCUUUUGCGGUGGCUGAGAAGUAACCUGUUACAUUGGAAUGAUUUGAAGUUGAUGAUGAUUCAGAAUUGUCCAAUUAUUUGCAUUUAGUUCCUUUUCAAGGUGAUUUUGCUUUGCAUGCGCGGAAAUUUCGGGAGAUGAUUUUCCCCGAGAGCUCUAUUUCUUGUAUUCAGAAUUGUCCAAAAACUUCCUACAUUGUCAUGUGGUAAGCAAAAUCCGGUACUUAAUUCAAUGCUACAAGAACUGGAUCACGGGUAUUUUAGCAGAGCUACUUUGUUAAUAAAUGCUUCGGCACAAAGUAGAAAUUAAUGAAUGAACUCGUUUCAUUUUCCAUGUUUUGACCAUGAGGCCCGUUACUAUGUAAAUGGGUUCCACAAAUAGUAACUGUGUGACUAUUUUACCAGAUAUAAGCGUAUUUGAGAGUAACAACAUAGCUGUUUAAGUAGAAAAAUCUUGUCACAGACUAUGCCAAUUACUUAGCGAACCUAAUAGUUGAUCUUUGAUCAAUGUAAUGGUGUCAACUGGACAAAUAAAAACUCCACAAUUUUAUUGAAGUUGUAUUAGUGGGUUUCAUUAUCUUCUUAUUCAGAGUAUUCUCAGUCGUCGAAAAUCAACUGUUAGGCUUAUAAAAAUAGUGAGUUCCAGCCUUGAUAAAAUUUUUUGUUCAAGACUCUUAUAAGUAACUCUAUAAGAAUAGUUUAGAGCAAAACACUAUGCAGAAUGGCUCGACAUUUGUGUUUUAAGUAUGUUACGAGUUGUAAGUAUAGGUGUACGCUGCUCAGUACAAUUGUUGGAAUUGUCCAAUCUCCUGCCGAAGCAGAAUAUGCAUAUGAUGAAGAACUUGUACUUCAGGUCUAGAAUUACUCUCGAGUCUCAACCUACCAGAGUCACUACUUGGAGGGUUAAAUAUGGAUUAAUAUCAUCCAAAUUAGAUAAAAGGUAAAAAUAAAUAAGUCUCGGUUAGGGUCUGCUUUCAUCCUAGAAAUGGUAAUAAGGCAGGGGUGGGAUGGAAUGCCCCAACUCCUACCUUGCCCCCAUCACCCGCUCCCCCCGGGCCUGCCCAACUUCCCUCGUAGGCAGGCUAAUAGAAAUUUGCCUUGUAACGAAAUUUCAGGCAAAUUUCAAUCAACAAUCAAGUAUUUUAAAGACCAGCACGUUACCAACUUAUUGCUGAUACACAAUUUCUGAUAAUUUCACAAUACUUAACCCAUAAAAACAAAUAGAUACUAUUUUAGUACAAUCCAAUAUAAUGAGACAAAUACAACUCGAGUAAUCAGGUUUUCACCUUUUCAAUCUCAAGAAUGUCAAAGAGUAAAAGUGUAAUUAGUUAUUUAGUAUAAAUGUAUUAGUAUAACUAAUUAGCAAUUUGUGUUAGUAUAAAUGUAUAAUUAUUAAUAUAACUAAUAAUAUUAAUUAUAUUAGAUAUACAUAAUGUUAUAUUUAUAACUAAUAAUAUAAUUGUUAUAAUUAAUAAUAUUAAAUAUAUUUUAUAUAUAAUUAUAGUAAAUUUAUUUUUUAGGUGGGUGAUAGGACAGGAGAUGUCCCCGUUCCUUGCCCUGUUUUUUAACGGAGGGAGAAAAUAACCACCCGCCCUGCCUUAUCCCCCAUCUCAUCAAGCCCCCGCAGGCAACGCCCUAAUUGCCAUCUCUAUUUCAAUGAAUUUGUCCGUUAGGCAACCUUCUUCUUGAUUGUCCGUUAGGCAAUGAAUUUGUAGUGGUGUUGUACUGGCAGGGCGGGGAAAUAUCUCAACAAGACUAUUUUUCCUCGAGACUUCUUUACAUAUUUUUUACAUGUACUUUUGCUUUCAAGCUGAUGAGGGCCAUUCCUUUUUCCAAAUUUUGAAACAUUUAAAUGCCCAAUUUUGGGUAAAAAAUAUAACUCAUUUUCAUGUCUGACUCAAAAGGGUAAGCUAUGAAUACUUGGCUUUGAUAUAACUUGCCUACAUUUCCCACAACCUUUUAAUAUCACUUAUUGUGAUAGGGGUUUACAUUAUUACAACACUCAAAACCUAAGGGCGCUAUGCAAAAUUGUUAGAAACCUAAAGGGAGGUUUAUAAAAUUAUCCCCACUACAAAUUUUGCAACCAGGAUUAGGCACUAUAACAGAAGUUGAAAAUGUGCCAGAUACAAUAUCAUAGAUUAUAUUACCACUUAAUUAAGAGAAUCUUCUUUAGAAGGAAAAAAUACAAACAGAGCAAUUAGCCUCUUUCAGUAUCUUGGAUGACUUUAUGAUGUUCCCUAAGCCACAAAAAGGCCCUCCACAAUCAUCGAUAUGGCGCCACACCAAGCAGUGAGUCCAGGCCAGACAACUGACAUUGAAGAAAACUGUAGACUGACUCAGUCGUCAUUGCAGCAAUUCGAACCACAACACCUCUUCCCUGCAGAAAACAGGAAGGAGUUGGCAUGUCUUCAAAUGAAGAAUGUAAAACGUAUAUUUAGUUAAACAAAAUUUGACGCAUGAAACAAUUUGUACAAAUGCUAAAAUUUCCCUGACUUGACGAUGCAGAGAUGGAAUUUUCACUACAUCAAUGUCAGUAUAGAGGAAGCAGAAAUUUCAGAAGCUAUGCCAAACAUUCUUACAGAAAAUGUUACUUCAGUUUAAGAAAAGAAGCAUUUUUUACAAUAAGGAGUUCAAGAGAAAGCACGACUGUAAGGUGGAAAGCUUGUCAAUCUUCAAGUCUAACCAUCUGUGCAUGUAAUGGAGACAGGCAAAAUUUACAUAAAUCAAGCUUCCACAAGGCAUACAAUGAUCCAUAAAAGAUUAAGAUAUAAAAGAAAAAAUAUAUACCACAAUGCCUAACAGCAAAGUCAUGCAAUAUACUUGCUUAUGUCGUGUAACCCACUGAUUAGUAUAAGAUUCUCAAAGAGCUAUCCAAAGACAUUAAAAAUUCCAUGAGGAUCUUCAAGCAUAUAUGACACGACUAGUAGAAGACCCUGACUGCAAUUGUAGAUGCAAAGCCUUGCAGAUUAGUCAGUGGUAUUAAACAAACACUAAAAUAAAAUUUCCUUGGAACAGAACCUAUUGAAUAUUGACUGUAAAAAGAGCCUACCAUUGCAAGAAAACUAACACCCAUGUGAAAAAAAUCUACCUUUUGACCCAAGACGCUGCAGGAGGCCAAAAAGCUCGGUCUGGUCAAGAAAGGAUUGUCAUCGAUAUCUCCAUAUCGUCCAGAGCUACCUGAAGGAAUACGUAAUUGCUGAGACAUCAAGUUUUUCACAUUUUCCUGAAUUUGGUCUUGAAUGAACUUCAGCUUUGGCCUAAAAUUAAAAAGAUUUGUAGUCCCUCAGACAACCAAGAUUAAGUAGUGGAAAGGAAAUAAUCAUAUAAAGAACAAAAGUACUAGUUAAAUUAAUUCAUCGAGUCAACACAUACCCCAAAAGUAUAACCAUUGCAAUCACUUGAUAAUCUUGCAUCCGUUCAGCAAUACUGCUAUACCUUCCCUGCUCUAGCAAUAUCUGUGAUCAAAGUAAAACAAUCGGAGCCAUUUAAAUGAGAAGGAUAACCAUCAUCUAGUUACAACAGAGUCAAUCUUGUAGAAGGAAAAACUUCAGAGAAGAGAACUGAAUUAAAGGUAACCAUUCUUGGAUCAACAUUCUCUAAUUAGUUCAGAUGUAAAGAAAACAAAAUGAGUUUGUUUUAGAGUCGGAUGUAUAGAAAAUAUCAAAAGCAAGAGUCUCCCAACGCAGGGGAGUCAAGAAACCCAAAUGCAGAGAGCAUUCUGAGACUUCACCAACAACUAAUGCUUAUUCAUGAGUGAAAAAGGAAAACAAAAGAUUCCUGAUAGAGGUAAAAAAAUUAGCUAAAUGAUCUCCAUGUUGAAGACAAUAGAAGACUGGGUAACAUAACACCUGUGCAUGCCAAUGUGCUAGAUGAUCUUUAAGCAAGUCAAAGUUCAAAAAGUGCACCGAAGUUCCAAGUAAAUCAGUUUGAAGAUCUGAAGCUUGUAUCUCCAUGAGAUGUUUGCAUUUGAUUAUUUCAACAAAUAUCAACAUUAAUUGCUAUGGAGAAACACAUUCUCCAGGCUCAGUCCAUCAGAAUAAAGCAAUUUCAUCCAAAAGAUCUUUUUUUUUUGGGGGAAUUCAUUUCAAAGAUGUUUCCUAUCAUUAAGGCAUCUAAUCGACAUUUGCUCAAAGCUGUUUGACAAAAUUAAUUUACCAUGUUCCUGUAAACUGCAGUUGUCAUGAUUACAAUAUUCUAUUGUCCAACAUGACAUAUAUUCCCAGGAUUAAGGCCUGUAUAUGCAUAAAUUGAUUAAAAGGACAUUAAAUGACCACAGGUUGAAAGCUCGAAAGCAAUUAAAACAAAAAAAAUACAACAUUCUACAAAAAUCUAAAGAUAUUCAAGAUUGACAUGAAUCUAUUGCAAGCAAUAGUUCAAAAAAUAAAAAUUUCUUAUAAGAUUAAAAUACUUCAGUUUCACCACUCUCUUCAAUAUCACACGCUUAGUAUACAAUGAUGCUAGCAUAGUUAAAAAACAUGGAUUGAGGAUGACAAUACCGUGUCAAGAAACAAAGGCUCAUCAGCAUCUAGAAAAAUGUUGUUAGUGCUCUUGUAAAGUUCAAAGUCCCACUUUUCACCUCUUCCAUAACGGCCACUAGUUAUCCAAUCAACAAUGAGCAAGCUGGAGCUGGGAAAGACUUUGAAUACUUGAGUUUGAGAAUACUUUGCAGUUGAAAAACAUGUAACUGGAUCUGGAAUCACAGCCAAAAGUGCAUCACUUCCAAUUCUUGCCUACUGUGCGGCACAAAAAAGCCGCUAUUACCAAUAGCUUUAAAACUCAGGAAAGAUAUUGCAUAAGAUAAGUAGGAUACUAGAUAAUACAAACUUGGCUUGAGAAGCUAAAGUACUCUUCCCCAGCAACACUAUUUUUUGAAGCAGCAGAAGGAAACACCUAGGUUUUUCAGCCAUAAUAUCUUUUUUUUUUUUGGUCCAAAACAAGAACAAGCCAAGAUGAAAAUUCCGUCACUAUGUCAGCAUAGACAAUUCAUAGCCAUGCACAGUACUUCUUUUUUUUUCAAAAAAAUUUGCUUGCAUAAAGUACUACAUUUUUUGUAUUUCAGAUCCAAUGGUAAAUCCAAGAGGUGAUUUAAAGAUAACAAGGGGCUAAGAGAGUCUAUUAAAGGUUCAUGAAAAGUAAUACAAAGAAAAUGAAGGAAGCAGUUUAGACAAAGGUUUUACUACUAACUUUUUAUUCGAAUUUUGAUAUUGUUGAUCAAAUUAAGCUAGGAUGAAUCUUAUUACUCCUAAGUCAGACAUCCUCAUACUACUUAUUUGCCGUGAAUCUAGAUUCCAGUUUUCCAGCAGGUACCUCAUUUCAUGAGGUGAAGUUUUAGGUGUUCUUUUAGGAAUGGUAGAAAAGCGUUGUAGAAUAAUCUAGCAAGUUUUUGUAUCAGGGUCCUUAUCUAUAGAUUAGCUUUGCAUAGUUUUAAUGUGGUAUGACUCAUGUGCUCUGUCAAUAACUUGCAAAAGAGAUUCAUAUGGCCCUUGAAUGCUUGACCUAAACUUGUCUUGGAACAUAAAUGCAUCCUAGGAUUUCUUCUUAUUGACCAUCUUCUCUUCUAAACUGUACAGCUCCAAUCAAAAUCCUUAUUCUAGCUGUCUUCUAGCCUGCACAUCCUCUCUUUUCCACAAGUUCAGAUUAUUCUGUCCCAACCUCUUCCACUUCAAAAUCAAACCAUCCCUUCCAUCCCAAGACAAACAAAGUUCAAAACCAUUAUUAGCAGCUUUAAUUCCAGGCUUCCUCAAGUAGAUCUACUUCAUGACGUCCAAAGAAAUAGACAAUUCAGGACUAGAAAACUUUUCUGGUGAACAAAUCUAACAGGAACUAUGAAGUGUAUCCCAAUAAACAAGGGAGACAACUGGACAACUUGAAUGUGUCCAUAAUUUCUAUAAAAACAAAUUGGCCCAUCUCAUGAAUCAGGUUUCCCACAUGAAAUUUUAAGUAAACAUAAUAUGAUUUAAGAAAAUAGCACUUUGCCCUCUAGCACUUUUAUUGAUUAAAAAGAUGCAAAACUUGGCUUCAGAAUAAUGUUGGCAACAUAAUGCUAGUAACAAAUAUGUCGGUAACAUAAUGCUAGUAGCAAAUUCUCAAAAGAAAAUCAAGUGCACAUAAAACUUGUACAAUACUGCAAGCAUCAGGAACAUCUGAAGAAACUUUGAAGGCAAUCAAAAGCAAACACCAUCUGGAAAAGCAUUUCAUGUAUGAGAUCAUUGAAAACGUGUCUUGAUAAUUACUACCUUUAAUUAGGUGACAGACAUGUUCAACUCCAAUCCCAAAUUAACAUGUGAAAUGCAGCCUAGGUCGAAUUUUCCUUUAUACUUUUUGACCAAUCUAGACUCCACGGUGACAAACAAAUCACUGUCGUGGGGAAACUGUUAAAAGUUAUACCAGACAUUAACAAACACAAACAGCAAUAAAUGCUGAAUUAGCUUAUUCAUCAAGCAAAAUGGUGAUUACCUCCAGAACUUGUUCAGAGCACUUUGAUUCCACAGAUUUGUAGACCUAUAUAUAUACCAAUGGUGUAAACCAAAUUAACCAAGCAUCAUCAAAAAACGAAAGAAAAAUAAAGUAUUACAGAGUCCAACAAUACUUAAUAGCAAACGCAAAACAAAAACCAUAAGGUGGGACAUAGCAUCAAAGAUUUGACCUUUGUUGAAGCUUGAGUGGUUAACACUGUGGUGCACCCAUCACCAACUGAAAUAUCACACUUUAUAGCAUCACCCUAUUUAUGCAUACAACAAAUUUAAUCACUCAAACCAAAACAUAGAACUAUUGCAGACUAUUCAACUAUUAACAAAAAACAGAAACGCACAAAAACGAUACACAUCUCUUUAUGCAGGGAAAUGGAAAGUGUGCAUACCGACACAAUUCCACCACCAUAAGUGAUAGUGUAAAUCCAAACAGCAUCAAUUUGAGAAGGACCCACCUGCCAAAACCACCAUAAAAAUGAAAACCCAUGUCAAGAAUCAAACGUUUUUUCUUGCAUGCCAAUAUAAUUACUUCAGAAUGUUGGUUUCCGCUAUAGGCAUCAGUAGGGAGGGAACCUUAUUGGGGAUGAUGAAUUUAAGAGGAUACUUUGAGUAGCAGUGAAUAGCAGCUGACUUUCCACCUACCCUCUCCACUACCACCUUUCCUGUUUCCAUCUCUGUCCCCGAUUCUGUCAAAGGCUCAAAGUCCAAUUCCUGUUGGGAAUUUUAAGAUGGGCUUACUGCAAUUUCCUUCUUGUAAUUUUAAGGUGGCAAAGAAUUGGUUAAUUUAAACUGCACCCCUUUAUUUUUCGAAGAACUAUCCUUAGACCCUUAAAGUUUAGAAGAAAAACUGCUGUACACCAUUGAUUUGAUGCACGAGUUUUUGAUCAAAACAGGCUAGAGAAAUCAAAACUGAAGCACAAGUUUAAGGCCCCUCUUCACAGAAGUAAUCAACAAGAGGCAAUAUAGUACAUGUCGUUGCCAUGGACUGUCAUAACUAUACAAGACAAGCUUUAGGUACUUCAAUUUUCAAUUUACUAGUAAUAUCUUAUUUUCCUCAUAUUACCGUAAAUUAAUCACCAAAUUCAUAAUCUAAUCGACUUAUUUGUUUUGUUGGAUUUUUAUUUGAAGAAGACCCCAUUUCUAAAGAAGUAAAUAGUCCUAAUCAAGAGGAAUAAGGUAUACAUUCUAGGUAAUUAUGUUCUGUCUUUUAUCUUUACAUGUGAAUAAAAUAAUACUAGUGCUACUAGCAUACUCUAUGAGAUGUGUUACAAAAUAGACUAGUUAUUAUUGUAAGUUUUUUUCUUUUUUAAUGUAAUAUAUAUAUAUAUAUAUAUAUAUAUAUAUAUAUAACCAUUGGGAUUAGUCUAAUAGUCUAGAAAGAGUUCUUAGAAUCUUCUUUGUCAGGUUUAAGGUUCAAAUCUUAUACUUGAUAGUUUGGAGGAAAACAUGGCUAAGUUGUAUAGAGAAGAUGUUAAAUGCUGCGCUUUAUCAAAUUUUCUGUUUUAACAUUUUUACUUGAUUAACAAAUGGAGAAGAAGAAAAAGAAUUCAACCUUACCAAAGAGAAUUCGAUCAGUAAAAUUGACAGUUUUGAUCCAUAAUCUAUAAAAUCACAUAACCAAUCAAGCUAAUUAAUUGAAUUGUGAUUUUAUUAUGAUAUAUUAACAAACUAAUAUUGUUUGUGUUUAUCAACAAGUAUAUAAAAUUGGUUUUGAAUUAUCUAGAUGCCACAUGAGUUUUUUCUUUAUAGGGUUUUUUACAAUCAGAAUUUUGGAACAUAUUCUAUACAAUACGCUAUUUAUAUAUUAAAGAGUAAAGGUUUUUGGAAGGUUGUUAUAAAGUUAACCAUAAAUUAUCAACUGCAUAAAAUUAAUGUUUGCCACUUUGUUGAUUUAAGUUGGCAAUUGUAGUAAAUAUUCAAUAUCAUAUAUGAAGAAAUCAAGUAGAUACAAUCAACACUAUAUGGCGUAUGCUCAUAUUUUUCUUGCUUGAGUGAAAAUGAAUUUUGUUCAAUGCCUUUAAUAUAAAAGAAAUUCGAUAAAAUAGUGCAAGACUAUAGUACCAUGAGUAAAACAAUUACCUCAGACAAAUUUAAAAACCCGUGGUUCAGUAGAUUUACCUCUAUUCUACCAUAUACAUGAAAUCAAGUGUAAACAAAAACCAUGCAAUAAAUUUGGCAUGUUAUAGUAGAUUAUCAUUUUUUAAAGUACUUUAAGUUUUGCUAAGUAUAUUUCUAUUCCCAAAUUUAUAGUAUAUAUCUUAAUAGUGUCAAUAUAAUGUGCCUAUGAUUGAAAAAUUAUUGAUUUUAAGUUCUAAACUCUCAAUUAUAUUGUAAUGUUAAAGGCACUUAUGUAUAUGUUUCCUUUGAACAUGAUGCAGAAAGCAAAAGAAUUAUUCAAAGAAAAUAUAUGCAAAGUGGAAGUGCAGCAUCAAUUCAAAGUCUAAACAGAGAAAAGGAAAAGAUAUACUGCCAAUUGGAAAAAAUGGUGCAAAGAAAUAAGAAAGGAAGAUUACUUAAAGAAAGAGCACAACGAAGCAAGUAUUGCAUUUGAGUUCUAUUAACUUUGCUCAUGUGUUGAGUACUAAAGCUAGAUUAUUGACCUGAAGACAUCUCUCUUAUAUUGCAAUUUCAAAUUCUAGGUUUACAAUUAUGUUGGUUAUUUUGUAAAAAUAAUUUCCAAUUAUAUAUUGUCUUCUUAAAUUUCAUUUGAUGGUGCUUGUUUACUGCCGCACCCCAUUUUUCGCGAAGAAAAAAAAAGGUUUACAAAAGAUGUGAUUUUAUUUAAAAAUAAGUGAAAAAGGACCUAGAAUAUAACUUUAAAGAAUGCGACAGUUUGGCUCCAAAAUUUAGUCUAAAAGGAUUUUAAAGGAAAUUAGGAGUCACCACUUGGUAUUUAGUUUGGGUGUACCAAGUCACCCCAAAAUAUUUUUUUGACAAAAAUAAAAUAAAAUAAAACCCUUUUUGACAACUCCAAGUCUUUGAAAAACAAGAGAAAAUGGGUUCGAGAGUCAUGAUGAAGAAAGGGAAGGCAAAGGUUCAAUUAACUUAAACCUAAGGCACCCUUUCAAACUAGUCUAAGCUAGUUGUGAGGUUUAGUUAAAAUUUUCCUAAUCUAACCCUUAAAUUUAUCACGUUUAGAUGUUUCCUAUAUGAAUGUAAAUCUAAAUUUAAAAAAUGUCAGAAGGGUCAAAAUAUUCAUCAAGGGUUUAAUUGAUACCACUCGCAUUAAUUGCAAAGUCCAAAAUAAUCCCUUGAAAGGGGUCACGAGCAUGCAUGAAUGAAAUUCAAAGAAAAAAAAAAUAAAAUUUUACAUUUAGAUAUAAGUGGUCAAAGAAUAGGAAUGCAGCAUAAUGGAUACAGGAGGCAAAAACUCACGACACAAUUUUCUUAUACAAGAAUUAAUGGGGUAUUUAAACUAAAGAGUUAUAAUCACCCAUAUCCAUGUUCAAAGAAUAAUUCUCCUAAUAUGAACAAGCAAUGAACUAACUUAUUCUAUAAUUUCUUAAAUGAGAUGCAAUUCUAAAUGAUAUAAUUAGCACAUAUAAAGGGUAGGGGUAGAGGAUAAUAUAAUAGGAAAUAUCAUGCAAAUGAGAAAAAGAUCCUAAAAAUGAAAAUAUGCAUGAAAAUGUAAUGAAUAUCACACAAAGAUGAAUCUAAGGCAUGAACAAUCUAAGGGCCUAACAUUAGACUAACCCAUUUCUAAAAGUCCUUAUUAACGUUGGACUAGCAAGUAAACGGAGGAAGAAGACACAACUAGCAUUGGAUUAGUAUGGUGACGUCAUGUAUUAAUAAUACAUAAUAAAACAAAUAAGGUAUAAAUUAAAACAAAUAAAUACAUAUGAGCACAUAGCACGUAACACGUAAACAUAAUAUCUAGAUGCAAAAAUUCUAAGGAAAGCAGAUAAAGCAUAUAACACAUAAGCCACAUAAACACAUAACCUACGUAUUACAUCGGGGAGCCUAACUACAAUAUAAAUGGGGAAAGUAUGAAAUAAACCUACCUAUCCUAUCUAUUACAUUGGUCUAUCUAAUUACAAUUUUUGUAAAAAAAAAAUUAUCUAUCUAUUAUGUCUUGAGGUAUUUAAGCACCUCUCAACUAAUUAAAAAAUUAACUAAACAAAUAUAAGAAAAUUUGAAUGAACAUUUAAAUCAAAUAAAUAAAACAUAUAAAAAUAUAUAAACACAUAGGAACAUGCAGGAGCACAUAAAAGCACAUAAUUGACAUUGAAACAAUAACAAUAGGGGUACCUCCCAUUUGAAGUGGUGACUAAAUGGAAGUCAAAUUGCCCUAUUUAUACUCAAAAUAAACAAAAGAAUCAAGGCAUCAAUUUAAUUGAAAAUAAUAAUAAUGAUAAAAUACUAAAUUCACAUUAAUAUGUCAAAUAUAAAAAAACUUAAGAACAUCUAAAAAUUACAAGUUAAAUAUAUUCAAAAGUAACAUAAUUAGCUAUUAAAGAAAAAAAACAAUCAUAAUAAAAAGAGUCAAAAUUCACUAGGGACAAAAUUGCAAAAAUGGAAAACUUUUGGGAAAAAAUAUAUUUUUUCAAAAUUUAAGGGUCAAAAUUAAAUAAAAGAUAAAAUCUAGGGACCAAAAUGUAAUUAAUUUAAGGACUUAAGUGAAAGAAAUUUAAAAUAUUCCGGGCUGCAGUAAAACUACUCCAAAGAUCAGGAGCUAAAGUGCAAAUUAGCCAGCAGAUCUUAUUAAGAAAACAGGCCACUGGGCCAUUCUCUAUUUAUUUUCGGGCCAAAGUCCAAGCCAAAAUACCCAGGCCAGCCCGUCUGGUUAUCACUCAAGCCUGACAAAAAAUACAUGGGCUCUGACCUACUAACCCAACUAAAACCCAAAAGAAAUAAACCAAAACCUACUCCCAAAACCCAACCAAAUAUAACCACAAGCCCACCUAAAAGAAAACAUUAACCCAAACCUUUUUUUCUCUUCUUUUCUUUCCUUUCUUUUAUUUUCUUUCUUUUUCCUUCUCUGCUUCUUCAUUCUUCUUUCACCCGAGAAGCUGAACUCCUCCCUCCUGGCGGCUAUGGCCGCCUCCGGCGGCACCGCUGCCGGACCGCCGCCGGACGCGGCAAAUUUUCCUGUCUUCAAAUUUUCUCAAAAUACAACCCCCACUCGAUUUUUCGCAUAGAAUCCGUUUUUGAAGUUAGUUUUUACAAAAAAUGACCCGAAAGUGGCCAAAAUAGCAAAAUUCAGUCCAGUCUUUAUAUAUUUUUUAAACACUCAAAUCUUUCACCAAAAAUCCUAAAAAUUAUACUAUAACACUCCUCACAACUUCAACAAUACAACUAUGAUUUUAAUUUGACAAAAAAACAACAUAAAAGGGCUAAAAUAAAGCAAAACAGCCCCUUAAAAUUCGUUUUUUCCAUUUUGACAUUUUUUCAAACAAUUAACAUGCAUUCACAGAGCCGAUUCUUUUUUCUUUAACUUUUAUUCAUGGGUAACCCCAAAACUUCAACAACAUUAGUAGCAACAACAAUAAACGGAACCAAGGGACAAAUAAACAUCAAAACAUGUAUUUAAUUUAAUAAAUUAAGGAAAGGAAAAAGCUGGAAAAAAGAGAAAAAAGAAAUACCUCAAUGAAGAAUGUAGUCUCUUGACUAAAAAUUUGAUGAAAUUACAAGCUCCAACCCAACCGGUUGCUGUCUCUUUGUUGUGUGUGAGUGUGUUGGGAGAAAAGGAGCCGAAAGGGAGAGAAUGAGGUUUUGUAUUGGUGUUUGUUUGUGUAGUUGAGAGAAAACAUAGAUCCGAGAAUGAGUGAUAUUUGUUUGUGUUGUUGUUAACACAAAAAAAAAAGAGAGGGAGGAUUGAGAGAGAGCCGAGAGAAGAGUGCGGGAGAUUGAGUGUUGUUAAGAAAAAUGAGAGGGAGCCUUCUGAGAGAGAGAGCCGAGAGAUUUGUAUAUGGGAGCAAGAGUGGAGUCUUUGUGUGUUUGGUUAGUAAAAAUGAUGGUUUUUGACCAAAAAUGAAAAGAAAUGUGCAUUGAGAUAUUGAGUGCAAAAAUGGAUAGAUCAUUUGGUGAAAGAGAAAUAAUUAGGAUGAUUUUUUAUUUCAUGAUUUUCUUCUUUCUUUUUUGUUUGUUUGUUUGUUUUUCUUUUUCCUAACAUAAACCUGCAAAAAUGAGAAAAUACACAUUAAAAUGUAAGAAAAUAAAUAACUCAUUAAAUAGAAAAAAUUUAAAAAAAUAUUAAAAAUUGAUAAAAAUUUUGUGUCUACAUUUACCAUAUAUCUAUAUUGCAAAAUUAGAUUUAAUGUUUGAAUCCUAUAUAUGAACAUAUUGUUUGCUGGUUAGGACAUGCGAUAUUAAGAAAGGAAAAGUUAUAUGUACUAGAACAACAAUUAUACACUUCCACAUACUACCCUAUCUUCAUAAAUAGCUAUCAUUAUGAAUUGUCUUUACUAAAAAAUGUGAAAUAAAAAGGAAUAUUAGUUUAUUGGAAGAGUAAUUUCUAUUGGAUUAGUUUAUUUUAGCAAGAGGCAUACUAUGACACUAUUAUUUGCAACAAAAAUUUAUUUAAACAUAUUAGUAAUUAAGUUACUAGUGACGAUUUCUGCAUAAACUUAAGAUUUCUUGUUCUUGGUGUAUUAUGUUAUCUACACGUUUCAAAUGUAUUAUUUCAUUAUCCAAUUCAUACUAAAUCAUCCAUUGCUUUAUGCAUUGAUAUGUAGAGGAAAUGUAGGAUAUUUUUCUACUUUACCGAUAAAAUGAGGAUACAUAAAGAAGAUAGCAACUACUUUUACACCACUUUCCUAUAAUUUUCCUAUUGACAAAAACAUUACCAAAUAUUAUUACAUAAUGUCUUUUUAAUCCAUGCCUAAACAAGCUUAACAUCCUUAUACUAUAUAAGAUUGAGUUUUGGUCAAAGAGGAGGUUGAAUUUCAACCGCAUAGGUAGGGGCUUUUUGAAAAUUCCUUAUAUUAUGAAGUGUUUUGCAAGUUGAAGGUACAAGUCAGGAAAGCCUGUGAUUAGGUAUAUUAACCGAAAUGACCUCCUUUAUAGACAUUUAAAACUUUAAAUGUGGUUGCGUGUUUGGAUAUUUAUGGUAUGUGCAAUUAAUCUGGAACCAUUUGUUGCUUUUGAUACAACUCAUAUAAGCAUGUGGGUUUGUGUAAUUACUGAAAUGGCCUUUACACAGCACACGUACAACUCUUGAGCCACAGACAGCUGUUUGGGACUCGCGCUUUGGUUGAAAUUGCCUAAAAUGAGUCUUGGUCGCUCUUAUAGACAACCGUUUGUGUCUGUAACUUGAACAGCUUUUUUCCCGCUGUUCUUGGCCACUGUUGCCUAAUGUUUCAUGAGCUUUCCGGAUAGCUUCAUGUUUGCAUCUGGGUAUUAGUUUUUGUAUUCUUUGGAUGUUGUCUCAUGAUAUUGUUAGCUUUACCGUUCUGAUUCCCAGCUUGCCUUUUCAUUUUCUCUCAGGUGUGAACUCCACUAUUUUGCUGUCAUUUAUGCCUGAAUUUAACGGCCAUAAACAUGGGUUUAUUAAUGACUCCAUGUCUGGCCUUUGGGAUUGGAUCUGUUUCCCCCCUUUCAGUUUCGAGGAUUGGGAUUUUCCAUGCCUCUUCCUUUCCCCUCUCAUCCGAGCUUAUGUCCGAAAGACCCCAUUUCUUUGACAUUAUAGCCUCAAUUAAAUAGUCAAGCGUUUGUAAGUUAAUGCCUAAACGGCUGCGCAUUGAUUAUGCUUAUUUCAAUACCUCCUCUUUCGUUUUCUUCGGUUUCACCCUUUUAAUAUUCUGGGAUUUGGGCUAUUUUUUAUGCCUUUCUACCGAGCAUCUCAGAAUGUUCUUUAGCUGCAACUACUCCUGGUGGUUUAACUUGAGGUAAGAUUUUUUCCACAAUUUUGUCGUUCAUGUGGGUGGUUUGGACCAUGUGUGGCGUCGAUGUGUGCUUAAUUCCUAAAAUUUGACACUUGGCCCUUGUAAUUUAUCUGCAACAUACAGAUUUUUUCACAAAUUUAGAAGGCCUCUGUAAUUUGACUGGUUUGCUUAUAAUGUUAUAGGUUCGGGAUAACAGCAAGAAGAAGUUCUCGGUGGGGUUUCUGGAAUAAGGUUAGCUUUCUGGGUAUCAAGUCAUUUGUGUGGCUUUCUAAUAUUUGUCACUACGGAACAACAUCUGCAUCCUAAAAUACCGAAAGUGCAAUAAGCGCAACUGAAGUAGCCGACAACCCAGACCUCAACUCUAAAGGAACACAAAUGGAUGUUGCAAUACAAGCAGUGGAGACAAAGAAAAGAGACAUCUCAAUCACUUUGACACCCUCACCGUCUACAAAGUCCAGUGAAGGAACCAGUGGUACAACCCCUGUAAAACAAAAUGAAAAAAUCACCAAGAAGCAACGUAUCUGAAUGCUGCCUAUGACAGCAUCUAAAAGAUUUUACUACUAUUACUAUCACUAAAUAAGUGGAUAUACAUAAUGUCCUUUUGAACUACUCUAUUAUCUAUCUGGAUCAUGGGAAACCUAUUUGUCCGUACAUUUUUUGGAAUUUGCUGCAUCUACUUAUUUGUCUUUGGGAACUUGCUGAUUCUAAUAUUGGAUGGCUUUUAUGUUGUUUGUCUCAUAAUCGUAUCUGCUUCUAAUUAUGUCGCACAAUGUACUAUUUUUAGUUCAACGAAAACACUUCUUUAAUCACAGGCACCAAACACUCGCGCGGUGCGCGAGCACUCCCCCUAGUAUUAUUAUACGGUUGUGUAUGUAAAAUAACAUCCAACAAGCUUUAAAAAACUUAAUUGGACAAUGUUUAGUGGUGGCUCAUAUAUUUUAUAGAUCAAUCAUUUAUACAUUAUCAAUGUAUACAUCAGUGAACCCAAAUGCAUGUUAUCUACGUAAAUUUUGAAUUUCAAAUUUAAACUCAAAUUAUGAUCUAGGCAUGCUUGUAUAUACAUUGAUAGUGUAUAAAAAAUUAAUCCAUAUUUUAUGAUAAAAUUUUAAUUUAAAGAAAUGAAAGGCCUAAGAAAAAUGAUGGAUGAGAUUGUAUGUAAAUAUAUGACACAUAGCUUUUAGGGCCCGUUUGGGGUUGUGGUAACUUAUUAAAAAGCACUUUUUCAGUAGAGCUUUUUAAUAAAAAUACUUAUCAACUAUUUAAGCAUUUUUAAAUAUAUUGUUUGAGAUAUAAUUCAAUAAGUACUUAUUGUAAUAGAUCAUGUGUAAUUUGAUAAUUUUUAAAAGUGUUAUCUCUUUGUUUGGUUCAUAAUAUAGGCUAAGAUGAUUAAAUUUGAUGUUUUAUUUUUUAAAUCACAAAAUCUACUCUAAAAGCACCAAAUUUGAGCUUUUGCAAAAAAAAAAAAAAAAAAAAAACUUUUAACACCAAAAGCUCUAUUCCAAAAUUUGUGGGAUGAUGUUUAUCAAACAAUUUAAAAGUAUUCUUAGUACCUAAAAGGUCUUUUUUUUACCAAAAGUAUCACAACGCAAACAGGGCCUAAUAUGGGAAAUCUAUCAUUCGAUUAUGGACAAUAUGGAAAAAAGAUGAAAUAAAAAAAUAACUUAACCAAUACUAGAACAAUAACGUAAUAAAAAGUUAAAGACCCUUUUAAGACAUGCAUGUAGUGAAAACAAAAACAGUUAAAAGAAUCAAAAUAAGGAAAUAGUGAGAAUUAAAUAAAAUGAAUUUUUAUAAACUGUUGCCUAUUUUUGCAUUUAUCAAUUUUGUAUCAUUUACCGAUACAAUAUUGAGUGAAUUACACGUGUCAUCUUACAAUGUCUUCGAUUAGAUUCAGAUAAAGAACUUUCUUCCAACAAGCUGGACAGUUGCGUGCCUGAUGAAGAUUUUCAUUAGGUAUGAAACAUUUAACUCCAAAAAAAUAGAAAAAUUAUUCUGAUUUUUUGAUUUCAUAAUGUUCAGUUGCAUUUAACAGAUAUAUUUUUUAAAUUUCUUUUUUUGUUUGUAAUUUUAAUGCUCUAUUACCUAUUACUACUAUAAAAGAAACACCCCGUGUUUAAUUAACCACCAUAACAAAAAGAGGGCGAGAAGAAAAGAAAACUGACAUGUUUAAGGUGCUGCAAACUCAAUGGGACCCCUACUGGGACGUGGCAUGAUACAAUUGGACAUUCGCAACAAGAAGUGACAGGGUCAAUUUGCCCAAACCCUUCCAGGGUUUUCCAUUCCACCAGCCCGAUUCAAAUUACUUAACACUUGUCUCGCUCAAAUCGUAAAAAAGCAGCAGAGCCCUCCAAAAACUUCCCUCACUCUCACACAGCAAAUCCUCUCUAUUUCUCUGUCGAUUGAACCAGAAAAAUGCACACCCCAGUUUUAGUCCUCAAUAAGCAAUUUUACUUCAUUUUUAGUUUUUUAUUCCUUGUUUUGCAGUUUUUUGAGUUCUUCUAUUUCUGUUUUAGCCCCCUAGAUUUUACGAUUUAUGAGAAACAAGUUUUGAUCUUUGGUAGCAGACGAUGUUUAGGUAAAGUAGGGUUGAGUUGAAGAGUAGAGAAAUGCAUUUUCAUACUUAGUUUGUCAUAAAGUCAAAUUGAAGGCGUGAAGACAAAAGAAGAAAAGGCGUGAAAUAGGUAGAAGAAACAAAUGAAGGCGUGGUUUCAAGACCACGCCUUAGCUAGAAGAUGAUUCUACAACAAACGCACAAGAAGAUACUGAAGCUCGAAUAACAAACUUUCAAAUUGGCUGCAACGGCCUCUCAGCCACUUGGUCACGCCAAUUAGAAGAUAUGAAGUUGGUAAUCAGCUGGUAGUCUAUAUAUAGGAUAGAGUGAAUGUAAUAAGCAAGCAUUUUUCGUGUAAUUUCAACAAAGAUUGGGGCCGAGCCUCUUUUUGUUUCUUCCCCUCAAAUUCCUUCACCCUUGUUCAUCCUCUUAGCCUUUCCCGCCCUUUCUGUAACUCUUAAUUCAUACAUCAGUUAUAGCUUUCUGAGUCAAAUUCACAACUUAUCUCUUCAAUUGAUUAAUUGUUAUUGAGUUGAUUUAUCAAUUCCUGUUAUUAGAUUUGGAAAUUCCACAUAGCUCAGUCUGGUACCAUUACAGUGGUAUCAGAGCUAUCUACGAGCCAUUAGGGAUGACUAAAACAUAGGAGGAGAUGAUGAGGAAGGACCUGACUGAACUAGAGAGUGUAAUGAGGAUAUUUGCCAAUAAGAAUGAUGGACUGGAGCAAGCCAUGAGAGCCAUGGAGUAGAGGCAAGAGAGUACUGAAAAAACUAUUAAAAACUUGGAUCAGAAGUAUGAGAGCAUGAUGAAUAUGAUGGCGCAGAUGAUGGCCAAAUUGACUGACAAGGAAAAGGGAAAAGAAGGAAAUAGCUCAGGAGGAUAUCAGAAAUUGGAUCUGGUCUGCAAAAAACCUGAGAAAGCAGAAGGUAGAGGAGGGAACAGGUUGCCAAAACUUGACUUCCUUGUGUUUGAUGGAGAGAAUCCUAGGGAAUGGGUCAGGAGAGCUAACAAGUACUUUCAGAUCCAGGGAGUAGAAGAGGAGAUAAAAUCUGAUCCGGCUCAACUGCAUCUCAAAGGGAAGGCGGACAUAUGGUUCCAUGGAAUGUACCAUGGGAAAACUGAAGUUCCAUGGGAGGAGUUGUCCAUGGCAAUAUGCGAGAGAUUUGGAGGAGGAACACCAGAAGAGACCAUAAAAGAGUUCAAUAAGCUGACACAGACAGGGAGUGUGACUGAUUACCUGGAAAAAUUUGAACUGCUAAAAUCCCUGGUAAUGCCUCUACUACCUAAUCAACCCGAUUCUUAUUAUAAAUCUUGUUUUUUGAGUGGCUUGAAGGGUGAGAUUGUAAACAUGGUGAGAAUGGCUAGACCUCACACUCUAGCAGAUACUAUAGAAGCUGCUAAGCUGCAAGAGAAGAACUUAGAAGUUAUAAGGAGGGCACAAAGGACGUUACCCCACGGAGCUCUAUUCAAUCCCAAUUCCAUGGGGAACAGUAGGCUAAAUCCUGUCCCACAACUGAGGAACAAAUGGCACAAUGAAGGUUCUAAAGUACUCAGGGAUAGUGACCACAGGGGGCACAGGGUAGGGGGAACCACAGCAGACCAAUUCAGGAAAAUCUCUCCCACAAAAUUCAACUACAGGAGAGAGAAGGGACUAUGUUACAAGUGUGCAAAACCUUACACUUUAGGCCACAUCUGCAAGCAAGAUCAGAUUCAGUAUAUCUUGGAGGAUGAGCUCACUAAGCUGAUUGAAGUAAUUGAUGGGGGAGUGGAUGAAGGAGAAGAGUUCUGUGAUUUUAUUGAGGGAGGAAUCAGUAACGAGAGGAUAGAGGUUUCAAUUCGCACAUUAUCUGAGGGAAAUGGACACAUUACCUUUAAAUUGAAAGGGGCACUUGCUGGAAGGGAACUCCUAAUUCUGGUUGACAGUGGCAGCACCCAUUUUUUUCUAGAUGAAAGGUUGGCUUCUCACCUACAACUGCCAGUGGCAAGAGCCCCCCUGACAGUUAGAGUGGCCAAUGGGAAGAAGCUGGAGUCUAGACAACUUAGCAGACUCCUGAAUUGGAAGGUUUCGGGACAUGAGUUUCAGCACAACUUCAACACUUUGCAGCUAGGGAGCUGUGAUAUGGUACUGGGGGUGGAUUGGCUAGCCAGAUAUAGUCCCAUCGAAUUUGACUUCAACCAGCUGAGCAUGAAGUUCUCCAAAGGGAAUGAGGAAGUGGAGCUGAAGGGUGAAUCUAAUAAGCUAAAGCUGACAGCCAUUAAAGGGAGCAAGUUGGCCAAGUGGAGAAGGAAGCAAGAAUAUGGAGUCACUGCAUUUCUCACCAUAGUGGAGGAGGGACAGGAAGGACAGGAAGAGAUGCCAACAGGAGUGAAAGAGAUGCUGAAUCAGUACCAAGAUAUAUUUGCUGAACCACAGGGUCUACUUCCUCCUAGGAGCCAUGACCAUGGGAUACCACUCAAGGAAGGUGCCAGACCAUUCCAGAUCAGGCCCUACAGAUGCCCUUAUGUGCAGAAGUCAGAAAUAGAGAGGUUGGUAAGGGAGAUGAUACAAAUGGGAAUUAUACAGCCUAGCAAUAGCUCCUUUGCCUCUCCUGUCUUGUUAGUCAAAAAGAAGGAUGGAAGCUGGAGGUUCUGUGUGGACUACAGGCAACUCAAUGAGCUCACAGUAAAGGAUAAAUUUCCAAUGCCUCUGAUUGAUGAACUGAUUGAUGAGUUACAUGGAUCCAAGUAUUUCACUAAAAUUGAUCUAAGGGCAGGUUACCAUCAGAUUAUGGUCAAAAUGGAGGACAUACACAAGACUGCAUUCAGGACUCAUCAGGGACUGUACGAAUUCAAGGUGAUGCCAUUUGGACUAACUAAUGCCCCUGCUACAUUUCAGAGCUUAAUGAACCAAGUUUUCAAGGAGCAAUUGAGAAAAUAUGUGAUAGUGCUCUUUGAUGACAUCUUGGUGUACAGCCCCACAUUGGAAGCUCAUCUCCAACAUGUAGCAGUAGUUUUGGACCUAUUGAGACAACACCAACUGUUUGCAAAACAGAGCAAGUGCUGCUUUGCACAGACUCAAAUUGAGUACUUAGGCCACAUAAUCUCUGCUGAAGGAGUGUAGGCAGAUCUUAAGAAAAUUGAAGGGAUGAUGGACUGGCCAAAGCCUGGAAAUGUGAAGCAACUAAAGAGGUUCCUAGGAUUGAUAAGCUACUACAGAAAAUUUGUGAGAGGUUAUGGUUCCAUAGCCAAACUUCUAACAACAUUGCUGAAGAAUGGGGGAUUUCGAUGGACUGAGGAGGCUGAAGAGGUAUUCCAGAGGCUUAAGAUGGCUAUGUGCAGCACACCUGUGCUAGCCUUGUCAGAUUUCAACAAGACUUUCAUCAUAGAAACUAAUGCAUGCUAUGGAGGGAUAGGAGUUGUGCUUAUGCAAGAAAGGAGGCCUAUUGCUUAUUUAAGUCAGAGCUUGGGAACAAAGAAUUUGGGGCUGUCCAUCUAUGAGAAGGAGCUUUUGGCACUGGUCAUUGCAGUUACCAAGUGGAGACAUUAUUUGGAAGGUCAUCACUUCAUAAUCAUAACAGAUCACCAAAGCCUCAAGUAUUUGCUUGAACAAAGGGCCACAACUCCACUCCAAUAGAAGUGGCUCACUAAGUUGUUGGGGUUAAGCUAUGAAAUUCAAAACAAGAAAGGUAGGGAGAAUGUUGUUGCAGAUGUACUAUCCAGGAGAAGCAGCAAGGAGGAAGGGGAGAUUGCAGAAACGACAUGUGUCAUUCCUGAGUGGGUCAAGGAGGUGGAGGAAAGCUACCAAGGAGAUGAAGAAGUUUAGGAGAUGAUCAAGAGUCUGAUUCUCACACCAAGUUUCCUACAGAACUACUCCUAUCAAAAUGGGAUAGUCCAAUACAAGGGAAGAGUGGUAGUUGGAAAAGAAGGGCAAAUUAGGAGGAAAAUCAUCACUGCCAUCCAUGACUCACAGCUAGGAGGCCACUCUGGUGUACAAGCUAGCCACCUAAGAGCCAAGUAGUUCUUUCACUGGCCAGGGAUGUAUAAGGAAGUCAAGGAUACAGUACUGCAGUGUAACACCUAUAGGAGAUGCAAGGAUGAGCAUGUUGCUCAUCCUGGUCUCCUGCAACCACUACCCACAUCACAGUACUCCUGGAGUCAUGUCACCAUGGACUUAAUUGAGGGGUUGCCUACUUCAGAAAGAAAAGACGCUAUCAUGGUCACAGUGGACAGGUUCACUAAGUAUGCUCAUUUCACCAGCCUAACUCAUCCUUUUGAUGCUCCAAUCGUGGCCAGAGUCUUCCUGGACCAAGUUUGCAGACUACAUGGAAUGCCACUGAGCAUGCUGUCAGACAGAGAUAAGGUAUUUACCAGUCAAUUCUGGACAGAAUUAUUCUCACUAAUGGGGACUGAACUAUGCUUAAAUACUGCCUAUCACCCUCAGACAGAUGGUCAAUCUGAGAGGGUGAAUCAGGUACUUGAAAUAUAUCUACGAUGCAUGACACAUCAAGAACCUAAGAGAUGGAAUGCCUGGCUAUCAAUGGCAGAAUGGUGGUAUAACACCACUUAUCACACUGUCAUACAGAUGAGCUCCUUUGAAGCAUUGUAUGGAAUGAAGCCACCACAGCUAGCUUUAGGUGUAUAUUCACACUCUAAGGUGGCCACGGUGGCAGAUCACUUACAAGAAAAAGAGAGAAUGGAAGGAUUGCUUAAGAAGAACCUAGAGGAGGCCAAAAACAGAAUGAAGGUCUAUGUAGAUAGAAGGAGGACUGAGAGGGAAUUUGAGGUUGGAGAUUGGGUGUAUCUUAGGCUGCAACCUUACAGGCAAAACUCUGUGGAAAUGAGAAGUAGCACUAAACUAUCAUCAAGGUACUUUGGGCCUUAUCAAGUAAUUCAGAAGAUAGGAAAUGUGGCCUACAAACUUUAGCUCCCAACUUCAUAAAAAAUGCACCCAGUCUUUCAUGUUUCCCUGCUCAAAAGGAAGAUAGGACAGAAGGGGGUUCCAAUGUUACAACUGCCAGAAACAAAUGAGAAGGGUCACUUAAGGGUAGAGCCAAUGGCAGUGCUGGAUUGUAGGAUUGUUAAGAAGAAGAAUGCAGCAGCAGUCCAAUGGCUAGUAUAAUGGUGGGGAGCCUCUCCUGCCGAAGCAACGUGGGAAGAUGCAGAAGAGAUAGAACUCAAAUUUUUAGAAUUCCAAUCUAAGGACAAGAUUUAAUUGCAGGGGAAGCUAUUGUCAUAAAGUCAAAUUGAAGGUGUGAAGACAAAAGGAGGAAAGGCGUGAAAUAGGUAGAAGAAACAAAUGAAGGCGUGGUUUUGAAACCACGCCUUAGCUAGAAGAUGAUUCUGCAACAAACGCACAAGAAGAUAUUGAAGCUCGAAUAACAAACUUUCAAAUUGGCUGCAAUGGCCUCUCGGCCACUUGGUCAUGCCAAUUAGAAGAUAUGAAGUUGGUUAUCAGCUGGUAGUCUAUAUAUAGGAUAGAGUGAAUGUAAUAGGCAAGCAUUUUUCAUGUAAUUUCAACAGAGAUUGGGCUGAGCUCUUUCUGUUUCUUUCCCCCAAAUUCCUUCACCCUUGUUCAUCCUCUUAGCCUUUCCCGCCCUUUCUGUAACUCUUAAUUCAUACAUCAGUUAUAGCUUUCUGAGUCAAAUUCACAACUUAUCUCUUCAAUUGAUUAAUUGUUAUCGAGUUGAUUUAUCAAUUCCUGGUAUUAGAUUUGGAAAUACCACAUAGCUCAGUCUGUUAUUUUUUUGUUUUCAAUCUUGGUUCUUAAUAAAUUGUUUGUUUGUGAUUGAGCAGAGGAUACUUUGAGACGAGAGUCCGGAAAUAAGGUGCACUAUGCUAACAUCCAAGCAUCUAAGGUAUGAAGUGAUUGCAUUUGGAUUUUUUUUUAAGAUAGACAAAUAAUACUUUAUUAUUAUUUUUUGUUUUAGUAGAGUCAUACAUGUGAUUGGCAUUGAUUGAAAUAGUUGUUGCCUUUAUUAUUCGAAUGUCUUUGUAUAGGUGGUGAGGUAACUAAAUUUGUUGGGGGAACUGAAAAGAAACUUUGUUGAUAUUAAGAGUCAAUUGAAAACUUAGAUUUGGUCAACAUAGUGGCAUCAAGAAGAGAUUUUUCGGAUUAUGGUGAAUUGUUGAAUUUGGAUGUUGUUCGGAAUGGGUAUUUGAAAAUGUUAUUUGUGUUUCCUCUGCUUUUGUCAUUUGAAGUUUUAGAAGUUAAGGUGGUUAGGCACAAUACUGAAUGUGGUUGACUAAGGCUAUGUUUGGAUCUUUUUGGAAGUGAUGAUUUGAGGUCUUAAAGAUAUACUAUUGAAAUAUCAAAAAGAUUUGAAAAAACUAUUCGCAUGUAGCUGUAUGUUUCACUGGAUGUCAUAGUUAUGGUAUGGAACUUUUUCUGUUGGUUGACAUGGAAGUAAUCUGACAUGCAUUUAAGCUAUGGGUCCCAUUCAACCAUUUCUACAUUUCUUUCCGUGGAUACAAAAUUCUAUGUACUGAAGGUUGGCAUACUUGUCUUAAUUGCAUUGUUCAUCUAUACUCCCCGGCUGUUGCAGACAUUAUUCGCACCACUUUGGGUCCUCGAUCUAUGUUGAAGAUGCUUCUUGAUGCACUGGAGGUAAUAGUUCUGCUUGUGCAUUAUUAACAGCCAAUUGAUAUAUGUGAAAGCAUUUGCCUCUUUGUCUUUGACAUCAUUUCUGCCACUCAAAUCUCUAGAUUUGAGGGUGGGAUGGAGAGAUAAUGUUUAUUUGUAGAUAUUGAUUGCGGUCAUCCUCUAAUAAUUCGCAGAUUAACCUGACUGCCUUGCUUUGUCUCAACCUAGAGAAAUUUAUCCCUUCCAUUUCUUUUUUAAUGGGCACAUGGGUGGGAAGCAAUUUGCAAAUAUGCUUUUGUAAUGAAAUGGGAGUUUUUUUCUCUUCUCAUCUUUUGAGUGGAAUGCAGGACUUUUUCACACUUUUGCAAUCUAAGUUUUCCCAUUUUAAACUCUCUCAAACACUCUUUGAUUUUUGAUUAAUAAUAUGUUUAAAGAAAGAAAAAUGACAAAACAAAAAGAAAAUAUACAUUAACUAAGUAUUGUAUUUUUAGGCCACUUAACAUCAAUUUUAUUAUGAUUCUUUCUAAACAAUUCUAACUAAUAUACACAAAAAAGACAAAAUUAUUGAUGAAAGUAUAGGACUAAGAAGAGCUCCCAUUAACCCUCCAAUUGUUUUUUUGUUAUGAGUUGAAAGUAUAGGACUGAGAAGAGCUUUGCAUCGAUGCCUUUAUCAUCAGCUUUAGGACACAUUGGGAAUAAUAAAUUUUUGUAUCAACUUUUAAAGUAUAAAAUUGUCAUAUUGAAAAUAAGCUUUAGUGCCCACAAAGUUUCCGUCCUUUUUUUUUUUCCAAUUUUGGGCAAAAAAAUUUUCACCAAUGAGAGGAGUUUUUAUCCAUUCAUUUCAUUUCUUUUCUAUCCUUAUUAUAACUCCCAAAGAAACGAAAUGAUAAGACUUUCUUUCAAGAACCUAUCUUUUUCUACCCUUUUCUGUCCAUCCAAAUGAAGCCCAAAUCAGCAUCCAAUACUGUUCGGCAAGAAAUUUUCUUUAUUUGGAUUUCAAAUCAAUCGUACUGCUAGAUGAACCGUAUCUUGAAAGGUUCCUAGCCUAUUGACAGGUGUCGGGCCUGUGCAAUAACAAAACUUGAUCAACUAAAGUUAAUUUUUGUAGAUAGUGGUAUGCAGAGUCGAAUCCAUAGGGGAUUGAGUAUAACUGUUUCUUUUCAAAUUCAAAAUAACCAGGGGGUAUUUUGUGUAGAAGGUGACAAUCAAAUAAAUGCAAAUAAAAUCCAAGAAACUACUAAAAAUUAAAUAACAAAUUACUAAAAUCAAAUGAGUGAUAAUUAAGAAUCUAGCCAAGAAAUAAUUUCAGCAAUGGUUCACCUAAUUGUUCAUCGAUGCAAAGCCAAUUUCAAUUAUUUACCAAUAAAUAGAUUAUAAUUGCUAAACAAGCGAUAACAGUCAACCCCUCCUUACUGUGUCGGUGAUUAAGGUACGCCCGUUAACCACUACUCUAAUUGAGAAAUAAUCUUAGGUACGCCCGUAAGAUUUAAUUCCCCAACUGCCUUACGUAUUAGAGGAACCCUAUUCUAACCAAAUAACGCACUACCAGGGUUAUUUUAAAUUAGCCCGUGUAUUCUCCUGAUACAUGUCUAAUUAUGCCAGUUGUCACUAUUUUAAAGUAAUUAAACAAUUACAAAUUUAAUGCCUCCAUUGACAAUAGGUUAUUAAAUUAACUAAUUAUUCGGAUCCAAGACAAUCAAUUAAUUGAAUAACUAUAAACACUGUAAUCAGAAAAUAUGCAAAUAUCAAUAAAUAAAAAAAAGAUAAAAUUAAAUCGAUCUCACAAUUUUUAGGCGAACCAAAACCUCCGUUGUUCCUUGACUAGAAAAAGGAAUUUAAUUUAUCUUUAACAAAUAAAGCACACAGGAAAUCGAAGCAACCAUAGCGGCCAUUGACUCCGAAAUUGAAAAAAUUCAAUUCGGUUUGGCAACAAAAAGAAAGUCAAUAUUACAAAGAAUGCUCAAUUGCUUUUCUUUGUCUUCACAUCCGAUGGAAGCAAAAGCACAAUAAGACGAAAAGAGGAAAAGUCAAAAGAAAAGCUAAGCUAUAGGUCCUACCAUAUGAAGACAGAAAAACUACCCAAGAAAAGUCAAAGGAAAGCUAUCUAAUAUCUAGUUUCUCCUGCUACUGUGCGGCGUUUGCGACCACCGGAAGAAGAAUACUCCAGCCCUCCUUUUUUGCAAUGUUGUCUUCCGCAAAUUACCGAAAAGGGGUCGCGUCUUGAUAUUCCAAAAAUGUCCCUGGACGCCUGCUACUUGAACUCUUUCCUGAUGACUGUCAAAUUGGCACUUGUUAUGGUAUUUUCGUUCUACUCCCUGUAAUAAAUGUAAAUUUUCAAAAGUGAGUAGAAUCUAACAAUUAAUCCAUAUCAGGUUAGGUAAUAGGGAAAAUUAAUAAUAAAAUAAAUGAUAAAAUUGCAACCUAUCAAUUCCCCUUACACUUAAACCAUGCUUGUCCUCAAGCAUGAGAAAAGCAAACAAGCAUCAAUAUUUGACAAUGGUAAUUGCUCCAUCUACCAUAUUACCAAGAUACUAAGAGAAAACCAUAUAUCAAGUAUCAGUGAUCAAAAUCCGAGAAACAUCAUCCCAGUGAGUUUCGAAACCACAAACUCUUGCAAUUUAAGGCAAACUAACCUAAGAAAAAGGAAUGGCGCACAAUAUUUUCAGCAAAUGGUCCAACUAUUAACUAAAAUCUCAACAUUAAAUUCACAAAUCGGCAAGCUGACUUUUAUCACAUAUCCAACCUUCAUCUUUCUAUCAUGUUUAUUUUUCUAUUUUUCCUUCUUUUCUCCUUUUUUUCUUUUUUUUUUCAAAAGUAAUAAAAAACUUAGUCUAUAGCCAUUGGAGUCUUUUGACGCGAACUCCGACAUUUGUUAGAUAAAAGAACCCGGUUACUCAGGUCUUAUCGCCAUGUGAUCACGUACUCAUAGCAAUUACUAUUUUUUGAUACGAGAAUUGACACUUUCGGUGAAAAUCUCCGGUUACUCGGUAGUAACGAAUAGUGGAGUACAGUCAACUUUUAUUCGCAGCCAGAUAACACAAUAGUUCAAAAUAACACAACGGAAAAACAAAAAUAGCAGCAGCUAGCCUUAUCUCGUCAAGCAUGGAGAACUAAAGUUAAUAAUUGAACCAAUUCACAUGAAAAUGCCAACAAUCAUUUCCUAUACUUAGAAAAGUUAACCAAAAAUUAUAAGAGUCAAACAAUCACCGAUAUUCACCAAAGAGAUGUUUUUGGAUUCAACCACAUUAACUUAAUACACUUUUAUUAUUAAAAUUUGGCAAUAGCAGAAAUAGAGUCAGCAAUCUAACAUCAAACUUUGGUAUUCAUUAAAAAAGAAAGUAAGUGAAGACUAGACAAAUAACAAACUAAAAAUAAAAGAAGAACAUCUGAAAACUAAAAACUAGAGAAACUAGUACCAUAACUGCUCCCUUCCACACCUAAAUCCUACAUUGUCCUCAAUGGAGGUAAUAAAGUAAUUAAAGCGAAGAGAACAAUGAAACUUCCCUCUCGAAUGGCUAAGGAGUAGGCGGGAACGGUGGAGGGAAACCGAUAUGGUGGAAGUAUGCACUCAAGUUCUGAGACAUCUUAUUCAACCAGCAAAUGCAACCCAAUUCAAGUGUCACAGGACCCAAUUCAACCAGCGAAUGCAAAAUUCUGUCCACCCAAAAUCUUAACAAAUUUUCUAAUUGGACAAGAACAACUCAGUCACAGAUACCCAGCGGUCAAUUAGGUAACCAAUCACAGAGGAGUAAUAAAUUAUAUGAAAACUACCACAACCAGUACCACUGGAGCACGCAUAGGUAAUCAACAAACCAACCAGUCAAUCCAACCUACUGCGAAAUUCCAAACAAUACCAGCAUUUAGAGAAAACCAAAAUGGCAAUCAGUUUGCACAUAACUCCUAAAUAAUUCCCAAAUAACAGAUGGGAAAUCAAACAAAUCAACCCCACCAGUGCAGUACAGGGCAACCAAGUAAGAAAAGGGUAGCAACAAUUAACGAACGAUAUUUUAGAGAUUGAUGUCUCAGAGGAUUAAUUAACGAUAGGGAAAAUACAAUACUUCCACCUGUCAAACUUAGACAGAUGGUGAGAGCUGGUGGAGUGUGGUUGACGCCACGCGUGAGGGGGAGUAGGACUGCCCACGGGGUGCGGAUGGCGUCCUGGUGGUAAAAGGCUCCCGCGGCAAGUUAGAGGCUGUGGGUGACCACGGUGGGUCCCGUGUGUGACGCGAUCGAGGAAGAAGAGAACUGCGAGAGGGGGAAAGUGCGGUGGCGCACUGCUGGUUGGCUCGGCACGCGCAACGUUGGAUGGCGGCAUCGAUGAGUCUCGGGUAGUGGUGUUGGCAGUUGCGGGCGACAGUCGCGUGGAGUGAGUCAUGGCUGGUGGUUCGAGAAGAGAGAGGGGCACGCGAGGGAGCUCUGUGGUGGUAGCCCAAGUGAGAGGAACGGCGACGAGGUAGUGGUGCUACUCACGAACGAGAGGCAGCGGGUAGAAGCUUUUGGGGGGCGGCCAAGAAAAGAGAGACAGAGAAAAAGAAAGAAAAAAAAGAGGAAGAAAGAAAGAAAAAAAAAAGAAAAAUAAAAAUAAAAUAGUUUUUGAUUUUUUCAAAAAAAAAAUUUUUAUCUUUUUUUUUCUCAAUAUUAUGAAUAAAUUCACUUUCAAAAUUCAAAAUUAGAAAUUAACAGGAAAUUGAAAAUUUUUCUCAAGAUUUGAAUACUUACCUUUCCCGCGAACAUAACGCGGGCACGUCAUGAAGGUACGAAGUGAAGAGCUUUCCAGGUGACUUGACGCGGGCACGUCAUGAGGGUCAGAACCCUUCUGACGAUGAGCACUUCGGAUGACUUGAUGCGGACACGUAAAGGGGAUCGAAACCCUUUUUACUAAGCACUAGAAAGUCGCAAUGUGCCACGUGCCCAGUUGACGCGGGCGCGUCAUGUCAGAUAGAUACCUAUGAAUUAUCAAAAGUGAAAAUUGAAACCAGAAAUCAGUCAAAGUCAAGGAAAACAUAUUUAAACUAACAAACCAAAACGAACAAAUAACUAAAAGAAAUUGAGUUGCCUCCCAAUGAGCGCCUUUCUUUAAUAUUUUUGGCUAAACAUUGUCAUGUUUGUUCAAGAAGGAUAAAAUCUUAUGAUUCGUUUUAAUGAUUCAUCCUCUAUAUAGUCCUAAUAACCCUCAUAAAUAGAGUAAUUCUUGAGCACACGAGUUACGGUCUUCCAUGGACUAGUAAAUGGCGUCAAACAAGUCAACAAUAAUUUGAAUUCUCCAUUCACUCCUCCCUCACAUGCAUUUAUUGGUCCAAGAUAUCUUGUCAUCGCUACUCUUAAUUUAUUCCUGUCAUGAAAUUCAAGAUUUUCUGGUAUAAUAACGUCAAUUUUAUUAACAAGAAUUGAAGAAUAAAAGUCAGGAGAAUAUUGAUUAAGGAAUGGAGGAGAUGUCACCGCAUUUGGAGGUUGUUCACUGGAUUCAUUUAUUUGGACGAGUUGAUAUUGGGGGCUCAUUUUUUCCACAUUAACUUCCUUUUCAACUGCAUCUUUAGAUUCGUUUCCUUGAAACUCUUGCAGUUUCAUGUCAUUUGGCAGGAUAAUUGCACUCUCAUCUUCUUUAAGGUUGAUGUUGGUCCGUGAGGGCAAUUCUUAACAAAUGUGAGAAGCCAAUUGCGUUAUCCUGGAUGUCAAUAGAUGCACUUGAUCCGCCAUCUCAGAUGUCAAUAGUUGCACUUGAUCCGCUAUGUUACGAAUACUCGUUUGUGUCUCUUGAUAAAAUCGAUAUGUAUUAGCAGCUAGUAAUUCAAUCAUUUUUUCAAGAGACAUAACUGACAUGGAUGAUGAUUGUUGAGACCCUUGCUCUACGGUCUUCCAUGGACUAGUAAAUGGCGUCAAACAAGUCAACAAUAAUUUGAAUUCUCCAUUCACUCUUCUCUCACAUACAUUUAUUGGUCCAAGAUAUUUUGUCAUCGCCACUCUUAAUUUAUUUCUGUCAUGAAAUUCAAGAUUUUCUGGUAUAAUAAUGUCAAUUUUAUUAACAGGAAUUGAAUAAUAAGAGUCAGGAGAAUAUUGAUUAAGCAAUGGAGAAUAUGUCACCGCAUUUGGAGGUUGUUCACUGGAUUCAUUUACUUGGACGAGUUGAUAUUGGGGGCUCAUUUUUUCUACAUCAACUUCCUUUUCAACUGUAUUUUUAGAUUCAUUUCCUUGAAACUCUUGUAGUUCCAUGUCAUUUUGUCGGAUAAUUGCACUCUUAUCUUCCUUAAGGUUGAUGUUGGUCUGUGAGGGCAAUUCUUAACAAAUGUAAGAAGCCAAUUGCAUUAUCCUGGAUGUCAAUAGAUGCACUUGAUCCGCCAUCUCAGAUGUCAAUAGUUGCACUUGAUCCGCCAUGUUACGAAUACUCGUUUGUAUCUCCUUAUGAAAUCGAUAUGUAUUAGCAGCUAGUAAUUCAAUCAUUUCUGCAAGAGACAUACCUGACAUGGAUGAUGAUUGUUGAGACUCUUGCUGUUGAAAAUUCAUUGGCACGGUCACAUAAUUAAAAUUGGAAUUAUCCCAUCAUCUUUGAUCAUACCUGUUUGGAUAAGAGUCAUACCACGUUUGAAAUUGAGGUAAAAAAUCUCCAAAAUUAUCAAUUAGAAUAUUUAGAUUAUCUUGAAAUGCGGGGCAUGUGUCGGUUGAAUAACUCGAGGCAAAAUAAGUUUCAUAAUUUGCAACAGCCCAUUGAUCAUUAGGAAAAACACGAAUCUCAUAACCCCAUUCAGGAAUAAAGUCCAGUCUAUCAUCAAAAUACGGAAUGUUAGCAGUCAUAAAUUAUAUAAAAAAUAAGAGAACAAUUAAUAAAAAAAUGAAAAUAAGAUGAACUCAAAAAGAAAAAAAGUAAUCUGGCACCAGUCCCCGACAGCAGCACAAAAAAUUGACAGGUGUCGGACUUGUGCAAUAAUAAAAAUCUGCUCAACUAAAGUUAAUUUAUGUAGAUAGUGGUAAGCAGAGUCGAAUUCACAGGGAUUGGGUAUAACUGUUUCUUUUCAAAUUCACAGUAACCAGGGGGUAUUUUUGUAUAGAAGGUGACAAUCAAAUAAAUGCAAAUAAAAACCAAGAAACUAUUAAAAAUUAAAUAACAAGUUACUAAAAUCAAAUGAGUGAUAAUUAAGGAUUUAGUCAAGAAAUAACUUCAGCAAUGGUUCACCAAAUUGAUCAUCGAUGCAAAGCCAAUUUCAAUUAUUUACCAAUAAAUAGGUUAUAACUGCCAAACAAACAAUGACAGUCAACCCCUCCUUACUGUGUCGAUGAUUAAGGUACGCCCGUUAACCACUACUCUAAUUGAGAAAUAAUCUUAGGUACGCUCGUAAGAUUUAAUUCACCAAUUGCCUUACGUAUUAAAAGAGCCCUAUUCUAACCAAAUAACGCACUACCAGAGUUAUUUUAGAUUAUCCAGCGUAUUUUCCUGACACAAGUCUAAUUAUGUCAGUUGUCACUUUUUUUUGGCAAUUAAACAAUUACGAAUUUAAUGGCUCGAUUGACAAUAGGUUACUAAAUUAACUAAUUAUCCGGAUCGAAGACAAUCAAUUAAUUGAAUAACCAUAAGCACUGUAAUAAGAGAAUACGCGAAUAUCAAUAAAUAAAAAAAAAGAUAAAAUAAAAUUGAUCUUACAACUUUUAGACGAAUCAAAGCCUCCGUUGUUCCUUGACUAGAAAAAAAAAUUUAGUUUAUCUUUAACGAAUAAAGUACACAGGAAAUCGAAACAACCAUAGCGGCCAUUGACUCCGAAAUUGAGAAAAUUCAAUUCGGUUAGGCAACGAAGGAAAAGUCAAGAUUACAAAGAAUGCCCAAUUGCUUUUCUUUGCCUUCACAUCGGAUGGGAACAAAAGCACAAUAAGAGGGAAAGAGGAAAAGUCAAAAGAAAAGCUAAGCUAGAGGUCCUACCAUACGAAGACAGAAAAACUACCCAAGAAAAGUCAAAUGAAAGCUAUCUAAUAUCUAGUUCCUCCUGCUACUAUGCAGCGUCCGCGGCCAGCAGAAGAAGAAUACUCCAGCCCUCCUUUUUUGCAAUGCUGUCUUCACAAAUUACCGAAAAGGGGUCACAUCUUGAUAUUCCAAAAAUACCCCUGGACACUUGCUACUUGAACUUUUUCCUGAUGACUGUCAAAUUGGCACUUGUUGUGGUAUUUUCAUUCUACUUCCUGUAAUAAAUGUAAAUUUUCAAAAGUGAGUAGAAUCUAACAAUUAAUCUAUAUCAGGUCAGAUAAUAUGAAAAAUUAAUAAUAAAAUAAAUGAUAAAAUUACAACCUAUCACCUACCCUAUAUGGUAGAUGGUGGCGGAACUAGGAGAUUGGUGCAAUAAUAUUAGUUUGACUUAUAAUAUGUGGUUUUAUGAAUUUUGGACACUAUUAAAUGUCCAUCAUGAGUUUGAUAGAAUUGUACCUCUUCAUUCUUCUAGCAGUCAAAAUUCAGUUCAAAUUAACACUGUUGAUAUGAGUACUUAGUAGUCUCUAGAUAUUGCACUCGUAGUCACUACUAAUAUUAGUAAUUACUAUCAGUAUUACUAAUGGUAGAAAUUAUUAGAAUAUUACUAGUAAUAUCAGUGGCUACUAGUAAUUAAGAGUAUAUUAGUAAUUACUAAUUAUAACAUUAGUAAUAAAAAACAACUAAAGUGGAUAAGUUGAAGUCGCACCAACAUUAUUAACCAGCAGGAAUUUUAGCAAUGUUGAGCCAUCAUUUUCUAGCAUUUUAUGCACGAUUGAGAUGAAGCUACAACACAAGUUUUCUGUCCAUAGUUAUCGUUCAGAAUAUUUAACAAAUAAUCCGGUUUCUGUUUCUUGCAUGACCGAGUCUUAGUAUUUGAAGUCACUCACCAGAGUGGAAGCAUAAUAUCGUAUAAUUAGAUCGCUGUUAACGGCCAGGAAUUUUUCCAGUCUUCCACUAAGGAAAUACCGUGCACUCUGUAAGCUUUUUCAACUAAGGAAAUAAUGUUUGAAGUCACUCCCCAGAGUGGAAGGACUUUUAACUUUUGUUGUCAUCCUGUUUAGCUUCCAAUUGUCAAAACUCAUCAUUUUGAUUUAUCCUCGAACUUUGGCAAUUAGUUUUAAGUGGUCCUUAUGUCCCAGUUGAUCUACUGAGAUCCCACCCAAGGCUGUAAAAAUACAUGUCUUGAAUUGCAAUAAAUCCUCAAAAUGCGUUUCAUGAAACGUUUUCACUUACUGAUUUGUUCCAUGGUUGCUUUUCUUUGUUUUUCUAACUAGGUACCGACUAAUCUUUCUUGAUCACUCUUGAACCAUUGAAGCAACUGUUAGCCAGUGUUUUUGCAAAAUUAACAAGGCUACUUAAUUGAUCAUUUAGGCAAGUUUUGUACAUAUAACUGUAGUGGUCAUAAUAGAUUCCGAGUCCCAAUGAGUUAAUCAUGUCCAUAGGGACUUUUAGGUAGGAUGAGCUUAAGAUUUUUUUUUUUUUGAAAGAAAUGAGCUUAAGAUAUUUGAAUUUGGGUCUUAAAUGGGAUUAAUCUCAAAAAUACCCAACACAAAAUAGGAAUACUUCGGGGUUAUUUGGCUCUAGAGAAGUAGUGAAGUAUCGCAAUCAAGUCAAGUACAAAUAUUUCCACGCAAUGAUUUUAGGCAUACGUGUUUUAGAGAAUGAUGUAUCUUUUCCCUUAAUGUCUAUGUCAAGUAAACUUGGCAAGAGUAGUUAGAUUUAGGAGUUAAAAUAGAUAAUCUAAGGGCAUAAGAGUGUUCUCCACGAUUUAUAGUGGUUGACCACCACAAAAAUUAUGGUUGAUCCAUGACGGGUCUUUCAUUAGCACCACAAAGAGUUUUAAGUUUACUCACAGUGUGUUCUCCAUCAUUAGGAUAGUUUUUCCAAAGGUGUUUCAACCUUAGUCAGUUGUUCGCAAUUCCAUUCACCUUCUAGGAUAGAAGAUAGCCACGUACCUGCAGUCUUCCCUAUCAAUUUCCUCUUUAAUAAAUCGAAAUCUUUAAUAGAUCGAAAUCCAUACUACUGAGACCAAUAUAUAAUGCAAUCCCUCUCCCUCCUUCAUGUAGCAACAUUGGCCAUGGAGAAAUUUCACCACCUUUCCCCACUUGGACUCGUGUUGCUAUGUUUUCUUUCAGCUUCCUUCGCCAUGUUCCCACCAAUAUUACCACUGAUCAGUCCUCUCUUCUUGCCUUGAGAGCUCACAUUUCAGUUGACCCUCUACAAAUCUUGGCCAAAAACUGGUCUGUUGGCUUUUCUGUCUGCGAUUGGAUUGGAGUCUCUUGUGGCUCUCGUCAUCGUAGAGUGAGUCAUUAUCAUAACCUGAAAGGAAGACUUACGAUGAACGAUGAUGAGUGGUCGAAAUGGUCUCUGGAGUCAACAUAUGUGAGCACUUUACAAUAAGUUCUGUCAAAUUUGGAAUUCGAGCGCGACGAAGAAAAAGGUGAGGAAAAGCAAAGUGAAUUUCUUUGAAGGAAGACUUGCCGUCAAUGAGAACGGUCUCUGGACUUGCUGUACAUGAAGGAAGACUUCACAAAAAGUUUUAGUGCUAAGAGGCCUAAGAAGUUUCCCGGAAAUAAUCUCUGCAAGUUCGAGAACUGAAAUUGCUUUCAACUUUAUUUGUUCAUUGCCAUAAAACCCACAGUGAAUUCCGUGUUCAAAGCAUCCAUCAUUUGUAGUAUUUAUGUUAGGAUUCGUAUUUCUAAUAUGUAUUAUGUAGUUAACUAAUAAUAUUGCAUUAUUGCCACGAAGGAACAUCAUACAAUGCUGUUUUGUCUACACAAAAGUCUUGGUUCAGUUUGGCUUUUACAUCUUAUUUUUAGUUGUUAAACUUUAAUUUAUUUAUUUUGAAAGCAGAACGUAUUUGGUUUAGAGGUUCCAAUAAAAAUGCUUAAUUGUUUGUUGCUGGAAAAUGACUUGAAGAAAAAUGUGACAACAUCGUACUUCUAUUGUACCUCAAAAAAGUAAUAAUAUAUGAUAGGUUCGAUAGGAUUUUCAUAUUUCAAAGAGUGUAAUAGUGCUUUAGAUGUGGCAGAAUAAGGACACAUAUUUGGCUAUAGGACAGAGUAUUUUAACAGGUUUGAUCAAUAUGCUAAAUCACAAAAUUAGCAAGUGAUUAUAUGUAACAAUGGCAAAAAAUUGUGCUAAAGACAAACCAAUCUCCUAUGAGGAUUACAUUUAAUUUUUUAAAAAUUGCUCAACAGCACUAUACCAACGACUUCAAUUUUUGCAUCUAAUUUAUUAUCAAUUUCUUAUAUCUGUUAAUCAUCAGAAAUAGUAAUAUUUGCCUAGCAUAACUUUUUAGAAUACUACACUUUUGUACUCAGUAUACUGACACGUGUGAAGCAAAGGUACUAUUAUUAUUAGGGCAAAUUAUCCAAUUGGUCCCGAACUCUUUAUUUAGGUAAAAAUAAGUCUCUCAUCUAUUUUUUGCUGAUUUUAAGCCCUCGAACUUGUAAAAUUAGGCACUCAUGACCCUUUUAGCCAGUUUCUCCGGUUUUGCAACCAGAAGGCCAAUUCACACGAAUGCCAAUAUGCUUCUUCAAAGGGCAUUUUUGUCUACAUUUUCUAAACAAAAAGGGAACAACUCAUCACUUUGGCGAAUUAGUUUUGAUCAUGGGUCUUUAGAUUCUAACAAGAUUCCCACCAAGGUUAAAGAAAGAUGCCUUGAUUGGAUUGCAAUGAAUCUAGAAUUCCCAGUGCUGUUCCAUGAAGUUUGUCAACUAACUAAUUUGCGUCAAGGAUAUUUUCAAUCUUUGUUUCUUAAGUUACUAACUAAUUCUUUAUUAAUGACUCUUGAACUAUAAAAGCAGCUUUCGCCAUUGUUUUUGAAAAAUAAGAUGGAUUAUUUAUUCAGGAAAAUUCUCUACAAAGAAUAGAAGCAACAUUUGUAAAUACAUAGUUAAUCGGUGCAUGUAGUGUUAGACAACCACAUAACAUUAAGUUGAUCAAAUGACGACUGAUUAUCUUAUCCUUUAGUUUGAUUAAUGAGUGCCCAAUACACUAAUUAAGAGCGAUCCAGGCGUUAGAUUUUUCAGAAAGUGCAUAAGAUAUCACUUCUUCACAGUGCCAAUGAUAGAGUUGCAUGUCACUCUUUAUUUAUUUAUCUUUACUCUGGCAUCCAAAAAAACAUAAUUUGAAAGAAGACUUGUGAACAAUGAGAUUGGUUUCUGGAGUCAACACCUAUGAAGGCUUCACAAAAUGUUCUAGUGCAGCUAAAACUGUAAGAGGCCUAAGAGAUUUUCUCUGAACUCCGACAUCUCCGGAAAGCAAAAGAAACUUAAAAAGAAAAAACGUUUUUUUUUUUUCAUGAAGGCAUAGUACUAAAUAAUCUGAAAAAUGGAUCUAUAUGGAGUCCAUGGCCAUGAAAAUUACAGUAAUUUCCUUGAUGCUAGGAUUGGCAUUCAUUGUGUAGUAUGUGGUUAACUAAUCUUACAUUUCAUUAUUUAUUGUAGUUAUUAAACUUUGUUUAUUUAAUUGCAGAAAAGAAUUGGUUUAGACUCUCCAAUAAUAAUGUAUAAUUUGUUCGUCGCUGUCAAUUACUUGUGUAAAAAUAUGACAAGGUCAUAGGUGUAGGUUCAAUUCUACAGAAAUUAUUCAUUAAAGAGUAAGGAUACAAAUUUCGUUUUAUAAUUGAGUAAUCUACUGUUUGAUCAAUAUGCCAAAUUACAAAAUUGGCAAGAAAUUAUAUUCAACAAUGUGGAAAAUUGAGCAAAAGACAACCAAUCUCAUACUGUCUUUUCUAAGAAACUAUUAAAGUAUUGCUCAACAACAUUAUACUGAAAAGUUCAGCUUUUGCAUCAACUUCAUAAUCAUUUUUCUUUAUAUAUUUAUUAGAAAGAAAUAAAAUUUUUGCCUAGUAUAAUCCUAAACAGGUAAAGACUACAGAUGAUUAUUUUUCUACUCCGCACAUGUAACAGUAGUUUUACUAUUAGGGUUCUGUUUGAAUAGUUUUAAAGAGACAAUUUUUACUGACCAAAAAGGAAAUAAGAGCAAAAUACUUAGUAAUUGCAAAUUUUUCAAAUUAAUAUAUGGUUUGCCUCAUGAGUACACAACAAGCACUUGUUAUGAGUGGUCUUAGAUUUUUAUUUUUUGGACACGUGUCGUUAAUCUCAAAAAAAAUUUAAAUAUAGGAAGUGCAAUAGUUGUGAUGUUUUGCAUUUACAUGAUAAAUUAAGUUAUACAGAUGGAAAUAGCUUUUUCUUUCGUGCUAUCAAUGUUAUUAACCAGAAUCCGAUUAUUCUUGCACUUGUGGGGCUAAAGCAUCAUUAAUUUACUAGCGUUUCCUUCAUGAUGAGAUGAAAUUACAUCACAAAUUUCUACACAAAGUCAUUGUUCAGAAUAGUCGAAGAACAAUCACUUUAGUUUCUUGCAUAAUGACCAAGACUUAGUAUUUGAAGGUGACAAAUGACUUUGUCCUGGAAAAGUUUCAAUCAUGUGUAUUACUUAUUAGCUCUAAUAGAGUUUUAGUUCUUGCUUUUCGUUAGAAAUUAUGUACUUUUCAACAUUGUUCAACUUAGCAAUUUACUUGGAGGCCUUUUGGUUGUGUCCGGUUCAACUUCGAAAUGUUAAAACUCAUCACUUAGGAUCAUCUUUGAACUCUGGCAAUUUAUUUUUGACUGGUCCUUACACCCAAGCUUUAGUUAUUUAAUAUAUCAAGCUAUACAUCAGUAAUCGUAAGUUGUAGGAAUAUGGCAUUAUUUGAGGCUUUCUUAGAGUUUGGUAGUUUCCAUGUUUGCAUGUCAGGUUUAUGGCUCAAGUUUAGGAAAAACAAAGUCGAUUGUCCGCCUGUUAGUCUCCUUAAGUUUUUGGUCAACGAAUAGUUUAGUGGCCAAUGUUGAGACCUUAGAAUAUAGAGAUCCUAGGUUCUAAUCUCCUUAUUCCCUCGUCACUUCUUAAAUUUCAUCCUUCUCCUAUUAAAGAAAAAAAAUUCUGAAUCCAAUUGAUUAGUUAGUUUCCUAUGUGUAAUUGGUUUCCUAGUCCAAGUCAGUAGCAUUGUUUCUUUCAGUCCUUCAAUAGAAUAUAUAUAUAUAUAUAUAUACUCAUAAUAGUGCUACGUUAAUAUUUUAAUAAAUUUGAAAUGAACAGACUUAGAACCUACAAUAUAAAAGCCUUUGUUUAAUUAAGAAUGUUUAGUUGAUAGCAAGAUUUGGAAUUAACACAAAAGUUAAGGGAUUAAAUAACGAAUUUCCCAUUUUUGCUUUCUCCUUCACACAUUUGAAGUCCCUUAGAUAGAUUAACCAUGCAUCGCUUCCCUCUCUUUUUGGGCUAUGGCACCCCAAUGUCGAUUCUCUCCCAUGGAAACUAAAUAAAUUCUACUCUUUACAUAAAGCAAAUGGUGACAUGGAUGUAUAGUCUUAACUUGACUGUAAAAUUCCCUAGAAUAGUAGUCAAAAGAAUUCCAAUCAGCAUCACAAUUACAUCGUUGGUCAAUGUCGUCAAUUGAAACUUAAUCUGAAAACAGAAAUCAAAUUUACAAACAUUAGCCAUAAUAUUACUGAGACCGCUAUAUAAUGCGACUCCUCACCCAUCACGCAGCAAACAUUAGCCAUGGAGAAAUUUCACCACCUUUCCCCACUUGGACUUGUGUUCCUAUGUUUUCUUUCAGCUUCCUUAGCCAUGUUCCCGACCAAUAUUACCACUGAUCAGUCAUCUCUUCUUGCCUUGAGAGCUCACAUUUCGGUUGACCCUCUACAAAUCUUGGCCAAAAACUGGUCUGUUGGCUCUUCGGUCUGCGAUUGGAUUGGAGUCUCUUGUGGCUCUCGUCAUCGUAGAGUGACUGCCUUGGACAUUUCAAACAUGGGCCUUAUAGGCAUCAUCCCUCCACAACUGGGAAAUCUCUCAUUUCUUGUUUCUCUUGACAUAAGUGCAAACAACUUUCAUGGAGAACUACCACAUGAGUUUGUUGGAUUGCGACGAUUAAAACUGCUUUAUUUGAGUGGCAACAAUCUCCAAGGAGAGUUACCCCACUGGAUUGGUUCAUUUUCUCAACUUCGUCGCCUGUCUCUUAGAAAUAAUAGUUUCACUGGUCUUAUCCCAUCUUCCAUCUCUAACUUGUCAAAGCUAGAGGAGAUAAAUCUUUCGCACAACCUUCUGCAAGGAAACAUUCCUAUAGGGAUUCUCAAUAUUUCCUCGCUGCAAGUGAUUAACCUUAGAAAUAAUGGCCUGUCCGGAGUUCUUCCAAGUGACAUGUGUUACCAUCUUCCUGGACUGAGUUUACUUAACCUAUCAUUUAACAAGUUAUCUGGUCAUUUACCAUCAAGUACUUUAGCUCAAUGUUCGGAACUUCGGGUGCUGUCUUUGUCUGUCAACGAAUUUGGAGGUUCCAUACCAAAAGAAAUUGGAGCACUGAAGAAGCUUGAGGAGCUAUACUUGGGUUACAACUAUUUAGAAGGUAAGACCCUUGUUAAUUUGUAGUUAAUUUUUGCAGAUCCAGAUCCAGAAGUUGGUUUGCUCUAAAAAAAAAAAAAUAGCACUUGUCUUGUACAAUUUUUUUCCGGAUUCCAACUGAAACGGCAAAAGAUACAUGAAAAAUUUUAGAGCUAAAGAUUGUUUCUGGUGGAUUGGUUCAUUUCCUCAACUUCGUCUCGUCUCUCAGUAACAAUAGUUUCACAUCUUCCAUCUCUAACAUGUCAAAGCUAGAGGAGGUAAGUCUUUCGUACAACUAUCUGGCAGGAAACAUUCCUAUAGGGAUUUUCAACAUUUCCUCGCUGCAAAUCAUUGACCUUACAAAUAAUGGCCUGUCCGGAGUUCUUCCAAGUGACAUGUGUUUCCAUCUUCCUGGACUGAGUUUUCUUGGCCUAUCAUUAAACAAGUUAAAUGGUCAAUUACCAUCAAGUAAUUUAGCUCAAUGUUCAGAACUUCGAGUGCUGUCUUUGUCUUACAACGAAUUUGGAGGUUCCAUACCAAAAGAAAUUGGAGCACUGAAGAAGCUUGAGGAGCUGUACUUGGGUCACAACCAUUUAGAAGGUAAGACCCUUGCUAAUUAAUUCUUUCACCAUAUAUGGACAAAGCCAAAUAGCACAUGUCUUGCACAAUUUUUACUCUAUCUUUCCAGAUCCCAACUCAAACGGCAAAAGAUAAAAGAAAAAUUUAGAGCUGAAGAUUGUUUUCUGCCGAAUGAAUUCUCAAAAUGCUGCCUCAAGGAAAGAAUUGUUACCAAAGAUUUUCAGAAUUUUGGUUCCUUUACAGCUAGGAAGACAAGGGAUAUAUGCAGUAGAUAAGAAUAUGGUCCUGAUAGACAAGUUAAUGGCGAAAACAUAUUCAUAUUUUCUUAGGGCUCUACAUAAUAGCAAAAAAAAAUUUUUGGAAAACAAAAUUAAUUUUGACAUGCAUUUAAUUUAAAAUGCCUUUUUGAUUCCGAAACAAGCCAAUUUCAAAAUGUUGAGGGGUGCCGGGAUGUGGCCAAUUUCCAGCUUUUGGCCCAUUAAUUUUUUCAUUUACUUUUCUUCAAAACAUCCAUCAAAGAUCUCAACUUGUUGAUAUUUAUUCCAUUUCAUUUUUGCAGGUCAAAUUCCAAAAGAGAUUGGUAAUUCAACUAUGAUUAAAUGGCAACAUUUUGGAUACAACAACUUAACAGGUACGACAAUUUUCUCAAUGACAGAAAUUAGACACUUAUAUGGUUUAAUAUAUGUGCUCAAUAUUAUUUUGGCAGGUGUCAUACCACGAGAGAUUGGUAACUGGUAUUUUCUCCAACAACUCAACUUACAAUUCAAUAGCUUAACUGGUUCCAUACCAAUGGAGAUCUUCAACCUCUCAAAGUUGAGCGCGAUGUCACUUUUACAAAAUCAACUAUCAGGCAAUCUUCCAUCAAUAUUCGGUUAUAGGCUUCCCAAUUUAGAAUACCUUGAUCUCGGCAUUAAUCACCUUUCUGGAGCAUUACCUAGUUCAAUCUCAAAUUCUUCUAAUCUCCGUCGCAUAGAAUUUGGUGAUAACAAGUUCACAGGUCCAAUUCCCACUUCCGUGGGAGACCUGAGGUUCCUUGAACUGCUGGAGCUAAGCGGCAACCUUUUAGUGAGCGACUCCUCAUCUCCAGAGUUGAGCUUCAUCACUUCACUGACAAAAUGCAAAUAUUUGUCAAUAUUGGUCUUGGGUAGCAAUCCAUUGAAUGGGAUCAUUCCAGAAUCGGUCAGUAAUCUUUCAACUUCCCUUGAACAACUAAAUGCAACGAAUUGUAAAAUAAAGGGCAGCAUUCCUGAUGGAAUUGGAAACUUGACAAGUUUGAUCCUAUUAGAUCUAUCAAACAAUGACUUAACUGGGUCGUUGCCAGCUACAAUAAAAGAUUUGCGAGAGCUUCAAGGAAUGGAUCUUAGUAUGAACAAACUAAUUAGCAGAGUUCCCCUGCAUUUUCUUUGUGCUCUCCACAACUUGGAUACAAUGAACCUUGGACAAAAUCAAUUUAUGGCCUCAAUUCCAAAGUGCUUUGGAAAUCUUACUUCCCUAAGGCAUCUUGACCUAAGUUACAACAAACUACAUUCUGCUCCACCAGAGGAAAUAUGGACCCUAAAAGAUCUCUUGAUGCUUGACCUCUCCUCAAAUCUGCUGAGUGGAUCUUUGCCGUAUGUUGUUACGAAUAUGAAGAUGGCAAAUUGGGUAGAUUUGUCAACCAAUCAGUUCUCAGGUGGCAUCCCUGACUCAAUUGGAGAUAUGCAGAACCUACAAAAUCUUUCUUUAGCACACAACAGAUUGCAAGGAUCAAUCCCAGAAUCGAUUGGUAAGGUGUUUAGCUUGGAAUCAGUGGAUCUAUCACAUAACCUUCUCUCUGGAUCAAUUCCAAUGUCGAUGGAGAACCUUCGGUAUCUUAAAUAUAUAAAUCUCUCUUUUAACAAUUUGAGUGGUGAAAUUCCAUCCAAAGGGCCAUUUAAAAACUGUACUGCCGAAUCCUUCGCUUCAAAUCAAGCCCUCUGUGGAGCUCGAAGGUUGCUUGUGCCUCCAUGCCCAACUAUUUCAGCUCACAGAUCAAGAACAAAAAGAGUGCAUCGAACCAUUUUUAUUUCACUUGGGGUAAUAAUAGCAGUGGGAGCCUUGUCCUUUGGAUUUGUUUACUUGAGAUAUCGAAAGAAAGAUGAAUUUUCCAGCGGAGCAGAUUUAUCCUUAGUUGCAAUGCUAGAAAGAAUUUCAUAUUUUGAACUACUACAAGCAACUAAUGGGUACAAUGAAAGCAAUUUGUUGGGGGCUGGAAGCUUUGGAUCUGUUUAUAGAGGUACUCUUGAUAAUGGAAGGGCUGUGGCUGUUAAAGUGUUCAAUUUACAAGUCGAUGGAGCGUUCAAGAGUUUUGAUGUAGAAUGUGAGGUGUUGCGCAAUCUUCGCCAUCGAAACCUCACAAGAGUCAUCAGUAGUUGCUCUAAUCCUGACUUUAAGGCAUUAGUGCUUGAGUUCAUGCCUAAUGAGAGUCUCGAGAAGUGGUUGUAUUCACACAACUAUUUUCUGGAUCUGAUGCAGAGAUUGGACAUAUUGAUUGAUGUGGCCUGUGCAUUGCAAUAUCUCCACUGUGAGUAUGCAACUCCAGUAAUUCAUUGUGAUCUGAAGCCAAGUAAUGUGCUGCUGGAUCAAGACAUGGUUGCCCAUCUAAGUGAUUUUGGCCUUACAAAGUUGUUGGGCGAGAAAAACAGCAUCACAUACACCGAAACACUAGCCACACUUGGCUAUCUCGCACCAGGUGAACAAUUUUCUCGUACAACUAAAGUAUUAUUUCCUCAGUUGUUUGCUGUUGCAAAUUCCAAACUAAAAAAAUACAAUCAAUUUAAGAACAUAUGAUGAAUUUACAUGUGUUUUGCAGAGUAUGGUUUGGAAGGAUUGGUAUCAGCAAAAUGCGACAUCUACAGUUUUGGAAUUAUGAUGAUGGAAGUCUUCACAAGAACAAAUCCCAACAGUGAAAUGUUUGGUGAAAAAUUGAGCCUGAAGAACUGGGUUGCUAAUUCAAUACCUGAUGGAUUAGCUAAUGUCAUCGAUGCUAAUUUGCUAAAGGAAAGUGAUGAAUACUUUGUUGAAAAGCUAAGCUGCAUAGCCUCAAUCAUGAAAGUGGCUCUGGGCUGCACGAUGGAGUCUCCAAGAGAGAGAAGCAACAUACAAGAUGUUCUUGUUGCGCUGAAAAAGAUCAAGCGUCAGUACAUGAGUCCUCUCUGUUCAGGGACAUAAUGGUGCAUGCAUUUUCUCUAAGCAAGAUUGCAACCUUCUUGAUUGUCUCAGUUAUAAAUUUGCAAUGCGGAGAAAAAUCUCAACACGAUUAGGCCAAGUAAGAAUAGCAUUUAACUAGUAGACUAGGCAAUUAUGCCCUAUAUAAUAAUAGAUUUGUUUAACUGGUGCCUAUGGGCACUCGUUAAGAUGUAUUUCGCGUAUUAUAUUUAAAAUUAGGGCAAAAAACUCCAGCGGCCAUUAAACUAUUGGCCGGAUCAUGUUUUGGCCAUCGAACUAUUUUUUGUCAAUAAUUGACCACUAAAUAACUUAAUCAGUCAACUUGUGACCAUUUCGUCGGUAAUUGCUCUUAAUUUCUGAAAUUAGCAUUACACGUGGCAAAGCGUAAGGGCAAUUUUGUCUAACAAUUUACUGACCCUAUAACUCAGUUUUCAUUAAACCAUCAAAGAGAAGGAAAGGGAAAAUCUUUUGCAGUGUGUCUGUCUCUUAGUCUCGAAGCGGUGGCUCCGUCUGCUCUGCUCCUCCACCGUCGCUCUCGCUCUCGCCUUCAUCGGUACUCCCCAUGCCAUUCCUUCUCUCUCCUCUUUCCUCUCCCACCAUCCCUAUCUCUCUUCUCUAUCGCUCACCGACUCCUCUUCUUCCUCCUCCUCCUCUUUCUCCCAUCACCUCCUUCAGUCCCUCGCCUCUUCUUGCCCCAACCUCCGUCACCUCCGCUUCUUGGCUGAGCUCGUUUCUGGGUUCUCUCUGCUUUCCCUUUCCAAUUCUUGCCCUCAUCUCUCUUCGCUCCCCAUCAGUCUCUCCAGACCUCUCUGUUUCCAGUGGAUUGCACUUCUCCGCCCUCUUAAAGACCUCUCGGUCUUUAUAACUGGAAGUGAAACCGAAUUGUUCAGCUACAAUGGCUUCGCUCCAGUUUUGAUGCUAAACUCAAUUUACUCUCUUUCCCUGUGUGGAACUCAAGGGGUUGAUUAUGGCCUCAAUUUUCUAUGGAGGAAUUGCAAGAAACUGGAGAAAUUGAAGCUGAAAAGCUGUGAGUUCGUGGGAGAUAACGUGUCUUUUUCAGCAUUUAUCAAGGGAUUAGAGACUCUCAAAGAAGUGGAAGAAGUGGAAUUGAGGACUUCUAGGACUCUAGCGGAUGGGGUUUUAUUAAAAUUAGCAGGGGGCUCUGUUUCUUUAAGUUGGUCUACGAUGGCAGUAGUAAAGAGGGCUUGCUUCAAUUCAUUAGUCAUAGCAGGGCUGACGUGCAAAAACUUGAUUUGAGGUUGCCUCUUGAUCUUGACAACGAUCAUUUGAUAGCAGUGGCUGAGAAUUUUGAGAAUGGAAGUUAGUUUAAUUGGCUUGCACUUUUUUUUUCCUUAUCAGUUGAUGGGUUUAUGCAAGUAAACGGUCGAAAAAUUGUUGGACAAAAUUGACCCUGCACUUUGCCACAUGUAAUGCUAAUUUCAGAAAUUAAGAGCAAUUACCGACGAAAUGGUUGCGAGUUUACUGAUUAAGUUGUUUAGUGGUCAAUUAUUGACAAAAAAUAGUUUGAUGGUCAAAACAUGAUCCAGCCAACAGUUUAAUGGCCGCUGGAGUUUUUUGCCCUUAAAAUUAUAUAAGAUUAAUUAAAAAAAGUGUAUAAAUGCAAGGAGAUUAACUAGAGAAAGUGUAUAAAUGCAAGAGAAAGUAGUAAUUAUUAGUGUGUGUAUAUAUAUGGUAAGUUGGAUGAAAUGUAUGUGUCUUAACGAAUGCCCAUAGGACAUUUGUUAAAAAAAUGCUAUAAUAAUUGUUUUCUUAUUUCUUUUCUUUGCAUCUAAUUGAUCGGCCUUAAUUUGUAAUAAUAAAGUUAUCUCACAAUAUUCACCAAUCCCAUUAUGGGUACCUAAGGACUUGUAAUCCUUUUCAUAGUGAGUCAUUACUGAAUCCAUGUCAUGCACAAUAAAGCUAUUUUUGAGCCAUAGAUGGAAAAAGAAAUAAUAAAUAGUGUGUCAAAAAAGUUGCAAUUAGUAGGUAAAGGAUAGGUUGCAAUUAGGGCCAUUCCUUUUUCCAAAUUUUGAAACAUUUAAAUGGCCAAGUUUGGGUAAAAAAUAUAACUCAUUUUCGUGUCUAGCUCAAAAGGGUAAACUAAGAUUGCAAAUGAAUCGAGUCACGUGUGAUCGGAGUCCAAUCUCGACUCGAGCUCGGUUAACAUCGAGGUCGAGCUGAUCAAGUCGAAUUCAAACUCAAAUUCGAGUUCAAAAAUAUUAAACUUGUUAACUCACCAGCAGCUCGAACUCGAUUAUAUAUAUAUAUUAUUAUUUUUAUUUUAAUAAUAAAAUUACGUAUAUAUCCUUAAUAUUUUAUUAUUGGUUAAAAAUUUUAUUAUUUUAUUUAUUUUUUAAAAAAUAAAAUAAUUAUUUUUUAUUUUUUUAAACUCUUGCUCGAGCUUUAUAUUUUGAGGUCAUCGAGCUCAAGCUCGAGUUCAAGUUUCAUAAACUUAGGUUGAGGUUUGAUUCAAUUGAAUCAAAACUUGAUUCGACUCGACUCAUUUACACCCUUAAAAUAAACUAUGAAUAUUUUGAUAUCACAUACCUACAUUUCCCACGACCUUUUAGGCUUUGUUUGGGACUAUAGUACUCUUGGUAAAAAGUAUUUUUAGGUGCUAAAAGUACUUUUAAAGUGUUUGGAAAAUAUCAUCUCAUAAAAUUAGGAAUAGAGCUUUUGGUGUUCAAAACACUUUUAGUAAAAACUCAAAUUUGGUGCUUUUAGAGUAAAUUUUGUGAUUUAAAAAAUAAAACAUCAAAUUUAAUCAUCUUAUCCUAUAUUAUGAACCAAAUAAAGAGAUAAACACUUUUAAAAAUUUUCAAAUUACACAUUAUCUAAUACAAUAAGUACUUAUUGAAUUAUGUCUCCUACAAUAUGUUUAAAAGCACUUAAGCAGUUGAUAAAUACUUUUAUUAAAAGCUCCAAUAAGAAAGUACUUUUCAAUAAACUACAGUAACUCCAAACAGGCCCUUAAUAUCACUUAUUGUGAUAGAGGUUUACAUUAUUACAGCACUCAAAACAUAAGAGAUGCUACGCAAAAUUGUCAGAAACCUAAAGGGAGGUUUAUAAAAUUAUCCCAACUACAAAUUUUGCAACUUGGAUUAUGCACUAUAACAGAAGUUGAAAAUGUGCCAGAUACAAUUAUCAUAGAUUAUAUUACCACUUAAUUAAGAGAAUCUUCUUUAGAAGAAAAAAAAAUACAAACGGAGCAAUUAGCCUCUUUCAGCAUCUUGGAUGACUUUAUGAUGUUUCCUAAGCCACAAAAAGGCCCUCCACAAUCAUCGAUAUGGUGACACACCAAGCAGUGAGUCCAGGCCAGACAACUGACAUUGAAGAAAACUGUAAACUGACUCAGUCAAACAAUUUGUACAAAUGCUAAAUUUGCCUGACUUGAUAAUGACGAUGCAGAGAUGGAAUUUUCACUACAUCAACGUCAGAAAAGAAAUUUCAGAAGCAUCUUACAGAAAAAUGUUACUUCCGUUUAAAAAAUCUUUCUUUUACAAUAAGUGCCCUCCAUUCAAGGACAUCUUAAAGGUGCACGUUCUCUGUGAGAUUUGUAGUUAUCCCAACUCUCCUAGCUUCUACUUCGUUGUCUUUUUUUUUGUUUUGUUUUGCUCAAAAGCGGCAGCAUUUCAUUGAUUAAAAAUAGUCAAACAUACAACUUAUAGCAACUGCUCUUCAAUAUCAGUCUUCCAAACAGUCUCAAAUUUCAAGUUAUCAGCAAAUUUUGCUAAUCUACGACUAACAUGGUUGCUCUCUUUUAGUAAAGGAGAAACAACACUUAUCAAAAGCUAAACUUAGUUGUUUAAUAUCUUUUAUGAUGGUGGAAAUUUGAGCAUCCUCCGCAGUUUCCUCACCAAGUUUGUCAACCACCACUUUGCAAUUUGUCUCAAAUUCCUCAUUUCUCCAGCCUUCAAUCCUUGCUCGAACCAUUGCUGCUGUUAGUGCUGAUGCUUCCUCCACUUUUGCUUUUCUGCAUACUUUUGACGGGCAUGCCCAUGACCCAAUCAGUUUGCCUUUCUUAUCUCUUGCAAUGAUAUAUCCCCCAACCUGCUUUGUUCUGGUUGGGUAAUUAUUUUGUAUCGGUGCCGUAUCCAGUAGGCUUGGCUGAGACCGGGCCUUUCGCUCCAAGAAAUUAAGGGCUUUGAAUUUCCUGUGUGUUGGGCUGGGUUUGGGUUUCAAAAUUGGCUCAUUGUGAUCAUGCAUCGAGUUGGGACAACACUAAAAGGGCUACAACUGGUAUAAUUACAUGUAAGACCAUAUCUAUAAGGUAAUCAAUAUAUAUAUAUAUCACUAUUGUAUUACAUGCUACUUAUUGUCUGAAAAAUUAUUAUUGUCUAAGAUGUUUGUGAUACUAAUUCUAAUUUUGUUACUUAAAAUUUGAUUUUGCAAUUAACAUAUUAUAUCUUUGGUGAAGUAUCACAGUCAGAAGUAAGAAAGGUAAAAAAUUUUAACUCUAAACCUUAACCAUUUCAAGCCGAAAAGCUCAAUUGCACAAAAUCACAGAAAAUUUUGACUGUCAUUUUUUUCUUAGCAUUCUGUUGCCAUGUUGACUCGCAGCUAAGUUUUUAUUUCCAAUUUUGCAUUAAAAAACAGUAGCAAUGACCAAUCUGUGCUUCUUGCCUUGAGAGUUCACAUUGCCAAGGACCCUCCACAAACCUUGGCCAAAAACUAGUUUGUUGAUUCUUUUGUUUGGGCAUUGCUCGGAGUUAGAUGUAAACAUGACUCUUACCAACAGUUUACAAACACGAGCGUGCAAGAGUAAAAAUUGGUAAAAACAAUGUGAUGUAAAAUUUGCUUCUUAUUAUUGUGUAGCAAUAAUAAAAAUAAAAAAAUACAUUUACUUUGUGACUGAUUGCAAAAGAAAACUAGAAAAGGUGUCAUGUUUGCAGUAAGUUAGCCUCUUAAUGUAUUAUGGGAUAAUUUCAGAAACCUUCCCUGAGGUUUCUAACUAUUUCACUAGCCUCGCUUCAGAUUUUAAAAAUUCCACUAAUCUCCCUUGAGAUUUAUUACCUUGUAACAUUUGGGUCCAACCAAUAAUUAAAAAGUGAUAUUAGGAGAGAGAAGAUAAUAUGAGUAGAAGUCCAGUCCCGUUGCUUGGUAGUAUUGAUUGUACUAACUUUUUCUUUCGUGAUAGCACCAACACUAUUAACCACAAAUUCGAUUAUUCUUCCAUUUGUGCGGCUGAGGCGUCGUUGAUUUUCUAGCUUUUCCUACGCGAUGAGAUGAAGUUCUAUAUCACAAAUUUCUAUACAAAGUCAUCGUUCAGAAUAGGCGAGGAACCAUCACCUUAGUUUCUUGCAUAAUCACCAAGACUUUUAGUAUUUGAAGGUGACAAAUAACUUUGUCCAUGAAAAGUUUCAGUCAUGUGUACCACUUAUUGGUUCUUUCUUUUCGUUAGAAAUUAUGUACUCUUCAAGAUUGCUCAACUUCCAAAUCAUCGAUGGGAUUAAAAAAUUUUAUUUUGCAGAGUUGGACUUCAUAUAUUUAUAAUAUUCGGAUCAAGAUGAAAGUUUCUAAAAUUUUUUGCACGGACGUAAGGUAUAAAUUGUAACUAAAGUGUUUAAAAUCUUUCCAAAUUUCAAAGGUAGAAAAACAUGAAAUUUGAAGACUUUGGAAUGGUGGUUGCUAACCCCCAUUUUCGUCCUUGUUCUAGGUUUAACUUUCUUGGCUUCUUGAAGUACUAACUAAUUCUUUAUUUAUGACUCUUGAACUAUAGAAACAACCUUUUUGCCAAUGUUUUUCUAAAACAACCUUUGCAAAAUACUGAGAACUUGCAGGUUUUCCAAAUCCAUAGAAGAUGCUACUUGUAUAAUUUCCAGACGUAUCUCUCAUCUAUUAAUUGCAAAAUUAAUGUCGACGAGUAGAAGCAUAGUUAUUAAACUUGGCCUGGUCUGGCGGUUCGACUGGUCAACCCGGUGAAUCGGCCAUUAAACCGGACCGGUUCUCUAAUUAGAUCGUUUCUGCAAGUAAACCGUUGACUUUUCAACGGAUCGGUGGUUCAACCGGAUUAAACCGAAAACCCGGCCGGUUUUGUGGCCAACCCGGUUUUGAGGAAAAAAAGCUUUCCAAGCAUUUGCUUGGAUUUGAUCCCAGGCCUUUGGCCUUGUUUAUGUGUCGCUCAACACCAGGUCACUUUGUGACUUGUUCAUUAAUGGCCAUUCUUAUGCUAUAUGAACGUUUUGUUAAUUUUAUCUUUAUUUUUUUUAAAUUCUCCAAAACAAAUUUAUUUGGAAUCUUUAAUAAAACUUAUGACCCCUAUAUUCUAUAAAUUAUAAAAUAGAUUUCAAAAAUAACAUAUUACAUAAUUUAUUUUAAAGACAAAUAUUGUUUUUAAUAAUUUUUUGCACUUAAAAAUCGUAAAUAACCUAGAUAAUUAUAAUAAACAUAUAAAAUUUUACACUUGAAGUUUGGUGGAUUACUAAUUAAAUUUAUGUUUUGCUAAUUCUUAUAUGAAUUAAAUAUUCUAUAGCAAAUUAAAUUAAAUGAAUAUUUGUUAUGACAUUAUUUAUUACAAUUUAUAUCAUAUAUCCUAUAUCAAAAUUUAUAAGAUAUAAUAUUUAAAUAUAUUUAGUGACCCACUGGUUCAACCACUCACCCACCGGUUGAAUUAGUCACCCGUUGACCCACCUCCUUCGCCGGUCUCCUCUCCGGGCCGAGUUUAAUAACGAUGAGCAGAAGUCAUGUCUAUUGUUCGGUAGUACUGAUAUUACUUGUUUUCUGGUUCCCUACUUUUGUGAACCUCACCAACGUUAUUAACCACGAAUCCCAUUACAAAUUUUUUAAUGUGGACGAGUAGAAGUCAUGCCACAAAGUGGAGUAAAUCUCUGUUCAUUUAUUCCUUUCAAGUUUCAAAGCCAACAUCCGACAUCAUAGUUAGAAGUAAAGUACUUGUUUGGUCAACAGUUACAGAGAAACAAACUCUUUACUGCCCAAAAGAAAAUAAGAUUAAACAACCGAGAACUUGUAGGUUUUUGUAAUUAAUAAAAGAUGUUACUCUCUCCGUCCCACUUUGAUAAUCCUGUAUUCCUUUUUCAUCUGUUCCAAAUUGUAGUUCACUUUUCAAUUGAAGAAUGUAGUUGUAUUUUAAUUUUCUUAAAAUACUCUUAUUCAAUGUAAGUAGUUGUUACUAUAAACCUACCCCAUUUAAUGAGAGUUGAUUUUUUUUUUACCAUCAAUCCAAGUUCCCAUAAAGUUGUACCAUAUUUAAUGUGAGGGUAUUUUAGGAAAAUAGCAAUCUAAAUUUACUUUUUCAACAAAGUUAAUUAUUUUUUCUUAAACUGUGUGAAAAAAGAAACAGGAUUAUCAAAGUGAGACGGAGGAAGUAUUUACGUAACUGCACUUAUUCAUAGUAUGACUGCUUCUAUUUGUGUAAUUUCCAGACAUAUCUCUCAUAUAUUAAUUACAAAUUAAUGUGGCUGAGUUGAAGUCAUGUUUAUGGUUGGACGGUACGGAUGGGUCUUGCAUUGCAUGUGUGGGGCUAAAGCUAUACAGAAUCACAAAUAUCGUGCAGUUCAUUGAUAUGGUGACACACCAAGCAGUGAGUCCAGGCCAGACAACUGACAUUGAAGAAAACUGUAAACUGACUCAAUCGUCAUUGCAGCAAUUCAAACCACAACACCUCUUCCCUACGGAAAACAAGGAGGAGUUGGCAUGUCUUCAAAUGAACUAUGUAACACGUUUAUUUAGUUAAACAAAAUUUGAUGCAUCAAACAAUUUGUACAAAUGCUAAAAUUUCCCUGACUUGACGAUGCAGAGAUGGAAUUUUCACUACAUCAAUGUUAGAAUAAAGGACGCAGAAAUUUCUGAAGCUAUGCCAAACAUUCUUACAGAAAAUAAGUUUAAGAAAAGAAGCAUUUUUUACGAUAAGGAGUUUCUGAAUAGUAGAAUAUUAUUUGAUACUAUUUACUUACUUUUUAUUUAUUUUUACUACACUUUUUAUUUAUUUUCAAGUUUUUGAAUGUUAUGAUAUUGUUGAAUGUUAUUUUUUCUAUUUUUGAAUUAUUAUUCACUGAAUUAGAUGUUCAAAUUUAUAUUUUAAGAAUACUUUACAUUACAAUGCGCACAUAGUAAUAUACUUAAGACAAGUUAUAAUAGAUUAUACAUUAAAUAUGUAUUUUAUAUCGACAUUUUUAUAAAUUGACUAAAGUUUAUUAUUUUUCGACUGUUCCCGUUCAACGAACGGGUACAAUUGGAAUACGGCCCUGUAUUGUAAGAAAAAUAUGGAGUAUCCUAAAUUGUGUAAUGCUUGCAAUCAAAAUGUGGAGUAUCCUAAAUUGAGGUAUGUCGUAGGUGUUUACCUUUUUAUCAUUUUAAUUGCUACAAUAUCUAGAUAAACAUAACUUUUAGAAUAUGUGUAUUUAUAUAGGUAUAUGUUAAAAGUUUUGACAAUUAUAUUUGAUUAAGAGGCUGAAAGAAUAAUAGAACACAACCUUGAAUGCGAUAAAUCAUUUAUUUUUUUUAUACUUAGUCAUCUUGCUUUGCUAUCAUGCAGUGAUAAUGGAAAAUCAAUAAAUACUGAGUUGCACAGACAAAUCGAGGAGAAUAUUCAAACAGAAGAAAAACAAAAACAAGUUUCUGAAGAAUAGAAUAUUAUUUGAUACUAUUUACCGCACUUUUUAUUUAUUUUCAAGUUUUUGAAUGUUAUGGUAUUGUUGAAUGUUAUUUUUUUUAUUUUUGAAUUAUUAUUCACUAAAUUAGAUAUUCAAAUUUAUAUUAUAAGAAUACUUUAUAUUACAAUGUGCACAUAAUAAUAUAUUUAAGACAAGUUAUAAUAGAUUAUACAUUAAAUUUGUAUUUUAUAUCGACAUUUUUAUAAAAUUGACUAAAUAGUUUAUUUCUUUUCGAUGAUUCCCGUUCAACGAAAGGGUACAAAACUAGUCAUUUAUAUAUAUAAUAAAGUCGUAUCCUCAUACUUAUCCCUUCAUAUUUUCUCUUUCCUAUGUGACUUAACGAGACGGCAAGUAGUUUCCUACGUGGCUUGCUCUUUUUUUGUUUGGAUAUAUAUCAAUUCUUAUUUCCUAUAAAAAUUCUUAAUAUUAUAUGAUUCUUAUUUCCUACCCAAAAAAGGAAUUGGAAAGUAAUGCGAUAUAAAUAAAAGAGACAUAAAUCUCCUCUAUUAGAUAUAUAGGAAUAAAUGAUAAUAUAUUUUUUUAUAGUGUCCUAUUCUUUUUUUUUUUUAACAGCUUCAUCAUAGAUCCUUUUUAUUUUAAGAUAAUCUACCCAUAUAUAGAACAACAUACAAACAAUCUAGACAUGGAAAUUAAAUAAAGUUAGCCCGAGAAAGUUUUUACAAGACUCACAGUCCCCAUGCAUAAUUGAUGUACAAACAGAAAUGGCACUUCAUCUGAUUGAAAAAUUCUAGAAAAAUCCAUAAAGAAAAUGGAGUGUCAUCAACCAAAGAAAUAAAAUCCCAUUAUCAUAGCUAAAGAAAGAUGAGAUAAAACAUUAGAUAUUUGUUGAAGUUUUGCACCCCGAAAGCCCCUACCCAACCCUCCGUCCGUAGUGUUCUUCAAUCCAAGAGAAAGGCCUCCGUCCGUAGUGUCAUCCGUCCGUCUUUUUUUUUAAAUAUAUUUCUGCUAAUAAUUCCUUAAUUACAAUACAUCUCUGCCUAGAUGGUGGGGAGUAUUUCGUGUGUGGACCCACAUUAUAGGAGUCCAUGCACUUAAAGGAUUCAAUAUAGUGGAGGUGGUCUUUUAACGUCGGUAAAAUCUAUCUUGAUAACGCAUUUAUAAAUUUAUUACGUACAGGUUUAUAUAUGUGCAUAGUACGGGUCACAUAAGGUCUUAUUUCCUACCCAAAGUUAUUUGGACGAUUAUGGUUUUAUUUCCUAUAAGAAUUCUUAAUAUUAUAGGAUUUUUAUUUCCCACCCAAAAUUACGUACUUUAAGCAACUUAAAUUAAGAUAAACAUACUUUUAAUGUUCUUAUCAAUAUCUCUUUGUAUUCUUAUCAAUUCUUAUUUCCUAUGUCUACACUACAUAUAGCCUCUAAUAUAUUGAUUUCAAGCAUCAAAUUCAUGGUUAGGUAUUUCCAGUGCAAGCGGUUAGUAUAUUAAAGUAUCGAUUUUGGGUUUCCACUCCUCUUGAUUAUCAAGUACAUCUUUUUUCAAUAUAUAUAUAUAUUUUAAAAAGGUAUGUUGAUCUUCAAUUGUAAGAGCUUAGUAACAUAUCUUGAAUUUUAUUUUAUUUUGUUUUAUUUUCUAUUUGUUUUGUAUGAAGACAUAGGAUUUAAACAAGUACUUUCAUCAUUAUUUUUGUAGGAUUUUUUCUAACAUGUUUGUUAAUUAAUUUUUGUGAUCAUAUACUACGAUGUUUGUUAAUUUGCCUUCAGAAAAAACAACCAAAAACAAAAAGCACUGGAAAGUAAUGCGAUAUAAAUACAAGAGACAUAAAUAUCUCUAUUAGAUGUAUCUGCAAAUUCAUUAGUUAAUUAAAUGAUUCUAGCCGUUUACUUAAUUAUAAUCUUUACGUAUUGUUAUACACAAACUUGAAUGCGAUAAAUCAUUUAUUUAUUUUUAUACUUAGUUAUCCUACUUUGCUAUUAUGCAGUGAUAAUAGAAAAUCAAUAAAUGCUGAUUUGCACGGACAAAUCGAGAAGAAUGUUCAAACAGAAAAAAACAAAAACAAGUUUCUGAAUAGUAGAAUAUUAUUUGAUACUAUUUACUGCACUUUUUAUUUAUUUUCAAGUUUUUGAAUGUUAUGGUAUUGUUGAAUGUUAUUUUUUCUAUUUUUGAAUUAUUAUUCACUGAAUUAGAUGUUCAAAUUUAUAUUAUAAGAAUACUUUACAUUACAAUACGCACAUAGUAAUAUACUUAAGACAAAUUAUAAUGGAUUAUACAUUAAAUAUGUAUUUUUUAUCGACAUUUUUAUAAAUUGACUAAAGUUUAUUAUUUUCAAAAUACACACACACAAGGAGGGCAUUUUCUCUGUUUUUACUUCUUUUAAGACCAAAUUCAAGACCUGGUUUGAAACCUUUGUGACAAAAUUUGUAUGGACUUCAAUGCUCCCAUGCCAGAGAACUAGGACGAUUUAAUCCAGCGUCCAUGUAUAUCUGAUAAAAACUUUUGUAUUGCCCUUCCGCUUGAAUUUUUACACUGGCUAUUUGUUUCGUUUCUUUUUCAUAUUUUAGGGGUUUUGGACUUUGGAGCUCAUUCGAUCGGGAUUGAUCAGACCGGUUGAACCGGAAGAAUCACCUCACUUGCCCUUUGGUUUGAGUUUAAUGCUAUGGUAAAUGCAAGCCACAUAUUAUUUCGCACAUCACAACCAACUUACAUUCCUGAAGAAGCACUCAAAUGGGCUACUAAUACACUAAGGUUUUUUCUUCUUUUUUUUCUUUUUUAAAAGAGAGAAAAUGAUAGAAAAUAAAUUUUAAAAAAUAGCAUAAAAUAAGCGGGUCUUCAUAGAAGUGCCAUGAGACGAAGAGGGGGGUGUUAUUGAAAGAAAUUGAAUAACUUGGAAGAAAGCUAUUAAGAAGAGUCAGAAGACAGCCACCUCUAAAUAUUUUUGGCAAUCACGAGAGAUCCCAAUUAUCACAUGUUUUCCUGACAUUCACAACUUGAAACCCGAGGCUUCCCCGUCGCCUUUAUCAUUCCUGCGGAAUAUGCAUAUCCACAUGCAUACUAUGCAUGGCAAAUUGGAGCCCAAGACUAAACCUAGCACGUUCAAAGAAAAAUAUAGGGCACAAUUGAAUUCAUCAAUGACAAAAAUAUUUAAGCUUCUGCAUGUGAUGGUUAUAAAAUAGGGCACGGGCAUGAUUCCUUGUUUCGAUGUUAUCAAGCCAAGGAUCCCUAAGAAAAUACGAGUCUCAAGGGAACAGAAAACAGCAAGAGUCUGAGUUCUGACACACAUCUUGAUAGUCGAUCACCGUUAAUAGCCAGAAAGAAGAGAUAUACCCUGACAAUUCAAGAGAAAUAUGAUAUAACCAAACAAACACAAACGAAGAACAGGUAAAAUAAAAAAGAAAUAUGUUUAUAUAAUCCGUGAUUAACCUCAACAAACUUGCGAACAUCACCCGCAUGUAAGCCCGAGCUCAAGCAUGUCAGAUAAUCCAGUUUGCUCAAGUUCAGGUCAAACUUAGGUGAAUGUCCAGCUCAAGUGGAGUUUAGCCCGAGCAGCUACAAUUUGUUUACACCCCUGGGCAUCGUAUUCCCAAGCUGCACAGGUUCUUUAAAUCCAUAAACAUGGGCAUUUUUGUUAUUCAAUUCUAUCUUACGAACGUUCCAUCAUCCAAGCAAGCAGGAUGGAAGGCGUGUUAUCCUAUUGAUCCGCAAGAGAGGCCAAGGAAUAGAAAACUUGUUAAAACCAACAGGUGUAGCAGAUGCACUUUCCUUGGUACGUUUCAGAUGAGUGAAAAUGAGACCAAGAACCAUAAAUAUACAAAAAAGGAAACAACAAAGUUUAGAGGUCCAAGAUACAAGAUACUAUGAACAUACACAGCCAGAGUCUCAAAAGAUUAUAUCCACAAAAAUUUACCGAGAAUAACAAGAUGCAUCAUUUUCAUCUUGGACCUCCCUUACAAAUAUUUCUCCACUUAUCCUUGAGGUCGAUUGUGGUGCGACCUCUCUGGAAAACAUCACCUCCAAAUUCCAAAAUCUGCUUCCAUGGAAUACUUCGAUCGUGCGGACUAGAAAGCCUCUGCACCCCCUCCUGCAGCAGUAAAAGCAACAUUUAUAACAAAUACAUCUAGUGGCAAUAUUGUCAGAUUCAGCGAAGGAAGUUCAAGGUUAAGCAUGGCCAAAUCUGCUUAAUUAACUUUAUAACAGCAGCAGUCCAUGCUGAUAAUUUUAACAUUUUCCAAUAUAAUUAAUGAUUUCCGCCUUUCAAAUCUCAAAAAUCAACAUACUUUUCAUCCUGGCUUGGACAAGAACUAUUUUAUUCCAUUCUUACAUUAAAUAGAAGGUUAAAAGGUCUUCCACUGACUCUUAGAAUAUUGCCACAAGAUGUAUUUGCUCGUGGCAAUAUUCUAAGAGUUUGUAGAACGAAAAAGUCUUUAAGCAUGGGCCAAAUCUUCUUAAUCUACUUUGUAACAGUAGAGAUCCAUGUUCAUAAUUUUAACCUUUCCAAUGUCAUUAAUGAUUUCAGCCUUGGAAAAAAAAUUUCUGCCUUUGAAAUCUUAAAAAUAAAUGUACUUUUCAUUGUGGCUUGGAUAAAGAUUAUUUAAUUCCAUUUUUAAGUUAAGAUGCUAUAGCACGUUAAGUACAGGUCUUCAGGCUCAACUUUAAAUAUCUAAUACAGCAGUAUGGUAAUUAAAAAACAAAACAUCAUGGUUUGCGAUAACAAGUUCCCCGGGGAUUGCUCACAACACAGCUCAUCUGUCUUUAGCAAGAUAAUCAAAGAUUCAGAUUCAGGACUUACAAGAAACUAAAGACAGAAAGUACUGAUCAAAAGGAAAAGUAUGAAAAGAUCAUUCAAUCAUGUAGCAGGUAGAUUCAUGGUCACUGUAAAUCAUGUUAUAAUUUGAGAAUUUUCCAUUGUAAAAUCCCAUCCAAACAAACAAAUUGGAUAAGUAGCCAGCCCAAAGGUCCAUUCAGCAAAGCUGGAAAAAGAAAUGCACAGGUGAUUUUCAACAUUUUCUUAUUUAUCCAAAAGCUUAAAUUUUAGAGGAUGUUAUUUUAAACAUCUCCACAUAGUCUGACCCUUUCAAGGAAAAGACCUACUUAUAGGAUUUUUCCUUUCAUCCAACUUUUAAAAUCCAACCUUGAAGAAGCUUUCCAAUAAUCCCAAAAUUGAGGAAGCGCCGAUCUUUUACUACUCUUAAUUCUGAAUGUCUCACAUUCCAUCCUAUUUUUCAUAUUGUUUUGAGAAUUCCAGAUGAAAUACGUACUAGGUUUGAUAAGCUGUAAAAGAUCCUCUGAUAAGUAAAUGGGAAAGCUUAGAAGGUAUAUUUUGAUUAGAAAAUAAAGCAAAGGAGGCAUGUAAGUUAAAACAUGUCAAACAAUUUUGAACUGACAAGACCCAGUUGUAGACGCCAGAGGGGAAAGGGAGAUUGGCAUGAUGUCUUUCAUCUUUACUACUCUGGAAGUAGUUUGUACCUUUAACUUCUCUUCCUCUGCUUUUGUCCAUGGGAGAAUUUUCCGCCUGAGUUGAGGAAUCGCUGGAAAAGUACUGUCAAAUAUACAGAUUUCUUACACAAGUCAAUAAUAAUCAAUGGACAUCCAUAUUCUAUAUGAAGCAUUCUGGUAAUAAAAUAGACAGUGGAGAACAAGAGAAAAGGUGGACGAGGAAGGGGAAGUGAAACUCAUAAUGCUUCAGCACUGACUGAGAGCACUAGUCGAUGCUGUAAAUAAGAAGAAAGAUGAGAGUUGUCUAUCAGCAAUAAAGCGAACUUAAGCAAGCUCGUGCAUUAAAGAAGAAUACUUACUAGUUCUUGAUGGGCCUUCGCAAUCUUAUGGAGUAACUUCUCACAGAUUUCUCAUUGUCUUCUUCAGAGCUUUCACUAAUUGGUCCACAGACAGGUUCCUGAGGUAAAGCUGACUCUGGAAUUUCUGAAACUUUCUUGCCUUCGGCUCCAGCAUUCCCCUCAUUCCUAUCAGCCAUGUGAGCUUCUUUGCAAUCAACAUCAGAUCCAUGUACAGGAUGAGCAACAACUGGCUGCUCAACUUGCACUCCAAGCAAUUGGCACUGUGGCUCCAUGUAUUUCCUUUCCAAGUUUCCGCUCACCAAGGUAUUGGGCAUUCCAUCACUUGGAGACACCACCUUUUCUCCAGAAUGAGAAUGAUCACUAGAACAUGACAAUGGAGGCUCUGAUUGAUGCUUGUUACCCAUUUUAACCCCACAGUGAGAAUCAGAAACCUUGUUCACAAAGUCUUCACUGUUAUUACCUUCAUUCUUUUGCAACUCAUUUCGACUUUCUCUCCCCAAUUUCAUGGUGGCCUUCUUUUGUUGACAUACAGUUUGCACACCAAUAAAGGAAGCUAAGUCUUUCCUUGCAAAUGAGGCCUUCCUCUUAACUUGCAUGUACUCCGAGAUUGCACGAGAAUAUGCACAAAAAGGGCAGUAGAAUUUUCCAUUUCCAUCAAAAUGGGCAGCAGAAGGCAAGCAGCUGGAAUGAACUGCUAACUGGCAGGUGUCGGAGCUACAAACCAGUAAUUGCCCUUCUUUGUUACACUUCACACAAUACUUUGCCUGUGUUGCAAAGGAAUCUUGACUAUAUGUGCACUGAGAGCUCAAGAGAGCAUCCUUUUUCAAGGCAAUAUCCAUUCUCUCGUCACGAUAGUCAUCACUGUCACUAGUCAUAUCAAAAUCAGGAUUGUGCUGCAUAUCAUCCUUGGAUCCAGAACCACCGAAGCUUAGCUGAAAAUUACCCUCAAAAUUCUGCACAGGAUUCUCUGGGCUAUUAUUUUUCUCCAUUACUCCCAUGGCCAAAGAUGUAGCAUUUUCUGUCUGCAGCUCAAAACCUUGAUCGUGUCCAUUGGUUUCAUCAACGCUAUUGUUUUGGCCAUCUAACUCUGCAUGCAAUUCAGCCACUUUAGCAUUAUCAUGAGGAACCUGCAGAUCACAAACUAAAUGAUCUUGAUGAAAUGCAUGACUACUCUGUGCAAUCCUUUUUAAUUGACAAUGCUGAUCAUCAUCACCAUGAGGAGAUCCAUUUGACUCAACGCCUCCAACUUGAACUUCUGUUUCCAAAUUGCAACCUUCUUUUUCAAUGUGUUUGACAGUUCCUUCAGAUGAAAAUUUCAUUAGCCCAUGCACGGGUGAAGCUACAGUAUCCUCAUCAAUGUCGUCCAUCAUAGAAUUCCCAUCCUGCUUAAACUUCUUAACAACUUCCCCACGGAUAUCACAACCAUCACCUAAUGGGAUUUGGUCUUUCAAGGUUUUCCCUUCUGAAUUUUCAGCAGCAAUUGCUGUCCUAUUCCUCUUAGCUGGUAUUGAAUUACUCUCAGGAAAAUUUCCUUCUAAAUCAUCAUCCACAUUUUGAGGGGUGGAAGACCCACAUUGGACUUCUUUUUUCGAAUUACACCCUUCUUUUUCAAUAUAUCUAACAACUCCUUCAGAUAAAGUUGUUGAAGGUCCAUGGGUGGUUGGAGCUAUUGCAUUCUGGACUACAGUGUCUUCAGUGAAAUUGGCUUUCUGCUUAAAUUUCUUGGUGGCUUGCACAUGGGAAGUACAACAAUCAUCCAAUGUGGUUUGGUCCCCAUCGGUUUGUAUCUCCACAAUUUCACUUCUCAUAGCAGCUGUUUUCCUCUUAGCAGGUAAAAGAUUUGUAUCAGGCAAGUUUUCCGGUGAUUCGUCAUCCAUGUUAUCAAGAGUGGGAGAACCAGCGUUUCCAUAUGGCAAAGUGACUCUGUUAUUUAUGCUGCAAUCUUCAAGUCUCUGUGCAAGGACAUUGGAGUUGCCACCAUUUACCGGUAUAUCAUCAUUACACUGAGUUGUAACUGUUAAUCCACUUCUUUCCUUUAAGGAUGAAAGAAUAGAAUGGCUGCCUUCAAGAAUGGCAUCCUUAAGCUGUUUGUCAAAAUAUCCCGACAAUUCUAGAUUAAGAAGGAGCAGAGAACAUCUAUACAAAAAGUUUUCUUAGUUCUACAGAGAUCAACCUAUGCUGGUUCACCUUUUGCAAAGCAGGCUUGGGUAAAGAAGCUCUUUUGUGCACAAUAAAGGGCUGAACAUCCCCAUUCAACAUCUCUGGUGCAACUGCAGUGAGAUCCAUCGCAGACAUCUUAAAUACAAUUAAGCACAAGUUAGAGAUUCGGGCAUCUGUAUGCAUCAAUGAGAAAGGUUUGUAACAACAUUCUAUGCCUCCAAAAGUAAGAUUAAAAAAGUCAAAAAACAGAUUAUAAGUAGAAAGCAGGACACCUCUGAUAUUUGUCGAAGAACAUCUUCACAAUUGUUUGACGGAUCCAAUUCAAGUUUUUGACCAACUGUAGCAGCAUCCUUGUUCUUGUUUUGAUUCCCCUUAACAAUCAAACUCUCUAAGAUUCUCAGCGACACGACUUCUCUGCAAUUCUUCCCCAGUUCAUCAUCAGAAACCUCUGGAGCCUUUUUAAUUAUAUCUGAAUCGCACAAGUGCCAACAAAGCUCUAACACAAAUAAUUAUGAUUGAAAAAAAUUCAAGGCAAAUAAUUAUGAUUGAAAAAAAUUCAAGGUGAACUUAUUCGCACCUAUUAAAAGGGACGUAUCUGCUUGCUUGGAUCUGGAUAGCGCUUCAAUAACCCAACUCCAAGCCACGGUUGACGGUACAGGAAUCUCGGAAGCCAUAAACGACCGUCACAAAGCUUCAAGAACCAUACAUAUACUUCCUGACCAUCUAUUCCAGUUAGGAAUUCGUUACGGAAGUGUCAUUGCAUUACAAAUUAAAUUACAGAAAAACACUCUCUUGGUUUAGUUCGAAAACAUAUACAAACAGAAAAUCAGAUGACAUGGUAAAUUCAAUUGCAGCAGCUCAAAUAACAAGCCAGAUAACUGGACAUCACCCGGGGGCCAAAAAAAGUUCCCGAACCAAGGACGGGACUUUACUUACAAAAGCUCCAUUAACUAAACACAUAUUUUUUGAGCUUGUCUGCCCUCUUUCACAUAUUUUGCAAGGGAAAAGCCAAUUAAAUUACCGUAAUACAUUUUGUUCAGUCAAAAUUAUACCCAAAAAAAAAAUCAGAAUAAGGGGAAAAAGCAUAAUAGCAGAAAGUGGCAGCACUCAAAAAUUUAAAAAACCAAAUUGCACAUUUUAGCAGGAAAAAAAAUGGAAAAACAAACCUCCAAAGUAAUCAGCAACAGAAAGUCAUCAGUGACUCAAACAUCACAACAAAUUUAUCAAAAUUUGUAACUUAAAAAAAAAAAAAGCAUGCAUUCAUCACCUAAACACCAAGCAUUUUCAACUAAUUUCCCCUUUUUUUUGAACAUUUUCAAAACCCUAAGAGGGAAAAAAAACAAGAGAAAAUCUUAAUCGCGCGUUAUUAGCUCCGCAGCAAAGCCAAGUUAUGAGGAAAUCGAAAUUUUAAAGCAGCUUUAGUCCAUCAACUAACCCUACAAGCAUGUAGAACAGUAUACAUUAUUUGAUCACUAAACAAAAAAAAAAACGAUUAGCCCGAAACUCAAACUGAGAUAAUUACCGGAGAAAUAAUUAGACUUUGAAGGUUUUGGAAGCAAAUGGGAUUAUGGCUUGGCCGGGAACGUUCUCAGACGGAAGUGAAGUGUAUUUCUAUUUGAAGGCGCUCAGGGUCUAGCGCUCGAAAAAUAAGUGGGAAAUCUGGAAUUUAUGAAGAAAUAAAAAAAUAAAAAAUAAAAAUAGUUUUGGGAAUUUGCAUUUGAGUCACUAGAAUUGGUGUCACUUUUCAGUUAUGUGACUAAAAGUCAACAAAAAAAUGUUUGCUGAUAAUUUUUUAUUUUUUGGUAAAAAUUUGAAUUGUCAGGGAAUUGCAAGUCUGUAUAAAAUAGUUUUGAAAAAAUAUAAUAAAAUAAGCAUCUAUAAAAUGGGGAGUGCAUAUGAUUCUAACGCUUGAAAUUAUUCAAAACUGCAUAAACAUCUCUAAAAUUUGAGUUUUUUUUUAAAAAAAGUUGCUUAACAACAUUUUAAGUAAAUUUAGUUUUGGAAUAUUGGAUUGUAUCAUUUUAUUUUGUUCGUGAUCUUUAUUCAUCAGGUGGUGUACCAUAGCAAUCUAUUCAUUCUUUGGACUAAUUCACCUUCUUGACCCAUGGAGUCUUCUUUAAGAAGGUCUUUUUGUAAAUUCCCUUCUAAGAAUUCUCUUCUAAGAAAUGUAGGACAUAUAUAGUAGGGCGGCCAAAAAAAAAAAGAUUUUAAAUUGACUAAUCGGACUCUAUCUCAACCAAUUCCUUGCCCCCAAAAGAACUAAAUAAAAAUAAAACAAUAACAUUAUCUUACAUGGAGAACAAAUUAUUAUCUUACAUGGAGAAAAAAGUGUACAUUUAAUGUUGUAUAAAUGCUUUCAUAAAGAAAAAUAACUCCUAAGUUUCAUAACCUUUAAAUGAAAAAAAAGGAUGAACUAAUACACUCUUUUGGUUUUACUCGAGUAAUUCAUUUAAAUAUUCUAGCCGAGCUCUAGUAUUGAGGUGAUGGUUUUAAGACUCGUCAACCUAAUAUUUUUCUUCUUCUGCUUUUUAGAGUGUAAAGUAUUAGACUCCUCAAAAUCAUAUAGAGAUCUUGGGCUUGAUCAGGAGCAUUCAGUUUUGGUUGAAGAUACAAAGCCUCCACAAUGACUAGUUUUAAUUAUACCAUAUAAUUUAUGUACUAGGACAACAGAUAAGGGCACCAUAAUAAUUACUAUAUACACUAAGAUUGUGACUAAUGAUCAAUUACAUACAUGAUACAUCCAUCUAAUUUCAAAUCAAACUCAUUUGGGAUAUUAAAUCUGUUAAAAAAAAAUGGUCUGCCAAUUUGCAGUCCAGAUCCCAUGUCCAAUUAUUUCUUUGUCUUUGCUCUAUUAAUCUCUGUAGCCAAAAAGACAUUAAGAAAAACAGUUUAUCCCUUUCUUACAUUUUGUUAUGUUACGAUCACAAUUUUGCGUGUGUAUCCUUACAUUUUGAUGACUUAGAAAACGCAGGUACAAGCAGUUCAUCAAGCAAGAAUGGCUAUUAUCCCAUUUAGGUUCGUUACACUCAUAUUGAGUUGUAUGAUUGUUGUUCUAUAGUCUUUGAGUUGACACCACAAAAAUUAAUUUGCAGUUCACAGUUCAUUUGACAAUUCCAUCAGCAGAAGGCGCAAAUACCACACCUAUCUCUUUAUUUGCUUCAACUCCCUUUGCAGAUCAGCCUACUGCCCUGAGCCCAGAGCAAAAAUUAAUUAAACUGAAUGCAAAAUGCAAAUUUGAAUUUGAAAUUCGUUUUUUGGUGUGCAUAUGUGGUUAUGCUUGUUAUUUUACAUCUGAUCUCUUAUUAAAGAGUCGAAGAAUCAUUGCUCUUAUGCAGCAAAAUACACGCAUUCAACCAAAAGCAAGAGAUACAAGAAGGGGCAAAUUGAGAAGCUGGUUUUUAGCGUUUGAUUCAUGAAUUAAAGGAUUAAUUUCACUUUACGCCUCUAAACUUAUAUCACUUUCUCAUUUUGUAUCCUAAAUUUCAAAUUUGGACACUUUGCACCUUAAACUCUUAAUUUUGGAUAUUUUGCACCCUAAACUCUGAAGUCUAUUCUAUUUAAAUCUAUUCAAUGAUUAUGUUCGCAAAAUUAAUGAGAUAAAGGGUGGUAAAAAUUAAUGACAGCGUGUCGUUUUAUUCCAACUACGAUCCCUUGACUUUUUUUACCAUUUUUAGCACAUCAUCAUGUAUUUAUAUGAUCUCAAUUACUAAUAUUGUUAGCAAAAUUAACGAAAUAAAAGAUGAUAUAAAUUAAUAAUAAUGUAUAUUUUUUUUUGUCAUGAUAUUUUGGCAUCAUUUGAUUACUUUCGGCACAUUAUCACUGAUCUGUUGGAUCCUCUUUGCCAUUAGUUUUACAAAAGUUGUCAUUGACUAAACUUAAAUAAGAUAAACUUGAAAAUUUAUGGUGUAAAAUGUUCAAAAUUAGGAUAUUAGACUGUAAACUGUCUAAAAUUAAAGUUUAUGAUGUAACGUGAAAAAUUGAUACAAGUUUAUGAUGUAAAGUUUCACAGCACAAAGUGGAGUUUGUCCUGAAUUAAAUGCUUUGUUAUUCUUCUUUUGUCGAAAGUCAUGUCGAUUAAAUGCUCUAAUUAAGAACAACUUAGGUGCUUGAUUCUAUUAUCUUACUGUUGUACUUUCCUUUUGUUUCAAUGGUAACACAGCAUCAUUUUCAAUUGGCAACAAUAAAAAAGGGACAAGGGGCACAAACGGGUGCAACCAUUUGUGCGGGUUGUGUGCAUUUUGCACUGUGAGUAACAUCAAUUGCACACGGUGUAACUUUCUUUGCACACGACGUAACUUUAGAACAAAUUUUUGUGGACUCCACACUUGACGUGAAAAUUGAGUUAUCAGACGUGAUCUGAGCCGCACAAAAUUUUGAGGCCAAAUCAUGGCCGUCCAAAGUAGUGGGAAGAAACAUCACAUCUUUCAAUUUCGAACACAGUCUUAUAGUCAUUUUUUUAUGUAAUGUGGAUUAACCACUAGUCCUUGUAACGCAGACGUUUCCCGUUCCACUUGCAUAACUGGCAUCUGAAGCUAUACACAGUAGAAGUGGAUAAAUACGGAAAAUCAAGACUGUAGAACCUGCAAAGUAAAUUACAAGUUGCCACAAUGAAGUUGUAGAACUAGUCCUAGAAGUUGGUUAUCAAAUGGUGAAAACCUUGCACAACACUGUUCUUUGUCCUACAAGAUAAGUCUAAUCUUACAACUUAUAAUGAACUAGUAUUCUAGGAUUAGAGAAUAUAAUAAAAAGAUGAAAGAAAUCCCUUCACAAAGAAUGGAUAGAUAUAGAGAGUUAAAAAAAAACUAUUUGUAAAAACAAAGGAUUCUAUUUUUAGAUCUCAUCAAACGUUUUAUCCAUAGUUAUUAAACCCAACCCGAGAAGGAACCCGGCGAAGGGGGUGGGUCAACGGGUUACUGGUUCAACCGGUGGGUGAGUGGUUGAACCGGUGGGUCACUAAAUAUAUUUAAAUAUUAUAUUUCAUAAUUUUUGAUAUAAGAUAUAUGAUAUAAAUUGUAAUAAAUAAUGCCAUAGUAAAAGCUCAUUUAAUUUAAUUUGCUAUAAAAUAAUUAAUUCAUAUAAGAAUCAAUUAAAUAUAAAGUUAUUUAGUAAUACACCAAAUUCAAGUGUAAAAUUUUAUCUAUAUUUAGUGUAAUAAUGUAGCUUAUUUAUGAAUUUUAAGUGUAAAAAAUUAUUAAAUUAAUAUUUGUCUUUGAAAUGAAUUAUGUAAUGUGUUAUUUUUUAAAUUCAUUUUAUAAAUUAUAGAGUUUGGAGGGUACUAAUUUUUAUUAAAAGAUUUCAAAUAAAUUUAUUUUAGAGAAAAGAAAGAUAGAAUUGAAAAAAAAAAUAUAUAUAUAUAUAUAUUAUAAUAAAGACCCUUUAUUAACAAAUUUCGGAGCAGCUUAGUGGUAAGCAUGCGUUAGUGAUUGGUGGAGGUCCAAGGUUUGAGCUUUGACAAAGGGCAAUAAAUUUUUUCCACCAAAACUGAUCCGUGAACAAAACCGGCCGGGUUUCCGGGUUAGCCCGGUCCGACCGCCGGGCCGUUGACUAGUCAACGGUCCAGUAGCUUAAACGAUCUAAUUUAAGACUCGGCCCGGCCCAAUGGCCGGUUGACCGGUUCGACCGCCGAGCCGGGCCGGGUUUAAUAACUAUGGUUUUAUCUCUGGGUUGAGACAAUAUGAUCAGUUACAAUGUUAGUGUUUAAGUUUAACCAUUAGACAAUUUAAUGUAAAACAUGCUUGUAUAACUGUUACAACCAUUGCAAAAAUUUUUCAAUUUCUGUAGAGAAAAUAUAGCUAAAAAAUAAUUAAGUAAGCUUAUGGUUUUUGCAUUGUUUAAAAAGUUGGAAAGAUUAAAAAGAAACUUGAAAUAAAAAAUUGAAGUUAUGAAUCAGCAAUUAAUUUUAGGUACUUAUAAAUCGUAUUUAAGUUGGAGGUGACAAUUUAAUUCUCAUAGUAUAUGUAUUUAAUCAAUUAAACCAGUACACUAACAACCGCAUUUUUGGGAUUUAAGAUACAGCAAGUCAUUCUAAAUAGUAAUUUAACUAAUUGAGAUUUUUAUAUCCACUUUAAUUAAAGCAUUUGCGUUACAAUUAUAUAUAAGGUAAUAUAAAGCAAUGGGAUAUGGUCGAUGUGUUCAUAAUUUACCGUAAAAGAAAGAAAAAAGAUGGACUGAUAUAUACGAUCUUCUGGUGAGCUUAUGCACUUUUGAGAUGGCAGAGACAAAAACACACUUCCGUUGCAUCCUCCUUAUGGCUUUUCUCAUAUGUGGUAAGUCUAAAUUCCAACCCUUCUUUCAACAAUAAUUCUUUUUUAUAUCAAUUCAUAGCUUUUGCUGGGCUUAAUUUGCUUUGUCAUUCCCUUUGUGAAUAGUUUUUCCGUCAUGCCUAUUUGGAUUUAAAUUGCUUUGUUAAAUCUACAUUGCAUUUGAUUUAUCAAAUACAACAUCUUUAAUCCCAUGCAUGCAACCUUUCUGAUGUACUAUCAGUUUUAGUACUUUUAUCACAUCUGAUAGGAUAUAAGAUUUUGGGAAUAGGCUCUGAUAAUCCAUGUGCAAUAUAUCAUCUUUCAAUCUCAUUGAAAAAAUGGUUCUUUCCCCUAUUAAGUUCUUGUAGUAAAAAAGAAAAUUAAGGUACCAAUUUCAAUUGAAAGAAAAACAAAACUAUAUGUAUAUUAAGCAACAACAGCUUGUAUAUACAAAUAGUCAUGUACUUGUAAAGUUACACUUGGAGGUUGAUAUGUUACGAGUAUAGCAUCCUCGCACGCUUAGAGGUUGAUAUGUUAGAGGUUAUUUUAUAUGGUUUUAAUUUACUGAAUUUGCUCACCCAUAUUUUUCACUUCCCCUACUAACUUUAUAGCUAGCACUAGCAAACAAAUUUUAAAAAAAAAAAAAACAAAAGAUAAUAAGAAAAGAUAAGUAGAUAACUGAUCUCUACCACUGUGAUUCUUUAAUUUUUGUAAACCCCUAGAAUUUCAUGAUUUGGAAACACGACAACAAGAAGAUUGGUAAAGAAUAAUGGCUUUCGUGGCAUAUAAGUGUUUUAUGCUUAUCCGGGCUUCGUUUGAAUUGAGAAAUUUGAUAAAAAAAGAUUAAAUUAUAUUCGUCAAAAUCGCUUUAGCUAGUUAUUCGGGUUGAUGUUUAGUAAUCCAAUUUGCGAAUAUUGGUUGCAGUUCAUCCCAGGACUGCAUCAAGCCAAGACACAGCAGUAUGCUCUCGGUAUAAGGGAUGGUUUUUCGUUUUUUGCUACGACAGUGACUGCAAUGACAAAUAUUGCAAAGAGUUUGGACCAAAUGUUCGGGGAACUUGUACACAGCAAUAUAUUGCUUUUUUCAGAUGCGAAUGUAAUUUUCUUUGUUAAGAGUAUAUGGGAUCUCUUACUAAAGAUUAAUUACAUGGUUCUUUGCAAGAAAUAAUUACUGCUCUUGUAUUGCUAUUAUGGAAAAUGCAGAAAGCAAAAGGUUUUCAUGUCUGAUGAACUGAGAAUUAAUAGGUAGGAGUGAUCAGGUUCUUUGCCCAUAUGGUUUUGUAGUUUUCCCUUCUGCAACAUUUUCAAUUGGUUAUGGGAAAUAAGCAACCUCCUUUCCAAUGGAGUUUAUACUUUAUAGCAUGUAACUUGCCAAAACAUUAAUUCUCAAUUGACAAAGUUUGUUCAAAGGGUAAGCUUUUUUUUGGUAUUUGUCUAAAACUUUACUGUAACUUACUGUAGAAGUUGUAGGAAAAAUUUUUGAAGUGUGUAAAUUUUUUGAUAAUUUGAAAUGUAUUGUUUAAAAACUUUGAAAAGUUUUUUUGAGAUUAUUGUAGUUAAUAUUGUUAAAAAAUUUGUGACAGACAAAUUUGGCCAAAAACUUGUUUGCCAAACGGGGGCAUUUCUAUGAAGAUUGAAUGUCAAUUGAUUAUUCCGUUAAGGAUUCAACUGACUUUCACAAACGUGACCUCCUGACUCUUUCCUUGUCUCACUAUGAAUACUGCUGUAAAUGGCACAGCCCAUUCUUUUUCCACAGUCAUUUUUCUAUAAAACGCCAAAAUUGCUCUUCUUGAGUCCAAAUGCAAUUUGGACUUAGUAAGAGCAGUUUUUUUUUUCAUUUCAGCAUAAAUUUGAUGUGGAAAUAAAAUAUGGGCUGUGGCAUAUUAUCAUUUCGCCACCAUGAAAGCAUAUAUGAAAGGAAAAUGACCUUGAUUCUAAAUAUGGUAGAAUUUGUUUCAAGUGCGACAGCGCCUCCGCAAUUUCUCUAUAAAAUGGGAUGCAUAAGAAAAAUAGUGCACGAAGAUAUCGUAACAGGAAAAAACAAAUGAAAAGCUUCUUGCAGCAAGAAUCUGGAAGUUUGAACUCGUAAAGAAAGUUCAACUUUGAAAUGGCAAAAUAAAGUAGCAUUCAUGAUUAAUAUACCAAUAAUUUCUCAUACAGAAAGUUUGAUUUUUUUUCUGUCUAUUUCUCUAGGUACACGUACGUUUAUUUUCUUGAUCAUAAAAUAGACAAAACAAACCUAGUCAGUUGCACUACGAACUGGAAGAACUGCUACAUGGGCAGACAUAGCUAGCUAAGGGGUUUCGACCUUUGCGAGUUUGCGUAGGAGAGCCUCCAGAGGAGAGCCUCCAGAGGAGUGCCUCCAGAGGAGUGCAAAAGGAGAUGCAGGAACAUGUACAUACACUUUGUUAUCGUAACUACUAACUAUCCUUGGGAUCCUAAUACAUGCACCAAUUAUAGCUGAGUGUGCCCUGGAUGUUUUCCAGAUAAAACUACUACUUUUGGAUGUGGAUUUUUUUUCUAAAUAUUUUAUUUGGUUUACAUCAUAAACACAUUUUUCAAUCAACUUUUUUUUGUUUUCAAUAACAUUUUCAUGUCAUAUACAUCAUAUCACAAAAAAGUGUUAUGAUUUUAUUUUAAAUAAAUUUUCUCAAAUAAUCUCCUACACAAACACACCCAGAAUUAUUACUAUCACUACAAGAAAUUUAGACUCUUCAUGACUGUCAGAUUAAUGCAAGUUAAAAAAACUUACUUUUUAUAACAUGAAAUUGGUGAAUGUAGCAAUAAGUUGUUUUUAAGUCAUAACUAAUAUAAAUAACGUUCAUUUACAAGUCACAAUUGAUCUUGUGACUUAUAAAUAAGGGUCACUAUUUACAUAUUCACAAUUGAUUUUUUAAGUCACAAGAUCAAUUGUAACUAUGUAAACCGUGAUUCUCAUUUACAAGCUACAAAAUCAGUUGUAACUCAUAAUUGAAUGUCAUUUCUGUUCUUUUUUUUUUUUUUUUUUGUCGACACAGGGGUGUCCGGACUUUCGACCCAAACUAAUUCUCUGCGACCCGAGAGCGGGCACCUCAACCCACUUCGAGUGCGUUAACAGCGGGACUCGAACUCUGGUAGGCAUGCCUAAAAAGGAAUAACUACACUAAUCGAGCUACCCCGUUGGGGCCUGUUAUUUGUGGCUUAAAAACCAUACUUUUUGUGAUUAUCACCAAUUUCAUGUCAUAUGACUUGCAACUAUUUGACAAGUCACAAAAUGUCUAAAUUUUUUUUAGUGUAUUGUGAGUAAAGGUUAUGCUCUAUUAUUCCACUUGAGUUUCUAAUUGUACUUUCGAAGAGAAAUGUUGGCGCAUAAAAUACAAAUUUCAUCCCAUACAAGUCUAUAAAUGCUUUACUAACAUUGCAAGGACCUUGGUCCAAAAUAAUUCAGUUGGACAACCUCAAAUUGCAAGCAGACCAAUAGGUGAUGGGCACUAUGCCUAGCUUCUCAUGUUUGGCGUUUGCAUUACUCCACAUGUCAAUAGUAUUUACGGACCUUUUCAUCAUAAGACAAACUUAUUUAGACAACCAAGCCUUUUAUGUAUUGACAAUUUAAUCAACUAGCAUCUAUGUAGAGGUAACGUUUUAUUCUGAAAACUUUCCAACAGAAAUGAGAGUGGAUUACAUUGCCAAAGGAAGAGGACUGGCGCAUUUCUUACUUUGUGUUUUGGGACAUAGGCCAAUUGUUAUGUACAACUCAGAAAGAAAUUGCUAUGUGGAUAUAUGAGUUGAUUUUCUAUAAUUCCAUGCCAUUCGAGAAAUACAUGCACAAUUUUGAGUUGGAUUAGAGAUUUUCGCACUAACAUUUAUACUGCAUCAAAGUAAAUUUGAGGAGAAGCUGGUGAAAAAAUAAGAGUAAAUCUUAUGUACAUUGAUAACGUAUAUAUUGUCACCGUUAGAUCCAUAACAUAUAUGUAAAAGUAGAAUUUCAAAUUUAAUUUUGUAUAAUUAUCAUUUAUCCAACGUUAACAGUAUAUAUUAUAGGAAAGAUUAAUCCAACAAAUAAAGUGGCAUAGUAUUCAUCGGUUAAAUCUUCAGGAUAUAUCCUAUGUCAAACAACAUGGGAUUUGUGGAAGUGGUGUUUCAAUUUUGGGUAAAAUACCCAAAAACUCUUUGUGAUUUGCUAAAUGUUCAAUUUAACUCCUUCUAAUUUGAAAACUUACACGAUAACUCUCUGUGAUUUCAACUAAAUUGAAAUUGGACGGAAAGCAUAUAAUCUAUCGGUUAUACAUGAAAUGCCAAUAUUGCCCUUAUAUAAAUGAACUCCCUAUGGUUUGUUGAAUGUUCAAUUUAACUUCCUCUAAUUUGAAAAAUUACACUAUGACUCCCAACGAUUUCGAUUAAAUUGAAAAUUAAAUGAAAAGCAUCUCACGUAUAGUAUGGGUAGUAUUGAUAUUUCACACACAACCGUUACACUUUAUGCUUUCUGUCCAAUUUUUAAUUUAGUAAAAAUUACAAGAAAUUAUAGUGUACGUUUUUAAAUCAGAAAGAGUUAAAUUGAAUAUUUAUCAAAUCACAGGAAGUUUUUUGGUAUUUUACUCUUCAAUUUUCAAUGUCGAAGGCGAAGUGACUACUGACGAAUAUCAAUAAUGUGAUCCAGAUCCAGACAGGGUCCAAGCCCGCCUUGACGUUGGUUGAAGAGAAAAUUUAUGGGCCAGACCUAGAUAAUUCAGUUGCCCUGUGUCCAACCAAACAAAUUUUGUUUAAGGAUUUCCUUCUACUUUUUCCUUUUUUUUUUUUACUUUUUUUCCUUUUAAGAUUUUCCUUUUCAACUUUUUCAUAAGAAAAAGGGCCCAGAUCCAUUAUGGAAUACUUUUUUAUUUUAAAUUGAGCAGACAAUAAAAUCUAUGUCUAUAUGAGUACGAUAGAGUUUGGACAAGGACAAAAGCAGUCCAGAUUCACACGAGGCCACCGUCCGAGCAUUAUUAACCAUUAAAUAAUAGACAAUGAAGCCAAUCUUUUGCAACAAUUUCAUUCCUAUAACUAACUUUACAAGAGGUAUACAUACAAUUAGAUAGGUCGAUGGGUAAAGUCUGGGUUAGAUAUCUUUGAUCCAUAUUCAAAUUGUUAAAUUUAGUUGGACCCAGAUUCAGACCCAGACCAAACUCUUAUGAGUCUGAAAAAAUAAAUCCAAACCUAGAAUAUACCCAAUGGGUACUCGUUGUAUUUUUCUAAAUACACUAAAGUAAAAUUAUAUUAAAAAUAUAUAGAUUUAAAAUAAUAUAAGCAUCAUUCAAUUUUUAUUUUCAAAUAAUAAAAUUAAUAUCAAGAUGUUAAACGUACUAUUAUGAACUCAAAAAAUAACUAUUAUUGACUGGUUCAAUUUUUUUGUUUAAACUUUAACUGCAUUUACGUCUAAUCUUUCAUUUAUUUGUCUUUACUUUCUCUCUUUUUUUUUGGAAAAUUUUGUACUAAUUACAAUGACAACUAGGAUUGGUUUGAAAAAAAAAAAUCAUGAAAUCUUCCUGUAUUCUAUUCAAUGACCAUAAAAUAUUAGAAUAUUUUAUAAAUAUUCAUGGGUUUGAAUAUUUUAUAUAUUAAACCUUACCCAAGUACAGGGUUUGGCUCUAGGUAGGGUCUGAAUUUGAAAAAUUAAAUCCAAACCCUACCCAAGUACAUUGGGUCUAGGUCGGAUCUAGAUAAAAUUUGAUCCAUUGAUAUGCCUACAUACAAUCUGAAUGUCUAGUCAUCAAUGGCAAGUAAUGUUAUCAAACUUGGAUCGAAUAGCGACUCGGCUAAACUAUUAGGUCAAAGGUUAACUGGUUGAAUCGAUCGAAUCGUUCUAAAAAACCUGCUGACAUUAGCAUGAUGUUACAAUCAUUUUGAUAUUUUUAUAAGCUUCAGAAAUAUUUAAAUUAAGUUCUUGAUUGUAUUUGGCCAAUCAUGAAAAAUUUUUCAAAAAUAUUAGACUUGCAAUUAAAUAUACAACUAAUAAUUAUAUAUAAAAAUAUAAAUUCAUAGUUAAAAUAUGUUCAUUCUCCAAAACUACUUGAAAACUAAAUUAAAAGAAAUAUAAUGCAAGUUGGAAUCACUGAUACUAAAUUAAUGAUAUCAUAGGGAUGAAAACAUCUUGAUUUGGAGAUCAUUUAGGAAUGAGAGUGAUUUUGAUAUUUACACUAAUUGUGUGACAUUUUCUUAUUCCUAUUAAUAAAUGAAAGUGUUACAAUUUAAGUAACUCAAAUUAUGUUUGGAAAAAAUAAGAAAAAAAAGUUUGAGAAUCGAAUCAAAUAGUUGAAUCGGGUCAUUGGUUUAGGCGAUUUUUGAUGAUUUUGACUGAUUUUUUAUUAAAAUGAUUUUAUACCACAAACCACUUCAGAAAGAGGUUCAGUUCACGGUUAGACCGAUUUCGACCGGUCCGAAACCGGGUCUAAUAACACUAAUAGCAAGUCAUUACUAUUAAGCUUCCAUUGGAUAUCAUGGUAAGUAGCCGGCAACAAGAGAUGGUCUAUUAAUUUACUACUCCCUCAUUCCCAAAUUAUUUAGGGAAAUGUUAUUUACACUCGCUUUUUUAUUAUUUGCAUUUUCACUAUCAUUUUUAUUAUAUAUAUUUUUAUUUAUUAGAUUAUAUGAUAUAACAAAUGGUGGGAGUGGAAAUAAUAUUUUUUUAUUAUUUAUUGCAUUUCAUGAUUCUAAUUUUUGAAGAAUAAUGAUUUGAUGGUGAUGUUAGUAGAUUUAUUUUCAAAAUCAUCCUCAAAAAUUGAAAUUUAGUAUGAAAUAUAGAUAAAAACAAGGAUAACAUUGGAAAAAGAGAUCAAAAGUAAUUUUGAUUUUGAUAAGAUGACAAACAUUUUGGUACAUCUUGAAAUGAAAAGUCCGACACUUUUAAUGAUGUAAUGGAAUAUUACUAACCCUAUCUUCUAUGCUUCUUGUAAACGUGCAACUUGCAAACAUUUGCUACAGAUGAUUCAGGUCCUACAGUAUUGUUGUCUAGCAAUUUUCCGUUGUCGAUUAGGACUUGAAUUUCAGUCCAGCCUUUUUUCGCGUGCUUUAACUAGAGCCGACCUGUUCGCGUUUGCUAAUUCCAGCAAAGGUGAAGCACCACAAAAAAGGCUGAUCAAACCAUCAAAAAGAGCAAAACAGUUGUGAGAGAGGCCUUAAUGAAUACCAUUCAUUCUAAAAGCUAUUAUUAUAUGGUUAUAAAAUGCAACACGUAUAUAUAGACAAUGUCAAUUCUUCUACCCUCCGAAGAGAAUCUGAUGUCAUUUAUAUUAUUUGGAAGAGUCCAUACAAAAACUUGACAGAUAGCCAUUUUGUCAGCAAGCCAACAAAUAAAAGUGUAUUUUCUUUGCCCUUUCCCCUGUUGUACACGGCUUUGAGUUAUCCUACAAGGUCCCCAAAGGGGAUGGACAAAGCUUGGGCUCAUAAUAUAUUGCAGUCCCAUGGUAGAGGAGAAAAGAAGUUCUUUUGCACAAAGGAAAAAGAUUGGCCACAGAUACAUCUCCAUCUGAAAGUUCGCAUUUUACAUGGCAAAAGCAGCAACAUACAUUUCUUGCAUCAUUAUUAAGGGACUACUUUUUUUGAAUCUUCUCCACCUUUCCGCCUAUCCUUGGAUCCUUAUCUGAAAAGCCAUCUUUUUAUCAGAAAUUUUUUUUUAUAUAUUGUUUAUAAACAUAUUUUUCAAUCCCCUUUUUAUCUCGCAUAUAUCAAAUUGUUACAGUACAUUUUUUUAACAAAAAUUCCAGAAAAUUGCAAUCCAAACAGAAAAUUUUUAACAAAUCAUUUGUUGUUUCGAUAUGAAUCUAAGAUAAUUUUGUUCUCCGAUUACUAUCUCAACAAUACCUACUGCAAAUGAUCUCAUUACCCAACCUAACCCCGGAAAAACGAACUGCCGUGUAAAAUUUGAAAGUUUCCAUAAAGAAAAUGAGUUCUAAAUUAGGCAAUGAGAACCUUUUUUUUUUCCUUGGAUUAGAAAGUUACAAUUGCUUCCAAAUAGAUGCAAAUGGACAUGACGUUUCCUUGGCGCAUGCACUGAAUUUUCAAAACAAGUUGAGUGCGAGGAUGAGACUUGUGCCGACUAACAUUGCGAUUAUCAGAUUGUACAGCCAUGUUUCUAGUCAGUGCGAUCAUCAUUGCGAAAUCUUGACCUCUUGGUACUUCUUGCUAUGACCAAUCACUGCACCUGAUCCGCACAUGUAUUUUCCAUUAAACAUAAUUGUCAGCAAUUAGUCGUAUCUUUUAGGGUCCACCACAUAAAUAAAGGGUUUGAGCGGAUUAUUUGUUAAAACUAUUGAAGCGCAUUUCUUGAAGAGAUUGAAGUUCCGUAAUUGAACUCAUGGAGCUAAAAGCAGAUAUCAAAUCACAUACUUCACAUACUAUAGUAACUUGUUGGGAAUUAUAUAGUAAAGUUCAUUUCUUGAAGAGAUUGAUGUUCAAAGACGGUUUAUCAAAUCGCACAUUUAUAAUUCAAGGGGAGACUUUUACGCCUCACAAUUCACACACUUCAAAUACACUAUAGUACUAACUUAUUAGGGAGUUUCAAUGAGGAUGGUUCCUUAAUUACUGUUUUGGGAAUGGAAAGGGAGCACAAAGAUGUAGUAUUGUUCAAACAUCAAACCACAUACAUAUAUUCAUAUAUAUAUAGACUUGAAUUAGGGAAAUUCCAAAAUAUUCCCCUAAUUAUAAAUUUCCGAAGUGAAAUGCAAAAUCACUUCAGAUGCUACUAGACUGUACUAAUCCCUCAACCCUAGAAAACACAAGAAAUGCAUACCAUAAUUAUUUCAACAUCAAACUAAGUAUGGUAAGAUGCCCUCCAACCCAAUC
rnacentral:lncRNA from 1 species